UUGGCCCAGCUUUCCAGUCCAAGCGGAAUUGCUGUAGGGCCCAACUCACAUGAAACCAAGGAGCCACGUGAAGACCCCAGCUACAUAGGGAAAAUUCUGUGGUGCCUCAGCUGUAUCGGUACAGCCAGUUAUCCAAGGGUCAGUAUUGCAUCUUAAAAAUAAAGGGCUGAGAUUGAAUGACCUGAAGACUUGUUGAGCCCUUUGUUAUUAAAUAUCACGUGACAUACACGUGACUGAGAAAACAAGUGAAAAGCUUCAACGUGCGGAAGCCCUGGCGUGCAUUGGACCUGCUUAUCUCUGCGAUCGAUCUCUCUCUCUUGGAAAUCCAAUCCUCAUCUAUGUCCCCAAAUCAGAAUCUGGGCGUCUCACUUCUGCCGACGCUGAGAUGCAACAGUCAUCGGACAUCGCGUGCACUGGGAGCUUCUUCAUCUUUGCAAUAUAUCUCUCUUUCUCUCUCUCUCAAAUCCAAUCCUCAUCUUUGUCCCCAAGUUGGAAUCUGAUGCAUCUCCUCUCUGCCGACACUGCGAUGCAAGAACCAUCGGAGAGGAGACAGAGUGGGGUGAUUCAGUCGAGUUCGACGGGGGUGGUGUGAAAGGCCUUUUUUUGGGUAGAAAUUCAACGACUUAGUAUUGAAUCUGGAGUGAGGAUGUCUGUGUUGCAGAGCCUUUGAUGGGAGAAAAAAUUCAACGCCUUGGACUGAAUCUUGGUGAUUUUUUUUUCCCUCUUUUAAUAAUUUUUAAUAUUUUAAUAUUUUAAUAUUUUCUCUUAAUUUCAUCACAGCAUCAGACCCACUGUGAUCCUUUCUCCAUCAAACCCAUGUAAUUUUCGUUUGAUGGAGGAUUUGUUUUCUUCCAUGUAUGAGGUUAUGGAUUUGUGCUUCAAAAUAAGGUAUGAAAUUUUGAACAAUCAGGUUGUUGAUUUUCUUUAAAGUCUUGGAUUCUUGAAUUCCUACUCUUUUUUUUUUUUUUUCAAUUUGAGAUUUGUUUUAUUACUCAAGAACUCUGGUCAUGAUGAAUCCAAUUGGAGUUUUCGGGCUUGUUAGUGGAGAACUGAGGUUGGCAUCAAAAGAGAAAGAUGAGUUCUUUAACUAAGAAACCUCAUAACUGGUUUUGGUUUUGGAUAUAUUAUUUCUUAUGUGCAAUUGCAUAUAGUUUUUGUGCAAUUGCAUACAGUUUAUGCAAUUUUUGACCCCCUGUAUGCAAUUAGCGACAGUGUGAUGUUUAAAGAAACGUUUGACUUGAAUGCUAUGUCAUUGAGUUAUUUACCCAUUAACAAUCUAGUAACAAUUGAGGUUUCGUUCGUUGAGUAUGUUGCGUUCAUUUGAUAAAUUUAAAUGUUGGUAUGUUCGGUAAGAAAAAAUAAGAGUUCACGAGAAAGAAGAAGACAUGAUAUAUAUAUAUAUAAUUUUUUUUUAGGUGAAGUGUCUUGGGUUGCCAUUACCAUUUCAAAGAUUGUAUUGCUAAAUCUGUAAGUGUAUGGUUUAAAUGUGAUGUUCAUGAUUGAUAUUGGUUGUUGUGAUUGCCGUAAUUGCUAUAUAUUGGUUGCUCUGGCUAAGGAGUCAGGAAAAGAGCAGUUAAGACAAGUGCAUUUUUGUUACACUGAAAUAUGUGUUUUGAGAUACCAUCACAGUGUUUGAAUAAUCUCUCUCUACCUCCCUCUCAUUUGCAGAAAGGGGUAUGCUCACUUGGACUUUUCAUGCAUACUUGGUGAGAUUCUCACCUUCUUCUGAGAGCCUAAUAUUUAGGGGCUAACAUUUGUGUACUCUACAAGUUAUAAAUUGAGCUAAACGUAUUACAAAAUAUUUUAGGUGAAGUGUUUUCUUUGUUUAUGUUUCUUUUUUGAGAUCUUAUUUCUUAUUUAUGUGACAUGUAGUCUUGGUUAGAGAAAAUAGAUGAUAUCACAUAUAAUUUUCUAUAGCUUUUAGGUAGUAGUAGAUUAUCCGUAUUGUCAUGCAAAUGAACACACACACAAAAGAGGCCCUCUAGCCAAAAAGAGGAAAUUUGGUGAUCUUUGCAUACGUUAUAAGAGUGUGAGCCAAUGAGCCUUCUAGUAAAAACGAAAGAAGUUAAAAACCAAAAAAAGGGCGGAAGGCAAUUGCAUAUUGUAAACUAAUAAUUGCAAAUAGACGUUACGAAAUUGCGUAUAUAUAUAUGCAAUUGCAUAUUGUAAAAUGAGAUUGCACAUAGAUGCUACGAGAUUGCAUACAGGCAUAUGCAUAUGGAUACUAUAAAUUGAGAAUUGCACACGUGCUAUCAAAUAUGCGAUAUAUGCCCACAAAAACCAUUAACAUGGUUAAAUUGUUGAUUUAGUCCUUGAACUUGUAUCCAAUUUUCAAUUUAUCGCAUGACCUUUUUUUUCAUAAUAUUACGGAUAUGAAUUUUCUUUAUCACCAAUGUCUCCCCUGCCGUUUAAUUCCCUAACAUUUCGUCCAAUCUGUCAUUAAAUAUGAGGGCACAUUGAUCAUUUCAUACGUUAAACAUAAUUGAAUUAUGUAACAUUAAAUAAUAUGAAAGGAUAUUAAAUAUAUGCCUUAAAGCCAAACAUGUGAUAUUGCGUUCUUUUUUGGAUAUUUCACCAUCAUUUAUGGGCAAAAUCAUUGUUUGCAUCUAUGUUAUUUAGUCUACAAUCAUAAUAGCACAACAAUCCUUGGAAUAUGAUUCGUAUGUGGGCUAAGCAAUGAGAUUGGAUAUAAGAAGACUUCUCAUAUUUCCACUUCACUUCGUGGUCAUAUAUUAUCAAUUGGGCAUUGAUCAUAAUCGAAAAGGUCCAAUUUUCUUUUUCGUCAAUUCAAUGUGACUCAAUCAAUCGACCAUUAAGUAAUAAUUUUUGUUGAAAGCUUUUAAAUUUAUAUUUGUACCAACAAUCAUAUGUUUGAUUUUAUUGAAUUUUUUUUUAAUUAACAAUAUAGGAAUAAUUGGAGAUAAUCAACAAAGUUCAAUUUUAUUCUCAAUACUUCAUUGGGUUAAAUUAGUAGUAAAUCAUGAAAGUUAUAUUCAGUAAUUUAUGCCCAACAAACCUACCUAAAGAACGCUAAGCGACUCGUUCGUCGGGUAAAUAAUGUUGUUCGUUGACCAAAUUACCCAACGAACUCCUUGAUUUACUCAACAAAAAAGGUAUUUUACUUCGAAGACGCAAGGGGAGCGCUCGGUGAGUAAAGCUAGUCGUUCCCCGAGAAAUUGGACUAACUAAAAUAUUUUAUCAAACAAACGGGGUGUUUGUUCUAGUGAACGCAAGGGUUGCGUUCGUUUAGUAAAGUUAUCUGUUCCCCGUAAAAUUGGCCAAACCAACUUACUUUUUCAAACAAAUGGGGAGUUUGUUCAAACGAACGUAAGGAUUUGCUUUCGUUCAAAAAUACUCGACGUUCUGCCGAAAAAGAAGGCCAACAUAGCUAAUUUUUUAAACCAACAGGGUAUUUGUUCAAACGAACGCAAUACGUGCGUUCCUUAAAAAAAGUUACCCGUUCGCCGAAAACAUGCCCCAACCACCUUACGUUUUCAAACAAACGGGGUAUUUUUUCACACCAACGCAACAGGUGCGUUCGUUGAGGAAAGUUUUCUGUUCGCCGAAAAAAUAUAUCCAACCAACUUACUUUUUCAAACAAACGGGCUAUUUGUUCACGUAAACGCAUGAGUUGCGUUCUUUGAGUAAAGUUGCUCGUUCUUCUAAAAAAUGGGCCAAACUAACUUACUUUUUCAAACAAACGGGCUAUUUGUUCACGUAAACGCAUCGGUUGCGUUCGUUGAGUAAAGUUACCCGUUCCCCGAAAAAAUAGGCCAAACUAACUUACUUUUUUAAACAAACGGGCUAUUUGUUCAUGCGAACGCAGCGGUUGUGUUCGUUGAGUAAAGUUGUCUGUUCCCUUGAAAAAUGGGCCCAACUAACUUACUUUUUCAAACAAACAGGCUAUUUGUUCAUACGAAUGCAGGGGUUGCGUUCAUUGAGUAAAGUUACCCGUUCCCCAGAAAAAUGGGCCAAACUAACUUACUUUUUCAAACAAACGGGCUAUUUGUUCACAUAAACGCAAGGCUUGCGUUCGUUAAGUAAAGUUUCUCGUUCCCCGAAAAAAUGGGCCCAAAUAACUUACUUUUUAAAACAAACGGGCUAUUUGUUCACGCGAACGCAAUGAGUUGCGUUCGUUGAGUAAAGCUGUCCGUUCUUCCGAAAAAUGGGCCCAACUAACUUACUUUUUCAAGAAAACAGGCUAUUUGUUCACACGAAUGCAGGGGUUGUGUUCGUUGAGUAAAGUUCCCCGUUCCCUGAAAAAAUGGCCAAACUAACUUACUUUUUCAAACAAACGGGCUAUUUGUUCAUGUAAACGCAGGGAUUGCGUUCGUUGAGUAAAGUUGCUCGUUCUUCGGAAAAAUUGGCCCAACUAACUUACUUUUUCAAACAAACAGGCUUUUUGUUCACGUGAACGCGAUGGGUUGCGUUCGUGGAGUAAAGUUGCCCGUUUCUUGAAAAAAUGGGCCCAACUAACUUACUUUUUCAAACAAACGGGCGAUUUGUUCACGCGAACGUUGGGGUUGCAUUCAUUGAGUAAAGUUGCCCGUUCCUCGGAAAAAUGGGCCAAAUGAACUUACUUUUUCAAACAAACGGGAUAUUUAUUCAUGCAAACGCAAGGAGUGCGUUCGUUGGGUAAAGUUGCCCGUUCCCCGGAAAAAUGGACCCUACUAAAUUUCUUUUUUAAACAAACACACUAUUUUUUCACGCGAACGCAAAGAUUGCGUUUGUUGAGUACGUUGUGUUCAUUUGAUAAAGUUAAAUGUUGGUGUGUUCGGUAAGAAAAAAAAUAAGAGUUCAUGAGAAAGAAGAAGACAUGAUUUUUUUAUUUUUUAUGUUGUUUUGUUUUGUUUUGAGUUGAAGAAAUUAUUAUUAUUAUUUUAAAGAAAAAGCGUAUGGGUGUGAUAUAUAGUAUUGUUAAUUUAAUUGGAUCUUUCCCCUGAUAUUUUUCAGGUGCUUCUUUUUUAAAACUAUUUAAAAUGUGGUUCUUAAAAUUUUUCAUGUAAGCCUUGUACCAAGGGAUAUGCACUAGAAACCAACUCCACUAAAUAAAUUUUUGUGUCAAUUUGUUGCACGUUGGAGUAUAUAUACAGUUGUUAUAAUAAUAAUAUAAAUUAUGUAAAAUAAAUAAUUUUAGGGGGUCCUCAAAAAUCAGGGGCCCUGUGCAUUGGCGCCACUUGCACUAUUUCAGGGCCGCCCUUUUCUACUAGUUGGGUUAAUCUUAACUAUCUCAUAUAUGGGAAGACAGUAGAGAGCUCAAGAGAGACCUAUGUGCACCAUGUUCAAACAUGGCUUACAAACUGCUCGGGUUACGUAACUUGGUAUGACUAUUGUAUGAAUCUAGAUGGUUGUUCCUCAUUGUUUGAACCUCAUUGGAGCUCUUCAUUUAUGUAGAUGGACACUUAUCUAAAUUGUAAUUCAAUGUUAAAACAAACUAUGGAUUUAUGCAUGGUUUAUUCAUUCUAAUCAACAUUUUAUUUUCAAACUUUUCAUUAACACACAUUACAUACCACUUAUAUUUCAUCAUAUGUAUAUCUUAUUAUUAGUAAAUUUUGAGUUUUAUUUGUUCAAUACAUUCAUUGAUAAUGUACAUAACAUUUAUGAAAGUUUUAUACCAAAAUUAUGUGUUUCAAUACCUAUAUCUGUCUUCUUCUUUUUUCCGAUACCUAAGACGAUAAUAAUAUAUCCCCCGAAAUAUCCGUAAAUUGGAGGCCCUAUAUUAUUUACAUGGUUGAUAUUUUAAUCCUUGGCCCACUCGAACCUUCCAAGGCUGAACCAUAUGUAGCCUUCUCUUUAAGGUUUAAUUUCCUCCAUUUAUUAGCAAUCUCUUCUUGUACUUGGAAAAAAAAAUCUCAUUAAAAGAGCCUUUUUAAUAAAAUAAUUAAUAAACUAACCCAAUCCAUUGCCAUCUCUCACCUUAUUGUCCAACUUUGCAUUUGCCACUUUCCCCAUUUUAUGUCUUUUUUUUUUUUUUGUAAAUCAUUUAUUUUUAAUCAAAAAACCAUCAUAAUAUUAAGCAACUACAUUUUCGAUUUUUAGAUGUACGUGUAACUUACAUGAAAUUAAAAAAUGCAUCCUGGCCAACUCUUGAUUGUUGCACAUUACUGUCGACUUUGCGCUUUCCUUUUGUUGAUCCCCUUUUUUGAGCUUCCAUAACUUGCACAAAUCAAGUACAAAACACUAUCAUGCAAUUGUCUCUAGCGCCGAGAAUUUGAAUACUAAUCCAAAGCCUAAUACCCCCUAAACCCCGUAAACACCACAACAUCACAUUGCUUAAUUAAAAACAUACGGGGACCUGGAUUUGCAUACAGUAGCUUAGUAAUUGCAUAUACUGAUAUGCAAUUGCUCGAUACUACUUGCAAGUGCAUCAGCCCUCGAUUAUUACAUUGCACAGAUAAUGCACACAACCCACCCAUGCAUUUCUCUAUUGGGUCGGGAUUCUUACUCAUUUCAAAUCCCAAUACAAAUCUUAACCAAUCCUCACAUUACACUUUCGGAACACUUUAAUCCCCAUAACAAAUUAUUCUAAAGCACAGUCAAACCUACCUACCUACCACGAAAUCACCUGAGUUGCAUAAUUUGAAACAAAAACUAUAUACUGUCAUUGCAUUCAAUGACUUGGAUUUGCAUACAGGCUAUUAGUAAUUGCAUAUAGAGAUAUGCAAUUGCAUAUUGAGCUAUGCAAUUGCAUAUUGAGCUAUGCAAUUCCACGAACAUUACAACUAUGAAUGUGAGAUACGUGCAUACUUUGGAAAAAAAAAACUAUAUACUCUAAUUGCAUUCAAUGAAUUGGAUUUGCAUACACGCUAUUAGUAAUUGCAUACAGAGAUAUGCAAUUGCAUGAACAUUACAGCCAUCAAUGUCAGAUACCCACUUCACCUCACGCCACUUUCAGAAUCACAAACCCACCACAAUUAAAUCAUACACAAUCAGAGGCCUCAUGGGUAUUUAUAUAUACAAUCAGAUCAAGAGGCACUAUAACAACCCAGCAGAAAUGCAGAGUGGGAAAAGAAAUACAAAAUUUGAAUCAUUAAUUUCUGGAAUUGUUCAAUGAAAAAACUGAAACAACAAUUCAAAAUCACUAGAAGAAUAAAUUAAAUAGAACCAUCAAUUACACAUAACGAAAAUCAACACACGAACUUACCGAGAUGGAGGAAGCAGCUGGAGAAGACGAAGUGGGUUUCUGGGUUUUGGCUGAAAUCUGCUCCUCAGAUGGAGAAGACGAAGUGGGGGGAGCUUCUUCAGGCUGUAGGAAGCUGUGCAGCUAUGAAUUCACCGAAAUAGAGCUGUGGCUGUGCAAAGCUAUGGAGGAGGAGAUAGACGAAAUCGAUCUGUGUGCAGCCUAGGUUUUGAACGAGCGGGAGUUUUUAUUUUCCUUAGUUUAACUGGUUAACCAAAAGAACCAGUUUUCAUUGUUUUUAAAAAAAGGCCACGUGAUGGGCUGUACAGGUACACCCGGCGCACCACAGACAAACUCGCUACAUAGACCACCUGUUGCCAACUUACCCAUGCUGUUUGCGCCACUUGUCAAGCCCAGAACAAUUAUUUGUUUCAAUCCAAUGGCUGCAUUAAGUUGCUGUGUCAAUUUUUUGAUUUUUUUUUUGGUUGUUUUUUUUUCAUUCUACAUAUAAUCAAUGGCCAGCAUAUUUUUAAGCAAUCUCAAUGGGAAAAAUUCACAUCCAAUGGCUGAAAUUUAAAUCCAACGGCAAAAUUAAUUUUUAUAAUUACUCUAAAUCAAAUUCAACCCAAAAUAAUUUUGUGAUUAUCAUUUAUCUUAAUUGUAAUUAUGGUUUAUCUUAAUAUGUUUUGAUUUUUAAGUGAAAUUAUAUUAUGUUUUGGAUUUUGGAUUUUGGAUUUUUUUAGGUUAAAAUGUUCAAAAAAUUAAAUCAUGAAUAUUUAAAUAAAAAUAAUGUGAAGAAAAAUGAACCAAAAAAAAAUAGAGGUUAAUCAUUUUUAAACAAUUUAAUAAAAUUAUGGACUCAAAUUAUGAGUAUGCAUGGUUAGAGGAAAAAACAAUUUGAGUCCGAACAAUACAUUAAUAGUUGUGUUUUUAAAAAGAGAAAUUUAAAUUUAGCCCUAUUUGAAUUAGAGAUAGCCUAAAUAGAUGCCCACCCCUAAUGCUGCCAUUCCCACCUGCCCUUUAUUCAGUGUAUGAAUGCUUGAAUUUUUGUCCCCGGAUAAUGCUUGGCUAGUUAUUUCACUUGUCUUUUUCCUGGAUGGUUUUGUAGCUUUGCGCACAUGGUCAAGUCACGUCAAUGUGUCACAAUUUUUGGUGGACUCGACCUUGGUUGAGAGAGAGAGAGAAGUUCUUCUAUGGGGCAGGUCCCAUAGGGCCCUUUCGUUUGUGGUUUUUUAUUUUCAAAAGCAGAAGUUUGCACGGAAAGCGUGUAUAAGGGGGAUCCAUUGCGCUGCCACUCCCAUUUUUCUCCUUUCUUCAGUGUAUGAAUGCUUGAAUUUUUGUCCGCAGAAAGUGCUUUGGCUAAUUAUUAUUUUCUUUGGUUUCAUUACCAACGCCUUCCGCGUUAUUCCUUCUGGAAAGGCUUUAAACCUUGUUUACUGCUUUCUAUUCUCUUUCUUUCUAAACUGCUUAAUUGGACCCUCUGGUGCAACUUAAUUAAACACAUCCAUCAUCUACAAUAUCAGAUUAUCUUUCUUCUCCAAGUUUUCAUCUCAAAUAUCAGAUUUGCUUUAAUUAUAGCUCUGGUGCAUUCAGAGGUAUGGACUCCAUUGAGUUCUUUCAAGUUUUCAUCAUAAUUAUCAUAAUCAUCAUACUCAUCAUGACUCUGUUCUGCAUGUACUUCAGAUCAUUAACAUCUUCUUCUUCUUCCACUUCUUCUGUUGCUGCUGUUGAUACUGAUAUCCCCCCUCUUCAAGAAAAGUAUGAUGUGUUUAUCAGCUUCAGAGGUGAUGAAACACGCGAUUCUUUUACCAGCCAUCUUCACAAGGCUUUACUUCGGAAGAACAUUGAUACCUACAUGGAUGACAGACUUGAGAAAGGAGACGACAUUGAACCUGCCCUUCUAGAAGCAAUCGAGAGAUCGAAAAUUGCACUAGUCAUUUUCUCAAAAGACUAUGCUUCUUCCACUUGGUGUUUGAAAGAACUUGUGCAUAUACUUGGAUGCAAGAAAAACCAUGGACAGAUUGUUAUACCCAUUUUUUAUCGCAUAGAUCCGUCACAUGUACGAAAACAAAAGGGAACUUAUGCACUUGAAGGUCGUGAACUUAAGAAACGAUUGAAGGGCAGUAGGCAUGUGGUGGCCAACUGGAGGGCUGCUUUGAAGGAAGCAGCCAAUAUUCUGGGUUUUAUGAUUCAAGAAAAACAGGGUAUACUAAAUCUCUAGCUUGUAUCAAUUUCUACUUGUUAUCAUUUGAUUCAUACUUACUCAUACUAUUGUUUGUCUUUCAUAACGAUAUUUGCCAGGAGGACAGAGGCCGAUUUUAUUGAGGAAGUUGUUCAAGAUGUUUUGACAAAAUUGAAUAUGUCUACCGAACCCAAGAAUAAUACUGAGAGAGGUGAGGCCCAAAGAGGCGAUGCCUUCAACAUUUCUGGGAAUACAAUUGAGGGGAGCAAUUCAGGUAGGGUAGGAGUUUUCGAGUUUGGCAACAAAAACGUCUAUAAAGGCCACAAGAAAGAAAAACAAGUCGACUCAUGUAGUGGAGAAACCGACACGGCCUCCGGCGGUGAAAACGAAAAGUGAACUCAGGUGAUCUGUAGUCUGUAGGCCUCUUUAUGUAUAUGCACCAUUUCUUACGUAAUUUGAUUAUCAAGAUUGAAUGUUAUCCUUUAGUUUUGAGUUGGUUUCCUUUGUCAGAUUCCUUCGUGUAGUUCUACUAUCUAUCGAUUAUGUGCAGCGAUCAGUGAUCCAUGAUGAUUGAUGACUAUCAUAGACAGGCAAUAAGGUCCCCAUGAUUGAUGAAAUUGUUUCUUCACCAAAGGUGUAUUUCCUUCUUGUGGAUGAAAUGAAUGUAAGCUUAAUUAAGGGCUUCACACUCAAUUCUAGGGGAAUACAAACUCAUGUGCAAAAAUAAAAAUCAUAAACAAAAUUCUGCUAGUAAAUUCAUACAGGUGUAAAACAAAUUAAACAAGAGUUGUAGCCAUCCUACAAGAUAUGAACUAGGGGUGGGCAUGGUCUGGUUCGAUCCGAUUCUCAUCUCAAAUUAGAAUCGAAAUUGGUGCUAUUUAAUCGGUCUGAUUUUAGUAUUUUUUUUGAAAUCGGCCAGUUCGAUUCUCACUAGUUUUGGUCCUAUUUUUAGUUUUUUCCAGUUUUGAAUUAGAUUUUUUAUUUUUUAUUUUAUUUUUUUUAAAAUAAAAAUUCCUACUAAUUUUUGGACUUGAAAAUUAACAAAUAAUCUGAUUUCAUACUAAGAGAGAUAUUGAGCCUAACAAAAAGAGAUGUUUUGAAGUUGAACUUGGAAAAAUAUUAGUUAUAAGAUUAAAAACGUAGCAUUGAAUUUAAAUAAUUCUGUAUAAAAAAAUAAAAAAUUAUACACAACUGAUCCGGUUUGAUCUGAUCCAGUUUGGUGCAGUGUGAAAUCAAAAUCAAAAUCAAAAUCGACUGGAACUGAUUCGGUCCUAUUUGAUGCCAAUUUAUUGACUUUUUUAAUUAACUAAUUUUUGUCAUUUGGUCCGAUUCAGUGUUCUGAUUUUUCAGUUCUGAUGCCCAAUGAACUUCGCGGUGAGCUGUAAAGCUGUCAAAAUAACAAAACCAGUCCAUGUGCAACCAUUCACUUAUGUAAUGAUUAUUGGGAUGUCUUUGUCAAAUACAUGAUGGAUAAAGAACAUGGGAAACAAAGGAUGGUGCUCUAGAAAGCUUUUACAGAUUUCUUUAAUGGAUAGGAAGAAAUCUGAAAAGCAUACACCAAUUCAGUAUAAACGGGAGGGACCACAAAAAGCGUGGGUCAAUAUCCAUGGGCCCAUAGUUUGGCAUCCAGACAACAAAGUUGACAACGGAGAACCCAAUAAGAAUUUGGAUACGUUUCUCACAUCCCUUUCAAUUGUAUCAUGAUAAUAUAAUAUAAUUACCAAAUUUUUUUCAUGUAUAAAUACGGUAAAAAAAAUAUGGUAAGUUUAGUAUUAUCUUAGUAGUAGUGCUCAUGUGCCAAUUUGUCAUUAAUUGUAAAGUAUGCCAAAAUAAAUGAUUAACAACAUAUUAACUUACUAACUAGUUAACAUUAAUUUGAAAAUGAAAGCCGCAUUCAUCGCUUAAGCAUUUAACCGAUUGAUUGAUAGAAGGAGUCAAUAUAUAGGUUUUAUUUGAAAUCAACCUUACAAUUCGAGGGGUUUUAAGUAAUUGAAUUUUUGUUGGUGGGAAUCGUAUCCUCUAUAUAUAGAGAGAGAGAGAGAGAGAAAAAAAAAAUUGAUUUUUUUUAAAGUUUUGUAUGCUUUUAUCAUUUUGUAACCUUUUUAGAAUAAUAAAAAUUGAUCAUGUGCACCUCACGUGACAGAAAUGUGAAUGGACAUCUAAAAAAGUGACGGCGAAUUCCCAAUCAACUAUUUGUAUAUAGUUUAAGUCCUUAAUUUAUCAAAACAAAAAGUUAGAGAAACAAAUCGACAAUUAUGGUAUAAUUCAAGGCAAAACCACAUUUUAGCCAUAAUAUUAACAUACAUCCAAUAUGUUAGGUCAUCAGCUCCAAGCCCACUUGUACAAUUUUUAUUUUUUGGGUUAUUUAGAAUUUCCUCUUUGGCUACAAUUAUUUCAUCGUCAAACCUAAGUAUAAAUAUAUCAAAAUUCAAUCAAACAACCAAAAUUUUAAUUUAAAAAAAUACAUCUUGAGAUGAUAAUCUAACUUUCCUCCUUUCCAUUUUUUGUUGCUGUCCCCAAACCCAUUUACUUGGCAAUCAAGCCAGCUAUAUAUCGACAAUCUACUAUAUGAGGAGGAGGUCAACAUAUGAGUUAAUUCAAGUGCAAAUGGAUAGGGGAAAAGGGUUUAGUCAGGAUCAACCUCCAGCUCGAACAGUAACAAUGAUGUUGCGCCCAAAAGAAAAUGAUAUUCCAAAGCUACAGCGAAAGAUAACUGAGGAAGAAGAGAUGAAAAGGAAUAAAGAAAGAGAUAGCGACGGCAGCAGCAGCAGUAGGAACAAUAUUUGUCAGAAUGAAAUUACGGCAACCAAUGGCGCCACAGAUGUUGGGGUCUCCAACUUUGACAACUACGCCGUCCAAGGUAAAGGGGGCAGCGAAGGAACGAAGGGCUUCCCUGAACGUGGCGGUGGUUACAACAUUUCUGGCAAUAAAAUUAGUGCAAAUGGAGCCAGGAAAGUUGGGAUUCACAACUUCGGCAACACCACAUACGGCAUGCCUUUUACUACUGAGGAGAAUCAUGGAGAAGAAGCAGAAGGCGGCUCCAGUCCACCAAAGCCACAAGGGGGGCCCACCAGCUAACUCAUCAUCGAUCACAUGGUUUGGGAAAAUUAAAUAUAUGAAAAAAAAAAUAUAAAUAAAAGAGUAAUCUCUUCUUCCGUGUUUAAUUUUAUUAUGUAUACAGUAUAGGGUGUGCGAAACUAAGAACUCAUACGGUAAAUAAUUACCCAGGCUUGUAAGCCUGUUCUUAUGAAUAUGUUAUUUGUAAUCAUGGCUUAAAGUUUAUUAAUUACCUCGUACCCAAAAGAAUUAAUUAGGUUCAUUAUGUUUGUUCUUUUAAACUAGGUUUAUAUAUAUAAUUCGUUACUUAGAAUUUGUCAGAGAACGAUGUAUAUUAGGAUGAUCCCAUGUCUGACAAGAUUCAAUAUAUGAUUUUGGAAGAUGAUAGAUAUAUGAUGUAGUUUAUGGAAGAAAGAAGGAUGAAUGAUUUUAAUAGUUUACAAGCAUCGGAGGAUAUUUGGCAUCAUGAUAGCUAACAAAUAUUCCAAUAGCUUAGCUUCAAUUAUAUGAGACAAUUUGUGAUGUGGUUUCUGAAACAAAGAAGAAUGAAUGAGAGAGGAGAUAGAGGAAUAACAUGGCAAUUGCGAGGAGUUACGUGAGUUUUGUUAAGCUCAUGAGGCAUAGUAGAAGGCCUCCAAAUUUUUUGGAUGAUGAUAAGAAUUACACAACAUUUUUCAUACGAGUAUCUUGAAUGACAAAUUUAUUAGCUUAACUUGAUAUACAUUGUUGGCUCAUUUUUUGACAGCUCAACUUUUUGAGACUUAGUGGUUGUCUAGCAUAAUAUCAUACCUCUGGUUCUAGAAUGAGGCUACACGCGUAAGGGAGAGUGUUAGCUAGCAUAGCUUGAUAUACAAUUUUCUAAAAACCAAGUAAACACAUCACCAUCUAAACAUUUUUUUAUUAUUAUUAACAAAUCUUGGGCGUCAAGAAAGCCAUAUAUGACCUUAUUCGGUGGGUAGGAUAAGUAUUAGGAUUAGAUUAAUGUAAUUAAAUCCUACGUUUUCAUCAUACUAAAAAAUAAAUAAGAAUACGAUACAAGAUAAGACAAUACAGAUGCCGACCCCCGCAAGGUCAUUCAACAUAAAAGAAAGCGAAAGAGACAACCGUUGAGGUGGGGUGUGGGGUAAGGAUUGAUGUAUGGUGGGUGGUGAGUGGUUUCCUCAUAUACAUAUACGCAUGUAGCAAAAUUUAAUUGGCUCUUACUCAAUAGGGUGCAUACACCUCCAUUUUCUACACUCACUAUGUUUGCCAGCUCGCUGUAUGAUCAACUUAAAUCAGUUAAAUCCAUUAUGUAAUGCAUUACCUUCUAUUUUUUUUUAUAAACUAAUAGAUAAUUAACUAAAUAAACAUUUUACAGUUUCAAUAAAAAUUUCCAUGUUUUUCUUACAAUUUUUGUUGUUUUUAUUCAAUUUUUAUCGAUAUAAAUAAUAUCUCGGUAUUCCCAUCGAAAUUUCCAUAUUUUUGGACUACUGAUAUUUCCGAUAUCAUCGAUAUUUUAGACCAUGACCAAAAUUACAUUGACUCCCAAAUUUCGCCAACACAAUAAAACACAGAGAUCAUUUUCACAUUUAAGCUUAUUUUUUAUGUAUAGAAAAAAUUAAUAAAAUAUACAAACGGCCUAAUCCUUUUUUUAUUUUUUAUUUCUGCCCCAGCUCGGCAAUUCAUUCAGUGGCUUUGAGAGUAGGCUUAAUUUGUAAGCCAAAUUUAGAUAAGAGUAAUGCUAUUUAGACACACAACAUUGACCACCUUAAUUGACCACUUUAUGUGGCAACUGAUGUGUUAUGCCAUGUCAAUUAAAAAACAAAUUAAAAAACCCUAGCAUUCCUAGUGAGUGGCCUCAUGGCAGCAUUCAUUAAUUGACAUGACAUGAGACAUCAGUUGCCACAUAAGAUGGUCAGUUAAAGUGGUCAAUAUUAUGUGUCCAAAUAACAUUACUCUUUACUCCCUUCACGCGUUUUCUUCUUUCUUCUCUCUCCUUUCCUUUUCUUUCUUCUCUCUCUUUUCUUGUUCUUCUUUCUCUCCACCAUUUUUUGUCUUUCUCUAUUCGUUUCUCUUUUGUUUUAUUAAAUCUCUAUUUCUCUCUUCUUCUUUUUUCAUGUGUUUCUCUGUCUACACAUAUGGUUUUAUGUGGUGAAGAUGUUAUGAGCUGAUGUUGAAUAGGCGGUUUGAUCAUCUUGAGCUUGUGGAUGUUUUGGUGGAGGACCCGACGGUAGUCUGAAUCACAUAGGUGUCCAAAAAAAAAAUUUAGCCCACCCUGUAAAAAAAUCGUGGGUCUGCCGUUGUAACCAAGGUGAAGAUAUGUCUACAGGCUUCCUAAUCCUAAAGCCUAAAAUUGGUGAUAACAAGAAAGCAUCUGAGGAUGCUAAAGUGAACAUCGAGCAGGAAAACAACAGCAGCUCGAACCCAGCAACGGGUUCCAAAAGCUGUGCUACUUCUAGGAACAAUAUUUGUCAGAAUGAAAUUACGGCAACCAAUGGCGCCACAGAUGUUGGGGUCUCCAACUUUGACAACUACGCCGUCGAAGGUCAAGGGGGCAGCGAAGGAACGAAGGGCUUCCCUGAACGCGGCGGUGGUUACAACAUUUUUUGUAAUAAAAUUAGUGCAGAUGGAGCCAGGGAUGUUGGGAUUCGCAACUUCGGCAACACCACACACGGCAUGCCUUUUACUACUGAGGAGGAUCAUGGAGAAGAAGCAGAAGGCCGCUCCAGUUCACCAAAGCCACAAGAGGGGCCCACCAGCUAACUCAUCAUCGAUCACAUGGUUUGGUAAAAUUAAAUAUGAAUAAAUAUAUGAAUAAAAGAAUACAUAAUCUCUUUUACCAUGGUUAAUUAUAGGUGUAGAAACUGAUUUUCCCUUAUAUUAUUCAUAUGAUCAUUACACAAUAUAUAUAAAGUCUGUAAAGAAUAAUCUAUAGUUAUAAUAAGUCAUUAUCACAAACAUAAAUAUGAAGUAAUGGCCUAGUAACAAUGUAACUGACAACUGACCAUUUCCUAUCAUUAGUAGGAUUAACUAUUGUAACUGAAAUACUAUUGUAACUCCAUAACACUCCCCAGCAAAUCGAGCGCGCACAGCAUAGCAAGAUUUUGAAUGAAGAAACUGUAUGGUGAUGGAGAUGGCAGUAGCAGUCGUCUGUAGUAGUCUAGUAAGGGAAACAAAAAGAAGAACUCCAAUUUCCAGAGUUGCAACAGCGGCAAGUAAACAUAACGCCCAUUGAAAGGCAGUAAGUGAAGGAGAGCAUGGGCUCAUGGAAGGAAGGAAUAAAAUGACGGGCUGACAUACAAAUCAAAUGUACCUAGGAAACAACUCUAGGCACCUGAGAAACAUAAUGCUACCUAGGAAUCAUCCUCUAUGUAGGAUAAAGAGAAAUAGACAAUGUUGUAAAGAGGAAUGAGAAAGAAAAAUAAUUCAGACAAGUGCAUUUUUUUAUUUAUAAAAAUAAUAAAGAUGAGGAAUGGAAACAAAAGAAAAUUCAUCACAUGGAAAGCAGAAAGGGAUGCUUGCAGAGAGAAAAGAAGGAAUAUUUGAAGGGAAUAAAGGGGUUAAGAUAGGAUGCAACACAAUAGUAGAGGAUUGGAGGUGAAACCAACCUGGGACAUAGAGAAAAGAAAACGAGAGCAUGAGUAAGUUUGAAUUUCAAGGCACCAUAGAAACAAUAAGGUAUGAGGAAGAAAACUACGGGGGAACAAAGAAGUAAUAAAGAAAAUAUUAUCACAAGAGGAUAGAGGCCCAUAUAGAUUAAAAUAUAGAAGGAUGAUUGACCCAAAAAAUAAUAAUAAGAAAUAAAGGAGGAAACCAAGUGAGACAGAGAAAGUAGUCAAGAGAGGGAGAGAGAACAAGAUGUAAGAGAGAAUCCAUGAAAAGGAAAGGAAACUCAAGAUUCCAGAGACAACCCAUGAUAGGGAGAGAGAAAACACAAUUGAAAAGAAGAGAAGAGAAUACCCUAGUAACAUAAAAGAAUUAUAAAGAAAAGAAGACAAUACCCGAGUAAUAGAGAAGAAGAAAGGCAGCGCAAGAGAACAUUGAAGAAGACAGAGACUAAUAGUAAAAUCAAAGAAAGAGAUUGGGCUUAAGAGGGGAGGAGAACACAGGUUGAGCAUAGAUAGAGCGUGAGAGGCCAAUACUAAGGCAGCAACACAAUGAUAAGGCUUGAGUGGCCGAUACCAAGUUGGCAACACAGAGGAAGAAACAGGGGUUGUACAAAGGGAACAUCGGCUGUGUAGCACGGCAGAGAAGGCUCGGCAAGUAUUGACGAGGCUCACGGAGGAAAGAGAGACGGCUCGAUGAGCGAUGACAGGCAGCAUCAACAAACAAAGGGAAAGUAUGGAAACCAUGAUAGAGAAACCAUCAGAAAUACAUGAGAGAGAGAACCCAUGAUUGCAGACUAGGAUAAGGCUCGUGGAGGGAAGAGAGACAGCUCGGUGAGAGAGACGAAGAAGUGGAGAGAGAUUUCAAGUGGAGAAACCAACGAUAAAGAGGUGUGAUCUUUGAGGGAAAGGAAAAGUUUUUUUUUUUUUUGCUCGGUUUCAACAGAGAGCAGUGGCCCAACAUUGAUGGAUAACAAGGGGCUAGCGAGCCAAAAGAGGGACAGGUAGUGGCUGUGUAAGAGAACAACAACGGCAGGAUAGCAUGACAUGAGAGAGAUAAAAGCCGGCGAGGAGAAGACUCGGUGAGUGGUGAUAAGGCUAGCAGAGGAAACAGAAAUCUCGCCAUCAUGGCCAAGGGAGAUAAAUGGAGCUGCCAUGGGUUACCACAAGAGAGCUCGAUGGAGGAGACGGUCCACAAUGAAGACAGUGCGGCGGAGACACAAAAAUAACGAGCUAACAUAAGUAAGGGUUGUAGUGGUAAAAUAAAGGUGCGGCUACAGCUAAGGUGGUAACGUGAAAUACACCUACCCCCCCUCUCUCUCUCUCUCUCUCUCUCUCUCUCUCUCUCUCUCUCUCUCUCUCUCCUUCCAAAACUUAUCAAGACACCUACCCCCUCUUCCUUCAACAAACCCAGCAGCAACACCACCGUCACUUUCACAUCACCUAAUACAACACCGCAAUACCAUAUCCAACCCAAAACCCAGCAUGUCACUCUAAAACCCGACCUCAUCAGAUCUGGCCUUCAACACCGACGAGCUAUUGGAGACUCUCUCUCUCUCCGUCUAUGUCGCUCUCUCACUUUUAGAAGUCAUUCAAAUAAUUUGUUUCUUGGAAUUGAUAUGAAUUUUUCUAGUUGUAGGUUUGAUUAUUUAUUUUGAGUUUGAGUGAUGUGAGCAAGAUUGGGGUGUGGGGCUGGGAUCGCACUAGUUUGGUUGCAAGAUUGGGGGUCUGGGAAGGUGGGUGUGGGUUGGGGUGAAGUGAUGUCGAGUUUGGGUGGCUUUUUGGUUGAUGGUUAGGAUGGCUGAGUUGGUGGUGCCUUGAAGGAAGCAGUCGGGCUAGAGGGAGAGAUAUAUAUUUUUUUCUUUUCAUUUUUGAUUUUUUGAUUUAUUAUUUAACUUUCCUAAUGUAUGAUAAAGGUAGAGUAGGAAGGAGAAGAAUAAAAACAAAACAAGAUUAAUUAAAAAGUAUUAAAAAACAAAAGGAAGUGUAAGUGGAGAAAAUGGAAGUGAGAAAAUAAGCUCUCUAAUUUUAUUAUGUAUACAGUAUACAGUAUGCGAAAAUAAGAACUCUUACGGUAAUCACCCAGGCUUGUAAGCCUGUUUUUAUGUAUAUGUUAUGUGUUAUUAAAAUUGUGAUUUUUCCCUUUUUAUAAAAUUUUUAUUCAAAACUUUUAGAUAUAAAGAAUAUAUAAAAUAAAUAUUAAACAGUAAAGUAAAAUAAAGAGACAAGUAAACAAAUAAAUAAAACAAGUUAAGAUUAAGAAAGCAAGCCUGGUAUAGUGAAAGCACGUCAAAGAGGGUGUCCUAAAGCCUUUGUAGCCUCCUUACGUGCAGGUAAUGACGGUCUACAAGACUCCAAGAUACGACCCCAAUACGUAGGCUUAAGAUCCGCUAUAAGUACGUUCACAGUCGGAUAGAAAACUCCAAGCCACAGAGCGGUUGCCCAAAAAUAAUAUAGAAAGUAUGGAAUAUGUGAAAGUAUGAGAAUAGAGAAAUCUGAUUGUAGUGUAUUGAAAUAUGAAGGAGGAGUGACCUUUUAUAGGCAUCCAAAACUCGUAACCUCCAAACACAUUUAACCAUAAAAAUUGGUGGCAAUGAAUAGAAAAUAAAAACUGAAAAUUAAACAAUUUGUAAAUCCUAUAAUAAAUAAAAGAAACCAGCCAAAAUUAAAACAGAAAAUAAAAAGUUUUAAAAUUUAAAAUUCUUUUAAAUAAUAACAAUUUGUGAUCAUAUAGGGUGGCGUUUAUAUAUAUAAUUCGUUACUUUGAAUUUGUCAGAUUACAUGUAUAUUAGGAUGAUCCCAUGUCUGACAAGAUUCAAUAUAUGAUUUUGGAAGAUGAUAGAUAUAUGAUGUUGUUUAUGGAAGAAAGAAGGAUGAAUGAUUUUAAUAGUUUACAAGCAUCGGAGGAUAUUUGGCACCAUGAUGGCUAACAAAUAUUCCAAUAGCUUAGCUUCAAUUAUAUGAGACAAUUUGUGAUGUGGUUUCUGAAACAAAAAAGAAUGAAUGAGAGAGGAGAUAGAGGAAUAACAUGGCAAUUGCGAGGAGUUAUGUGAGUUUUGUCAAGCUCAUGAGGCAUAGUAGAAGGCCUCCAAAUUUUUUGGAUGAUGAUAAGAAUUACACAACAUUUUUCAUAAGAGUAUCCUGAAUGAUAAAUUUAUUAGCUUAGCUUGAUAUACAUUGUUGGCUCAUUUCUUGACAACUCAACUUUUUGAGGCUUAGUGGUUGUCUAGUGAUGGACAUAUUUUAUAUUAUAUAUUUAACCUCAUUCUUAGUAUAUUUUGGUUAAUAUUUUGGAAGAAUUUUGAUACUUUGAAUUAUAUUUCCAAUAUAGGACUUUCGACUUUCUCUAGAGCAAAACAUAAUCAAAUUGAGGAAUUUUGGAGUAAUUCCAGUUGGAGGACGUUCUUGAGUCGCUUAGCUUGAUCGUACCAAAAUUUCAGAUUUUUCUUCCAAGCGGUUAUUUUCUGGCAACAAAAUAAAGGAGCAGUGCGCGGUGCUGGAAUAGUGACGUGUUGGGCUUCUAUUGCGUUUUUGGAGCCCAAGAUGACCUCGGAUGGGUUCGUGGCCUUCUAGAGAAGUGUUCAGAACAUUUUUAUCUUUAAAACAAGCUAUCUUGGGCCAGAUUUGGAGGAGAUUUGGGGCCAAAACGUGGCUGGGCAGAUUUUAGGCAGAUUCUCCUAUUCCAAUUUGGACUUUAUUUCCUAGUAUUAUUUUAUUUAAUUAGUUUCCUUGUGGGGAUAGAAAAGCUGUACAUUGGCAGCUAGGUUUUAAGGGGUAUUUAAGCUCUUUCUCACAAGGAAUUGAGGACUCCUUUUUUCACUUUUGAACUUUGUAUUGUGGAGAGCAAUUGCUAGGGUUUUGGGUUUUCACAACUUUCAGGUGUUUUCGUUCUUUUCUUCUUAAUGAUAUUUUCUUGGAUUUCAAUUAUGAGUAUGCGUAACUAAAUUUCUUUUGCUAGGGUGAAGCCUUGAACCUUAGCAGGAAUAUGUGAUUUUUAUUUAAUUGCUUAUGAUGAGUGCAUGCCUACUUGAAUUGUUAAUCACUGUUUUAAACUAUCUAAUUGUCUUAAUGCCUGAUCACCAUUAGGAUCUUUAGAAAAGUAAUUGGAUGCAAUUUUGGUCGGAAGGUUCCCUGAAAUUGAUGCUAGCUUCUUGUGAUUAAUAAUUGUAAUUUCACUUCAGAUGAAUACCACGUCUUAAGGGUUGCAUGGUUUUUUCAAAGGGUUUUCACAAAACUUAAUGAAUCUUUCAUGUUCAGAUUUGAUCCGAACGUCCGGACGGGUUGCAUGUUAGAUAUACGUUCUGUGUUGGAGGUUCCAAGUAUAAUAUACAUUAGGAAAACCUAACCUUCAAAGUGGCAUGUUUGCAAAUCAUAAGUAAUUGGUAAAAGUUCAUAGGAUUGCUAGGUGAUGGUGAAACCCUAGUGUUUUUAUAAAUUGAUAUUCAAAACUCUUUCUUUCAAUCGUAUUUGUUUUUGUUUAAUAUUUAUUUUUAGAAUCAACCAAAUUCAUAAUCAUCUUUCUUGACUUUUUAUUUUAAGUAGUAUUUGGAAUUUGUUUUUACAUAAAUUGCUAAUUAGUCCUUGAGGAAAACGACCUUGCAUGAGCAUCUAUACUACAAUAGCCUUGUAUUCUUGCAAGUAUUUUAUGUGAUUUUAACACUGUUUGCACAAGUACUAAAAAUCCUAUCAUCUAGCAUAAUAUCAUGCCUCUGGUUCUAGAAUGAGGCUACACGCGUAAGGGAGAGUGUUAGCUAGCAUAGCUUGAUAUACAAUUUUCUAAAAACCAAGUAAACACAUACAUGCAUAACUGGAUUAGCUUACUCACCAUCUUAACAUUUUUUUUAUUAUUAUCAAAUCUUGGGCGUCAAGAAAGCCAAAUACGACCUCAUUCGGUGGGUAGGAUAAGUAUUAAGAUUAGAUUAAUGUAAUUAAAUCUUACGCUUUCAUCAUACAAAAAAUAGAUAUGAAUACACACUAUUACAAAAAUCGCAAUAGAUGACGGUAAUCUACAGUCGUGUAUCAGGUUUUUCAACCGUCGUGAAAUCGACCGACAUCUUUUGAUGCAUAAAACCACGACGGUAAAUCCCCGUUGUCUAUUAUUUGUAAAGAUGACACUUUUACUCAAAACCGUCGUCUAUUAGAUGUAAAGACGACCAUUUUUUUGAAAGAACUGUCGUCUAUUAAAUUUAAAGAUGAGGGUUUUUUUUCGAAAGAACUGUCGUUUAUUAUAUCCAAAGACGUUGGGUUUGUUAAAAAGCCGUCGUCUAUUAAUUGUGAAGACUACGGUUUCUUGAAAUAUUGUCGUCUAUUAACUCUAAGACGAUGGUUUUUUCAACAAAAUCAUCGUCUAUUAACUUUAAAAUUGAUGUAGUAAUUUUACAUUUUAGCUUCUUCUUUUUUCUUGUUUCCAAUGGUAUCACAAAUAUAUACUCAAAUAUGCUAUUACUCACGCCACACAUAUAUACUCAAAAAUUGUUUCUUUCAUAAAUAGAAUAUCAAGAGUACAAUAGAACAAAUUAAAAUCUAAAAAAUGAAAGUACUCUAGGGCCGCUAGCUGCAAGCCUAAUUACAAUAAUACAUCAAAAUUCCUAUACCUAAUUAUCCUUCAAGUCAAGUUCUCCAUAUGUAUAUAGAGCUAUACCUUCAUCAUCACCACUUUUCCUCUGCAUUUAACAGCAGGUUGAACCGACACUACUUUCCCCACGCUAGCAGUAGCUUCGUUAGAACCACUUCCAUGGCGUAGGAAACUGCUUAACAAGCCAAAAUAAUGUAAUGGUGAGAUAUAUAAUCAAGAUAAUUAUAGAAGUAAGCCACUAAUCAAGUAAACACACAUGGCCUAUUUCUCAUGACAGCACAAAACAAAAGAUUAGAACGCAACAAACAAGCACAUAUUUAAGUAGGACGACUACACUAAAAACAUGUCCAGCUUAAGAGUCUGCGAUUGUAACCUCCACUUCCACACUAGGCUCAAUUGUAACGGAAGUAAUUUGCUUGAUGACAUCAGGAGAGCUGAAGAGGUCAAUCACCCUCUUGUGGACACGCAACUCAAAUCUGUCCUAUGUGUUGGUACCUGUAAAUCACAAACAAAAUUUUAAAGAUACAUAACCCUUUAAAAUGCAAAAACAAAGAAACUGUACUUCAAUAACUGGUCAGUCAUGAAUAGGCCACAGUAAGCAACAAAUUUUACUUAUGUAACUUGGCACAAACAAGAGAACUCCCAACUCUGAGUAAAUGGCCAUAGACAUAAGCCUUGCCUUGCCCAUAAAGCAUCAAGCCAUAAGUUAACAGUAAGGACAUUUCACAUUGAAACAUACCUUCACCACAAGUGGACUUCUUGGUGGUAAUGUGCAGAAUCUUGGUUAGCAUUCUCACGGGUCCCUUAACCCGGAGCCUCUUGUCUUUUGCACCAUGAACCAUAUCAAUGCAAACUAUCAAUAUGACAGAUGUCAAUCCAGCAAGCUAAAGAAAUAUAACAAAAAAAAUUUGAAUUCUUAAUAAUCUAAACAAACUUAAAAACUUUAUGUAAAGACAAUGGUGGAUAAACCCAUUUCAACAACGUCACACAUAAAUUAAGUACAAAUGAAACUGAACAGUAUUGAAGCUCAUAAAAACUUGCAUUUACAGGACUCUGGAAUUUAGAGAAUACCAAUGCAGGGGCAGAGGAGCAGUAGAGAGAAAAGGGAGGGUACUAUGGUUAAAGUCACUGAUUUGUUUACCCAUACCAUAAGACCGACUGAGACACCAUUCUAACACGCCCAUACCCUAAACCUCGCUUUAGCGUCACUAGGAACACAAGGGACAUACAGUUUACAAUAUCACCAAGCAACUAAAAGGAUACGAAAGAUAUACAUCCGUAGGUAGUUGUUAUUCUUGUUCUGAAAUAACGGAUUUUAAGGCCAGGCUAAUAAAAUGUAUUCAAAUAAUUGCAUAAAUUAUUUGUAGGAACUAUUCGAUAUAGGUUAAAAUAUUUCUAAUUAAUGAUUGGAUUAAGGAGCGCGUACGAGGGUAAAUCAACCUAACAAUUAUAUUCUAUACUUUUAUGCAGCUAAUAAGUGGGUAGCCAAUCGGCAUGAUUUAAUUCAAGUCCACAUGCAGAAGUCUGCAUCCGACAAGAAGUUAUCCGUCGGGAAAUAAUGAAUAAAAAUAAAAGUUAGCAUUAAAGCAAUUGAAGGACAUGAAUAAUAUGAAAUAAUAGUAUGUUCUUCCAUGCUUUAGUCUUAAUAUUAUAUUAGGUAAGAGAAACUAAGAGCUGAUACAAUACAAUGGUCGAGGCUUAUAGGCCUCUCUUUUUCAUGUAUGAUAAUAUCAUAUGGUAUUAUGGAAGUUUAUUUGUUGCGAGUAUUUGUCUCACAUUAAGAAAUUGGCAUGAGCUUAUAAUCGAUUGGACUAUUUUCACUAUUGUCAAUUGGUUUUGAAGUGGAACAUCAACUUCAUUAUAAUUAAGAAGUUGAGCUACUCCCUAUAUGAUAACCCUUUUAAGCAAAUCUUAACAACAAAAAAUGGAAAUAGAAUGCUAACAAUGAAAAUGAAUCCAUUCAAAGGUUGUUAUCUUGAUUGGGACAAUAUCCUUACCUUACCCCUUUCCUUUUCCGUGUGUUCUGCAUUCCCAUAACAACAAUCAGCAAUGUGAUUUCUUCAUCACUUAGGGCAUGUUUACAUAUCAGUAAUGGAGAAAGUAAGGAAUCAGAGAAUUUAAGAAUCAGGGAACUACUGAAUCGGUAUGGGAAGAAUCAUUCCCAUUAAGCUGUUUACUAAAUAUAUGGAAUUAGCAGAGAAAUGAGGUUGAUCGCCGUUGUUAUUGUUUACUAACUUUCAUGAAUCAGAAUCCAAAUUAAUUUGAUUACUAAAAUGCCCUGCACAUUUUCACCACAAUACAUAUAUAAUUCUCAAAUUGACUAAGAAGACCAAACUAAUCCUGCAACAAACCAGUAAGGCGGUGUAAACAUGAGGAAUCAAUAUGUUGAACAAGAUGAGCAACAGGAGCCCAGUUCAAUGAUAAUAUUAAUAACACUUUUGUCCAGAGCCAAUUUCAAACGAAAAAAUAAAUUCCAAUAAAUAUAUAUCUUUCACCUACGUAACUAGUACACAAUCAAAUAAUAAUAACCUGCAUAAUCUUCAUACGAUUAAAUACAUGGAACUUCUUGGAAAUAAGUUUUUAUUUUUUUUAGGGUCGGAGCGUCUUGGAACUUCUUGACUUGAGUUUUUAUUUUUUUUAGGGUUUGGGGUGUUUUGGAAUUAUGGUAAAGUGGUAAGGGUAUUUUCGGAAGUUACUAAGAGAAAACAGGAAUGAGAAUCGUAUCGACUACUCUCCCUAGUUGAUCUAAUACCUAGUUUUGAGGGGAUGUGAUUACGAAUUUUGAGAUGGGGUCCACUUAUUUUUUCAUUCCUGAUUGCAAGUAAAUGCAGGGGAAGUCAGGAAUGGAAAUCAUUCCCUUCCUCCAAUACCUUUUGGUUAUUGACCGCUCCUUUUUUAUUUUAUUUUUAAAAUUUUAUAUUUAAAUUUAUAAAAUCUACAGUUCUUAGUUAUUUCUGUGGCUGCGUCAAUUUCAAAAUUGAGGACUUUUUUUCUUCUAUUUUUAUGUUUACAUGUUGUAUAUGGGGAUUUUUUUUAAUUUCUAUUUUUAAUUUUGCAUAUAUGUAUGUGUGUUUGAGCCUUGACAUUUUCAGGGUAAACAAUAUGGGGACAUUCAUUAUGCGAAGUUAACUCUCUUUUUAAAAUUAUUAUUAUAAUACAAGAGAUACCCUUUUUAACUCUCUUUUUAAACCAUUUCUGAAUUACAAAGGGAGGGGAGUUUUUUUACAUAUACUAUCAAAGUAUUAUGAAAUUCAAACCUGAGAGUAGUCUUCAAGUCAAUACCCUUUUUAACUGGCUAAACCCCGUCAGCUGUUAGACUCUCUUUUGAUAGAGUAAACGCAUACAAAGUCGUUGUCAUUUUGUUUGGCAAACUACGCUGCAAGACUACAGACGAAGCAGCUAGCGGGUUGAGUGAAGGUUAGCAUUCAAGCCAACGACACGAUUUAAUUUAAUAAUAGUCUGUUCGUCAUAUGCUUUAAUUUAAUAAUGUAUUAGGUACGCGAUAUAAUACAGUGACUGAGGCUUGUGGGCCUAUUUACUUUCUUUGAAUAUUUACUAGAAAACUAAACAUUUGUUUUGAGUGAUUAUCUCGAAGGCUUUUGUUUAAUCUAAAAGCGCGACCAAUCUUUUAUCUUACAAAAGUACAAACUAAGAGAGGGCAAGACACAGACUCAAGCCUCUCAAUUGUAUGAUGAAUCUAAUAACAUCGUUGCUUACCAACUCUUUGUACCUGCACUAUAGAAUUCCGACGUGACUUAAUAACUUUUUUAAAAGCAAGACACAAACUCAAAGCAUUUUAAACUGUAUCAUGAUAAUGUAAUUUACUACUAAUGAUAAUAUCAUUGAGUAUAGAAUUUGUAUUUGACUAAUAAUUUUGAUGUAGUAACGCGUUUUACGUACGUAAUAUUAUUAUAAUGUGUGUGAACUGAAAGACCAAGUGGCCGUGAGAGGAUUACACCGAAGAAUUUCUCAAUAUAUCAAAACGAGAGGCAUAUAUGGCUUGGUAAAAUAUUGUUGGUCAUGAUCAUGUUCUCCAACUAGAAUUGUAGUAGUGAACUUGAAGGAAUUCAUAAUAAUGGAAGCGUACGUACGGCAGCACCAGCAGAUAUGAUCCUCUAAAUAAUGAUAUCAACAAGAAAAAUGACGCCACAGAUGUUGGUAUUUCCAGCUCUCGCAGCUCAGAUGAUGUCGACUGGAGCGACGCCGGCGGUGGCGGUCAAGGAAAGGUGCCCAAAGGUGGCGGUCACAACAUUAGGAGCAAUACCAUUAUAGGAGAUGGAGGCGAGAAAGGGUUUCACAACUUUAGAAAUUGCACUGAAGAUGACGGCGGCAGCAGCAACUAUAUUAGUGAAAAUGAAAUUAGGGCACGCAAUGGAGCCUCAAAAGUUGGGAUGUCCAACUUUCACAACCAGGAUGGUGAAGGCGGCGGUGAAGGAAAGAAACCCAAAAGCGUCGUGGGUCACAACAUUUGUGACAACAAAAUUAGUGCAGAUACUUCCACGAACGUGGGAUUGCACGACUUUGGCAACAUCAAAUAGAACUGCAAGACUACUAGUACUAAAGAUCAUCAUCGUUUUGGGGAAAAUAUUUUCAAAAGUUCGCAUAAAACAACUGAAGCACAUAAAUAAUUGAAAUAAAACAAUAGUCUUUGGUAUGUGUAUAUUUCGAUGUACGAAAAAUAAGAGCUCAUACAGCUAUCUCUGAGGCUUGCAGGCCUCCUUUUAUGUAUAUGUAAUAAUAUUCUUGUUUUUCGUUGCCUAGGCAAUCCUCAAUGGAAGAGUUUUCGGGCCCUAUAUCCAAAAAUGUGCCGGAGAGCUAAUGCUAAAUGUGUGUACUAGUCUAUUGUUUGGUGCUAUACUUAACUUUGGCAUAGACUGGUGCACUGUUGGUACAAGACUGAAUUGGACUACUGGAUCUUAUUGAUGGACGAAUUCCAAGUGAAAUACCAAAUCUGACUCCUAAAUUCACUCCUUAUUAUUGACCAAAAAGAAAUAAAUUUCUCUCCUUAUUAGGCUGUCAUGUUUGGGGUUGACUAUGAUGAUUGCAUUUUGCUAAAAUUGAAAAUCAGGACUGUCAUGUUGGGUGGUUUUGUUCAAAUUGGGAACUGUCUGUGAUUGUAUGUAUGCUAAUAUGUUUACAUUUAAUGCUUUUUCCUUUUCAUUUCAGUUGGGAACUGAUCAUUGUGGUCGUGGAGCUUCCCCUCGUGGUUUGCGCUCUUUUAUUCAACUUUUUGGGGGUCUUGCGUAUGUUUUAUAACCAUUUCUCUGAUACUUAUGUUUGAUUCUAAUAGUGUUGCAGGAUAGACUAUUUGGAAUUUUUGAAAACUGUCAAAAGUUAUUUAUUUUAAUUACAUAAUGCUGCAAACUCCAGCUUUCUUCCAUGCUCUAAGUAAUUGUUAUGCUUUUAAUUUUUGUUUGUGUUGAUGCAUGUUGUAUGUCUCCCUUACUUUGUUCUUUGGUCAAUACUCAAGUAGUAUUUUUAUUUCUUGUUAUAUGCAAUAUGGUUAUACUUGGCUGAUCACAAACUUUCUUUUUUUACUAGCUCUUGUUGUUUCCUUAUUUCUCCGCUUUUAAUCCUCUUGAGAAUGCUUUUCCCUGUUUCAUGUAUUUCUUAUUAGUCGGACAGUGCUUAGGACUUUAGAAUUUUUUAGAACUUUGAUCCAUAUGUUAAUGUUUUGGCAGUCUGGUAUGGUUAGGGAGGCUCCAGCCAAAGCAAGUCGAGCUUGUAAUGUACUGCAAUUCUAGCUCUUCAAUGUUGGUGUAGAUGCAUAAUACUGUAUUCUCUUUCUUUUCAAGCUUUUAAUGUUGGAUUGAAAUAUUUAUAUCAUUUAGUUAUUAACAAUUUGAGAGUUGGAAACUAUCAAGUACUGUGCAAUAUUUCAUGAUAAUUGUUGAAUGAAGAUAUGACUUCUAUUUAUUUUAGUUUGGCAGUACAAGAGUUGAAUGACGUGCGGGAGAACAAAAAAAUUCAUUGUUACACCACUUGAUAAACCUAGAUUCAAUCGAUGUCAUAAUUAUAAUAAACAUCAUAUUAUAACAUGAAGUGUUGUUUUUACCUCUUAAGACAUCGGGAAAUAUAUCAUUAUAGUGGUUCUUGUUAAAAAGAAUCGCAAAUAUGAAGAAAACGAUGCUCAUAACAGCCAGACACUACAAUGUGUGAAAAUAACCGAUGCUAAAACCUUAAGUGAUGUGAUUCUUAUGAAAAGGCAUCAGUGCUAUAUAAAGGACUGUUGUUGUUGUAGUCAAAGACAUCAGAAGUCAACAAAAUUUGGACGAAAGUCAAUAAUUGAAGCUCAUUAAGGCAUCAUUUUGUUGAAGAAACCGAUGUUUAUGUAAAAGGCAUUGAUUUUCCCUGAUGACUUUUACACCCCUCCUUUAACAUCACAUUACGAGGCAGCCGUAUGUGAUAGUAAAACGCAUCAAUUUUCUCUGAUGCCUGUUAGCCUUUUUUUGGUAGUGUGAACUCUCGGAUGGAUGUCUCGAUUGCUGAGUUGGUUGCUCCUUUUUAUAUCGAGGGAUGACUCAUAGUUAACCAUACAUGUCGAUGUGGGAUUAAAUACAUGAUUCUAACAUAUAUAGCCAUGAUUCAUAUCCAACAAUUAGAACCUCAUGUAUGUUGAGGUUCGAUCCCAAGGAAUAAUAUUUUUUCCUCUCACAUCCUUACACAGGGUCAUAAAGUAGAUAUAUAUAUAUAUAUAUAGUCCCUUUCUGUUAGGGAUUCUUUAAAUAAUUUUAUUUGAGGGAUACCCUUUAGGGUACCAUACGAUUUUUUUUUUUUCCAACGAUCCAAACUAUCUAAUUUUGAAGUCUUCAUUCAUAGAUCUUCCUUACAACAACAACAACAACAACAAAAAAGACAAAUUGAAAAUCAUUAAAGCAUCUAAUUAAGACCAACAAAAUUAAUGAACACGGUGCUUCAAGAAAGUACACAAAUUUCAAUAAUUUAAUUGAAUGGUCAAAUGAUAUCGGAUUCAAGUAUUUUUUUUUUGUAGAGAUGAUCUUAUAAUGAAUAUUCACACAAUAGACGAUUUAGAUUAGUGAAAUAUAAUAUGGAGUGGGCCUUACAAAGGUGUCACUCUUCACUUUAUGAACCUGUGUUGACAGAAGUGUGAGAAUAUAGCUUAGAAAGCAAGCUAAUGCCCACUUGACAAUAUUCCUCCACUUUUAUCUAUAUAUAGUGGGGAGAAAUAUACCAUGUUUUGAAAGUGGACAAGGCAAAGCAAUCUUCAACUUUGACCAGCUUCCAACUGAUACGUACAAUGACAUUUACCAAUAUGCUGAAGGCGUUGGGUUUGCUCAACAAUGGUCCAGCUCCAGAGCAAUGCUACAAUCCAAAUAGUACCAGAGGCACUCCUGCACCUGCUACUUCCAAAGGAUAUAAUCAUCCAGGUUAUUCUCCUCCUCCUCCUCCUCUUCCUAAUGUGGUUAAUGGCUAUCCAGUCAAUAAUAAUUACACUCCUAAUCCUGCUCCUAAUGCGUACUACUACUAUUAUCCCACACAACCAGCCCCAACUAAUCCUUCAGAAAUAAGCCAUGAUAAUGUGACGACGUUUGUUCCUCAUGGACAUGACAUUAGUGAGGGCUUAAAGCCACCCAAUGCAUAUGACAAUAGUUCCUCAAUUGCUGGACCUGACCAACCGGCAAAUUCGAAAAGUAGAAUUAGUACUUGUGCUAAUCCCCAGCUGCCCAAGAGUAAUGGAAAAGUUGACAAGCACAAGAAUAUUGGAGAAAAGAAUGGCAAGAAAAAGAACGGGAAAAAAAAGAGUUCCAGAUCAAGCGGCGAUUCAUUCAAGGUUCAUGGGAAUACUAUUAAUGGAGGCAAAGGCGACAAGGUUGGAGUUUUCGACUUUGGUAACAAGUAUAGUAGAGGCGGCAAGAAGAGAGAUGAAGAAGAAGAAGACUCGACUGAAGAAGAAACUGACUCCGGUACUGAAGACGAAAGAGAUUAGUUCUGAAGUAAUUACUACAUAUAUGAUGGCAACAGUAAAUAAUGGAGUUGUCAAAAUAUAUAGGCAACUUACAUGGUACUUAAAGAUCAAAUUCAAAGCAAAGGACCCACUAGUGUAGUGGUUUUUGGAGUAUUUACUCCCUCAGGCAAGGUCCUGGGUUCGAGUCCUAGCAUCCGUGUUGUGUGUGUGAGUUUAAUAUACUAUCGCCCCUUUCAAUAGAAAAGGACCUCAAAAAAAAAAAAAAAAAAAAAAAAAAGAUCAAAUUCAACAAUAUUCUGUAAAUGUUAUCUAGUCACUCUUGAUUUCAAAGAAAAAAAAAAUUGUGUAACGAUUAUAUCUAGCUAUUCAAUCGCAGUUAUGGUGGAUAUGUAUUCAAUCUUAUGAAAUAAUAUUUCAUUUGAGAGCAGUUAUUUUCAAAUAGCAAGUACUCGAAAUAUACGUUGGGAUUAAGCAAUCUUUAUUUAUUUAUUUAUUAAAGGCCAAAGACCAAAAGACUUUAUUCAUCAAUAAAAUGCAGAGAACACAAAUCAUCUGAAGGUAAGAGUGAAGCCAACUAGGCCCCCUUCAAUCCAAUAACAUGUCUCAUUACAAGAUUAAGCAAAUUUGGCUAAUUGGGGAGCCACAAAAUUACAUGAACGAGUGCUCAUGUCAAAUUCAGUUCGGUUCAUGGCCUUAAUCACCUCCAAACAAUCACUUUCAAUAAUCAACCUUGUGAACCCUGCAUCUAAUGUCAUAUGACAACCUAGGCUUCAAAAGCCUUAGGUAAAGACAGCCAAUUACAAGUUUAGCCAUGGCAUCCAUUAAUUCUUCAUUGGCAUUUCGGACUACUACCCCAUCUUUCUAUCAGCCACACAACAUGCCAUCAACAAUUAAUUUUAGCAAAUCCCCCUCAGGAGGUUUCCAACGUCAAGUAACUAAUUGGGACUAAGUAAUCUGCAAAGUGACUGGAAGAUUAUUUUUUCUAGCCACUUGAAAAAUGUUACUCUAUUUAGCUAUGAGAAUCACGACAUUUCUAAUAAUAAAAUAAUAUCUCUUAUUGUAAACAUUUUCUAAUAUUAAAAUAAUAACUCUUAUUAGAAACACUUACAUAUAUGUUGUUUACACAAUAAUCAACCGAGCAUAUCCAGCCUCAAAGCGACUAGCACCAAAGGCAGACACGCCUUCUUCCCUGCCGAAGGAAGACAUUUUUCUGAGGUACCAAGCACCUGCUGAAGCUCCCGACUGCCGAACCUAAUCUCCAGCACACGUGUCACCACCACAGUGACUUGCACAAAGUCCCACAUCGAAACUUUGUGCAAACCUCCCACUUUCACCUCUCUAUAAAUAGGGAACAAUACCCAAGUAAAAAGGGUAACUUCUCUCUCACUUUUACUGUUACCCUACCAAUUUUACUACUCCUAGCUGACUUAAGCAUCGGAGAGCCUUCGGCCAGCACCACACCGGUAUUUGAAGCUUAACGACUGCUUCUUCUAUUUUAUCUUCUCCAGACUCUUCUCUUACCAAAGGUCCGCACCUUCUCCCCUGCUUAAGGCAAUCUACUUCUCUCUAAGUUCACCUCCCAAAAAGAGCAUCAAUGCGUGUGACAAUGACAGAAUGCAAAAGAUAAGGAGAGAAAACGAUGAGGAUUAGCAAAGCCUCUUCUUUUACAUAAUAGUCUUGAUAGAUAUGUUUCCUAAAAAUGUCCUCAAAAUACUUUUACAGGUUGGAGCCUAACACCAACAAAUGCAGUGCAGUAGUGGGUCUUGGAAAAGGUUUAAAGUUAGAAUCUUCCUCCGUGUCAUGACUCAUACAUAACAUUUGAGGUGUGAAACAUCCUUCAACCAAGAAAAACUGGAAGCCAUAAAGCUUGACGUCUUCGUAGCAAAAGAGAAAGGGUAUAUAUACUUUACUUUUCGUAAAAAGAAAAGGUAUAGUCAGAAUAAAAUUUUCUUUUUAUUUGAUGGUGAGAAUGAGUAAGCAGUGACAGAUUUAUUUAAGGGUGAGUGAAGACUAUUACCCUUAUUAGGUCCUUUUUGUUGCCCGUGAAAUUCAAUUGAUACUCUUUUUGAGCAAAGUGCUAUGGGGACAAACUGUUUGAUAAAAUUCCUUACAUAUAAAUUAUCUAGCACCCACCAUCUUCUUUUUGUUUGAUGCUAAGAAUAAAGUUCAUUCAUUGUAUUAUCGAUCGAGUAUGGCUAAGUCCUUAAUAAAAAAACCCAGUACUCUAAACCCUCACGCAUACGACUUCAUUGGAAUAUUCAAAGAGCGUUUGAAAAGCUUUCAGGAAUUGGAAGCCAAUUCUUUAUUACGUGCUAAGAAAGAAUCAUAUUCCGCCCAUACCAGGAAGAAAUAUCAUCAUCAAUCACAUUCUCUUCUCGACAAAGCUAACACUUAUAUAAGAACCCAAGUUAAUUACCAAGACGUGUAUGCAAACUUAAGAUAAAAAAUGUCGACUGGCAACCUAUUUCUAAAGCCUGACUUGGAGAACCAAAACAGCAGGUUCUCGAGGCCACCAGGUUAUGCCCCCCAGCCAGCAGCUGCUUCCAACAGCAAUGGAAAAAGUGGCAGCAAAGCAAAGAGUGGCUCUAAGAAAAAGAAAGGCAAGCCAUCAGGCGAUAAUUUCAGAAUUAGUGGGAAUACUAUUAACGGAGGCAAAGCCGACAAGGCCGGAGUUUUCGGGUUUGGCAACAAGUACAUUGGCCGCAAGAAACAGAUAGAAGAGGAGUCCAGUUCUGGAAGCGAAAGCGAUGACUCCAGUGAAGACAGAGAGUGAAGUGUAUAAUAGAAGGUUUGUGGACCAUAAUUAAAUAAUGACUUUUCCACUGCCUCUUAAUAUGCACUGAAUUACUAAAAAUAGCUAGAAUAACAGAGGUUUUGUAGGCCUCUUUCUCUUGUUAUACAUAUAUGUGUGUAAUUUAAAGAGAAAUAAUAUAUAGGCAAACCUUGCUAUAUAUAUGAUCCACAUGCAAUUCCACAUUAAUUAAAGCGACCCCAAAUGCAAGACAGGACUUCCAAUUCAAUGAUAUAAUUGAUGCUGAAGCAAUUUUCAACCUAGAUUAGUACUAGUCUAACCAUGUUGGAUCAAAGUCACUAAAUUUGAGGAUUAAACCCAACUCCUCAAUGAAAAUUUGGAUCUAUAUCAUAUUUUUUAUAUUUAUUUCUCAAUACAAAAUUACCAAUUUUCAGCUAGCUUGUUCCUAUAUACUAGAUAAACAAUCUUAACAUGAUUCCAUUCCCAGGUUCAAAGCAUUUGCAAUGCAAACCCUCUCUUUUUCAUCUAUGUCCAACAGUUUUGGGAUCCCUUUCAUGUUGUAGGGUCUGAUAUGAUAUGAGUUACUCCUCACCUUUCUCAGUGCCCCAUCCUUCUAAAUCCUUUGGGCCUUGACAACAAUAACUAAUUUUGUGGAUCCCUAAACCCAAAAAUAACAAGAAAAACUAAAUAGGGACUGCUACGGGCCUUCAAACAAGGUAAGGCCCAGAGAGGAUAAGGUAGGUUGGAAAAUAGGACAGUUGGGUGCAAAGAUAGGAUUGUGGUUUUUCAAAUUUUCAUGGUGGGUGAGAAGAUAAGGUAGAUGGGGAAAUAGGACAGGGGGUGGAAAUAGCAGCACUAAUUAUUUUUCAGUCAAAUUCGGAGUAGAUUAAUGAUUUGCAAGUAUAUACAUUUUGUGCAAUGGACACAAAGAAACAAUCUGUGACUCUGUCUUUGGUGCUUAAACUUUGGCAGGUUUGAAUUAUAUGGGUGUAGCAGGGACAACUCUUGCUGUUAGAGCUACAACAAGGAGAGGUUGAAGAUAAAAUUUGCAGGUGUUUGACUGGGAGUUAUCAGAAGAUGACCUUGACAAGAUCAAUCAAAUCCCACAGCACAAAAUGAUGAGGAGAGAGAAGAACUGGAUUCGGCAGAUGGAUUAUUAUCACGAUACAAAUCCGUUGAAGAAUUAUGGGACGGAGAGAUUUAGACCUGAAAACCAACCCUUGUUAAGUAACAUGGAGUGCAUCCAAAAAAAGGCGCCAGGGCCCAUCUCUAAUAGGAUUUUUAUACUUGAUAGGAAGGGAGGCCUUCCACUAUAUAUUUUUUUGGUUAUCAAACAGGAGCUUAAAUAUUGAGAAUUUGAGGUGAUUCCAGAGUAAUCCUUUUUGGUCGCCUCAAAUUCUAUAAUCCAUAAACUAGAUCUUAAUAAGUAAAAUUUGUCAAUUUGUCGAAAUAAAUUGCCAUAAGCUUCCUAGAAACACAAGGGGCUCACUAAUCAUCAAUUAAUCAGAAAAUGGAUGUGAUUGCAAUCAAUUGAAAAUAGAAAGAAAAAGAAGAAGUGAGUAUUUUUGAUAGUUAAAUAGGACGUAGUUAGUUAAUUUUAUAUUUUACUUUAAAUAUUAGGGUGUACGAUUAUAGGGUGCACUCAGUAAAUUUUAGGGUUCGUUUAACAACGCCCUUUAUUUAUAGAAACCAAACAAAUCAGAAAGAGAAUUGAUCAUUUUUACCUUAUGGGUAAUUAAGAUAAGAGCCGUAUCCCACACUACCCCAUCUUUAGUAUGUUGUUCCUCCAUAGGCUGUUCAUUCAUAACAUAUUAGGGGUUGUUUCGUACGGGGGACUGUCAUGUACUGGAUUAAAUAUUGGUACUGUCUUAGAUUGGCUUGGCCUGGCAUAAGCUGGAUAACACUUGUACAGCGUUUGGUGUAUGUUUGAUUGGACUAGGACUAUAUAUAUAUAUAUAUAUAUAUAUAUAUUUUUUUUUUGAAGUAAGAUUUUUUAAUAUUUUUUUGACUUUUCUUCUCUCUCCAUCUUUUUCUUCCUCUUUGCAUCUCGUUUUUUUCUUUUUUGGACGAACCUCUCUACAUCUCUUUCUUCUUCUUCCCCUAUACAUAUCUUCCAUCUUCUUCUUCUCCAUUCUCUCCUCUUCUUCUGUCUACUUUUCUUUUCUUUUCUUUUUUUCAAAAAUUUUCUCCCAUCUUCUUUGUUUUUUUUUUUCUAAAAUUUUCUCUCCUCUUCUUCUACAUUUUCUUUCCUCUUCGUCUCCAUUUUCUUUCUCCUUCUCUAUUUUUUUCGAAAAAUUUCUCUCAUCUCUUCUUCUCCAUUUUCUCUCCUCUUCUUUGUUUUGUUUUUCGAAAAUUUUUUGUUCUCUCCUCUUCCUCUUCUAUUAUGUCUUCUCCUUCUUGGGUGGCUGUGGUUGGUGGCUGGUGGCUGUGGUUGGUGGUCGUGGUGGGUGGUCGUAUCUGGUGGUUGGGGAUGGUGCUUGUGGCUGCCGCUUGGUGGGUCGUUGAUUGUGGGUGAAACAAACAUGGGAUAAAACUUUAGCCAAACCAGUCCAAGCUUGCACGGUGUAACAAACAUGCCCUUAUUAUAUUAACAUAGCAGCUUAAUUUGAAAAGGACAAGAUUCUUAUCUUAAGGAAGCUUCGUAAUGUCUUAAUUGUUUGCUGGUCGUGAACCACCAUUAUAACUGGGCCCAUUAUUAAGGACCUUCAAUUUUCUUGUUUUUGAAUUUAUUCUGGAUUUGCUCGAGCUCCAAUUGUUUGGAAGUCACGGAACAUAUAAGAAGAAUCGAAUACUUCAAAGGUAGUGAAAUUAUUCGAAAAAACUAAUUAAAGUAAAAAGAAAAAGAUUGUGUUCAAACUAGCUAGCUAGUGAAAGGGUGUACCACGAAUAUUGAGACCUUGUUUUUUUAUAGAUCAAAGAUAUAUGAAUGGGACAUUUGAUUAUAGAUAUUAGGUAUAUUCCCCUUUUCAAUCAUAUGAAAAAAGUUAAUUUCAGCCCCAAUUCCUAUAUUAAAACUUGCCUUCACACUUUGGAUUCUACACUAGUUUCGAUUCAAACAACUCCUUCUUCUUAAUUUGUGCUACACAUAUAUAAAGACUCUAGUUAGAGGUGCACUACAUUUAUUCCUAUUAUCACUAACUUAUUAAGAAAUCAUUUUUAUUUGCUAGCAAUUGGGUUCUCUCUCUCCCUCCCAAAUCACGUUUCUGGAGUUUGGGUGGGCCGAGGGGUACGACCUUUCCAGGUUGGUUGUUCCUCAUUAGCAUUAUAUGUUGACGAAAUGGACACAAUUCACAUUCCGAGGGCAUACAGUACGUAACUUGGCAAGCAAGCUAAGACUACGAGUAGAUCAUGAUCUAUAAAAGGGUAGCAUGUUGAUGAUGUUUGAUUUAAAGCGGCCAAGGCAAAAAUUAGCAACCUAGCUAGUUAGCUAAGUAAGUAGUUUUGAGCGUCCAAACUUUUUCCUAGCUAAUGGCAUGUUCUUCUUUUAGGGCGGUAAUUUCAUGUUGUUGCUGUUGUUUCAAGUGUGAGGAAACUCACCAGCCUGUGAAAGAUCCACAGCCUCCUCCUAAAAAUUAUGAUAGUCCCAAACCUACUGUUGUGGAUCCACAGCCUCCUCCUAAAAAUUCUGAUAGCCCCAAACCUACUGUUGUGGAUCCCAGGGCCGGCAUGACUUUCAACAUUCAUGGGAAUGAGAUUAGCAACAACAAAGCCGAUGACGUCGGAUUAUCCCAAUUUGGCAACAAGAAGAAUGGCGGCCCCAUUGCUAACAACCAGGAUGGCGGCUCCCAUGGUGCCAAGCAGGGUGGCGGUGACAAACUUCAUCUCAACUUACAGGGUGAAAGCGACAAAGUUUGUUUCAACUUAGAGGGUAAUAAAAUUCACGGGAACCAGGCCAAGAAUGUCGGAUUUUCUGAAUUUGGCAACGCCUGAAUUGGAAGAAAUGGCAAGAUCUCGUUGCAUGCAAUUGAGGAAGGCCAAUAGGAUCACUUUUGCUUAUUAUAUAUGUACUAAGUCUAUCUACUAAAAUAAGAGCUGAUAAAAAGUAUCCUAACUCAAGUUUGUCUUCGCUUGCGUCUCUUUUCCAUGAAUGAUAGAUUUAGAUGUCAAAUCACCAAAAUAUGUAUGUCAAGAUUUGAAGAAAAAGGAAUUGAAAAAAACAAAUGAAUUUCAAAUGACUCCUUACAUAUAGUCAUUUUAAAUUCAUUGCAAAUGUAUUAAUUACAUUAAAUACAUUCAAUCAAAUGCUAUCAAUUUUAUUUUUUAGCAAAUUUAAACUUGUUGUCAAAUUCAAAUUUUAUUUUUUUUUUCGAAAAUAUCUCUUAGAGCAUCUACAAUGAGCUCUCUAAAUCAUCUCAUUAGACAAAUUUUAGGGAGGAAUUGAAAAAAUACAACUCCAACCAUGCUCCCUAUUCACCUCCUAAAAUAGGAGACCUCUAGGAGCUCUUAAAUCAGAUAAGAGAGAAAUGACUCAUAGUGGCUCCCUAUAAUUUAAUGCUGUUAUUAUUAUUAUUAUUAUUAUUUUUAGAGAUGGACCAAUCAUAUUGAAUUAAAAACUAACUAUAGUAUUUAUGACUCUCUAAACUAGGAAGUAUGAUUGAAAUUCAAAUUUUGUAGAGAACUCUCUUAAAAUAACUUUUAUAUAUUAUUAGCUAAAUUUUAACUAAAAAAUAAGAACCAUGAUUAUAGAUACUCUUAAUAACUAAAAAGGUCAAACCAAUUUCCAAUCAUGAGUCAAAUCAAAGUAGUUCUAAACUUCGUGAAAAUGAGUCACACUGAUCACAAUCCACAAAUCCCAAGGAGUCACUCUUUGGGUUUGGUAAAGGUGCACAAUAUGGAUAGAAAUAAACAAGAAGAAAGAAGAAAUUUUAUCGAGUGAAUGUGUUUGGCCGGUAAGGUUCCAAGUGCCAGACUAUUCAGUUGGUUUGGUUGUUCCAAGGAUAAGAAAAUUCUGUGGAAACUAGUAAAGCAAACAUUUAUUCGUGUAGAUAUAGAUAUAUAUAUAUAUAUAUAUAUAUGGGAAGUCAUAAAGGGUUUUAUAAUUUUGUGGAUUAUUCUCUCUAUUUUUUUUUUCUAAUUAAGUAAAAACUGGGAAGGGGAAAUCUCACACACACGGGUACCGCAGGGAUUUGAACCAAAGUUCACUUGGGAGCACACCAAAGACCUGAAUCAAUCCAACCAACACCCUAUUAGUAGUUCCACUCCAGUUCCUUUUAGUAGAACCUGUUAAAAACUGGGAAAGGGAAAGCUCACACACACGGGUACCGCAGGGAUUUGAACUGAAGUUCACUUGGGAGCACACCAAAGACCUGAAUCAAUCCAACCAACACCUUAUUAGUAGUUCCGCUCCAGUUCCUUUUAGUAGAACCUGUUAAAAUUUUGGAUUCUAGAGUUUCAAUUGAACAAUUGAUCUUUCUUCAUUGUGCUCCGCGUAGAGGGUACUCUAAUUACACUUUGAUGGUGUUAAGAUAAGGGGAAACAAAGGAAAAAAAUGUCGGAUUCUCCAACUUUGGCAACGAGUGAAUAGGAAGAAGAGUGAACGGAUAUGGCAAAAUUCUGGUUGCAUGAUUUUGUAUUGGCAUGCAAUUGAAGGCCAUAAAUAAUUCCUGCUUAAGAACUAUUCUUUUGCUUAAUAAUCCCUUUUCAUCAACCUUGCUAGUGUUGAGGAUUUGUACAAGUUUUUUUUUUCUUUUGGUUGCAAUUUCUGGAUCGCAAUGUAUAUAGAUCCUCUCUCAGGUUUCUUACUCCCCGCCGCAACAGACAUGGUCAAGUUAAGUAGGGGUGGGAGAUUCAUUAUUAUACCCUAUAUAGGAGCAUAAAUUAUAAAAACACCCAACAUGAAAUGGACUUUAGUCCUUCUAGAACAUAACAAAGAUGAUUUUCUAACUUCUUAUAAAUUACAAAACUGCCAUUUAUUUUUUAAAACAAACGCAACCCCAAAACCACAUUAAAAAAAUCUAAAAUACUCAAUAGGGCAUCACAGUAAUUUAAUAAUCAAAAUUAAAUUCAAUAGGGCCAGCUGUCAUUUUUUGGGUUGUUUUUUUUUAUUUGUCUAUAGAAAUUAAAUGGUUUAAGAUUUAUCUAUAUCAUUAAUGCUAAGAAUGAGUAUAUAACUAAAUAUCUCUUAGUUUUAAGUAUGAUUAAAAGUCAUUUCGUAUAAUUACCUAUCAUCAUGCUUUACACUGAAAUGAAAAAAAGGUUAUUAUUCUAUGCUAGUUAUUAGCUAUAGUGGAUUGGUCUCUCCAUCAACCAUGUUCACAAAAUUAUUCUAUGCUUUGCCAAAUCACUGACCCAAAUUGGUCGAUGAUGAUUGGAGUGUUGACCCAGUUGUCUUAAUUAGGAAUGUCAAUGACCACAGCAUAUUUAUUAGUGUGUUUUUUCAUGUUUUGCUUUCGUUGAUUUUGUAUAUUUAGUUUGAUCCCAUCUUUGGGGUUGGUUUUGUUGUGGGGUUUGGUUAGUUAUCCCCCGUUGUUGAAUUCUUCUUUUUAAUAAAUUUCUCCUCGUACGAUCAAGGUUCCAAAAGAAAAAAAGAAAGGACUCAUAUGACAUUCCUCCUGAUCUUGAUAUAAUCUAUAUAUAAAUUGACUAGUAUAACAUUAGCAAUGCAGAGUAUGGAGGAAGACAAUGAAGAAAAAAUUGGCAUAAAGGAUAGUCGUGACUUGGAUUGGAAGAUUUACAAGAAGAAGAAUAAAGUAUGGCGAUAUGGAGCAUAGGUUUUAACACUUCAACUACCACAACAACAAAAAAUGGUAACAGUCAUUAUUAUUUGGUGACAGAAUCAAACUGUAGCACAAAGGAAAACAAUUCACAUUCGGAGGGCAUAAGUAGCUUGGCAAACAAGCUAAUGAUAUUCUUACCUUCACUAUGAUCAUCUAUAUAUAUAUAUAUAUAUAUAUAUAUACAGAGAGCUUCCAUUGAGGGAUCCCUCAAAUAAACUUAUUUGAGGGACACCUCUUGUAGGCCCCACUCCGGAUUGUAUUUCACUAAUCUAAACCGUCUAUUUUGUAGAUACUCAUUCAAAGAUCAUCUCUACAAAAAAUCACUUGAAUCCGAUAUCAUUUGACCACUCAAUUAAGUUAUUGAAAUUUUAGUACUUUCUUAAAGCACCGUGUUCAUUGAUUUUGUAAGACACAAUUGAAUGUCGAAAUGGAAGCCGAUUUGUCUAAUUUUUUGUAAGGAUGAUCUAUGUAUGAAGACUUAAAAAAUAGAUGGUUUGGAUCAUUGGGAAAAAAAUUGUAGGAUACCCUAAAGGGCGUCCCUCAAAUAAACUUAUUUGAGGGAUCCCUCAAUAGAAGGGGACUGAUAAAUAUAUAAGUGGAGUGGACAAAUGAAGGCAAAUUAACUCGUAAGCUAGCUCUUACCUCUUGAGCCUAUCCCUCUCCAACUGAUAUCCCACAAUGAUCAUUUGCUCCUUAAUUCUCGGUUUCUUGGAUGCGUUGGGCCGGGACCCUGAAGAGCCUAAGCGUAAUCGCCCACAGCGGCCUCCUCCUAAUUAUAAAUUUAUAAUUACUGUAAUCCCAAUCCCAAGUAUAAUUGUAAUCCCAAUCCCAACUACAAUUGUAAUCACAAUCCUAACUACAAUUGUAAUCCCAAUCCCAAUCCCAACUAUAAUUGUAAUCCCAAUCCCAAUUAUGAUUAUAAUCCCAAUAGACCCAGACCACCAAGCAACAACGGAGGCAGAUAUCCUGCUGGUCUUGAUCCAAACCGCAAAGCAAACUGUUCACUUUCAAAGGGAACGAAAUUAGCGACAACCACGCCGACGCGCAGGCGUUUAACAACUUCGGCAACGUGCAUAACGGGGUUAAUAGGCAGCACGACGACGAAGACAACGCUAUUUUCGGGUUUGAGGAUAAUAAAGUCAAGGGAAACCAGGGCAAAGUGAAAGGAUUUAACGACUUUGGCAACCAGUACUAUUGAGCAGGAAGAGGAGUACCGGUGAACCAAACCAAUGGCAACCUCUCGCUGCAUGCAUACAAUUGAAGAAGGCCAUAAUAAUAUGUAUUGUGCUAAAAUAUCUACAUUAAAAUAAGAGCUGAUGCAUCAUCUGAGGCUUCUACCUUGGCUAGGCCUCCUUAUCAUGUAUGUGUUACUAAUAUUAUGCUGAUAAAUUAAUGGGAGCUACAUUACGAGUCAGUUUGGAAUUGUUGUUGCUUUAUAAAUAAAUAAAUUAAACUUAUAGUAUGUUUUGAAAAUAAUUAAUUAUAAAAUACAGUAGUUUCAUGUUUGGUAAAUAAUAUUUUUAAAGUGAUUAUGGAUAAUGACUAAAUUAGACAUGAUGUUGAAAGACUUAUGUGCUAACCAUGUGAUGGUAGUAAUGACAAUAAUGGUGGUGGCGGUGGUGGUGGAGGUGGUGGUGGGUGGCGAAUGUAGUUUGGGCAACCACAAACAUAAAAAUAAUUAAGUUAGUCGUUGGUAUAAGUGUAUGGGAUGAUAUGGGUUCAAGCGAAAGAUUUUAUUCUAUAUAAUAUCAAUUAUUUGCUGUAAAAAUUUGAUAACUAAACUUUUCUUGAGGAUGUUAAUGGGGUCUAGCCCAGUGAAAAAGAGUCUUGAUCUGCAAAUCAGUGGUCUCAUGUUCGAAUCUCAUGGCACCUUGGCAGUGUGUGUGUGAGAAACCCCCAUCCCCCUCUAUGUAAGACUAUCCCAUGCAUUCAAAUAAAAUAAAAUUGUUGUGCAUCAUAUAUAUUGAAGAAAUUUUUAUUGAAGUUAACUACAUUUUACUCCAUGCAUAUUAGGGUCAUUAUCAAAAUAGGCCUCAAUGUUUUAAUUUCAUCAAUAUGAAACCCAACUGAAAGGACCCGCUUCGAAUUUUCCUGAAACUCGAGACAAAUCCUGUGGAAUUCCCGACAUCAUCCCGAUACCGGGCCCACCUACUAAAGACCGAGACUUUCUGCCGAAAUUUUGGCAGAGUCUCCCCUGUAAAUUGGACAUUUCUCAAAAUUACCACCUGCAUAAAACACAAUUUAUAUCCCCAACUGGCAGCAUGCACAAAAUAAUUUCAUACAAAUCACAUAAUCGGCAUUCAACCUUCAAAUAAUUCGAAACGAAACCACCAAGUACGAUAUCAAAUCAAUUCCUAUCUUAAACAAGGCAAACAAUAAAUUUAAUCACACUUAAGAAUAUCAAAGCAAUCCAUUACAUUUAAUUUUCUCAACAGCCAACAUACGAGGUUUUAACCUCGUAACACAAUCAUGUUUUCGCCUCAAAUUUCAGGACCAACAACAUGGUCGAACCAAUCUCCAUAAAACAACAUGACUAACAUUUAGCAUGCGGCUGCACCUAGCAACCUUAGGCUGCUUACGUACCCUCCCUGAGGGAUCAAGCCACACGUAGUUCUACCAUAAAACCUAAUCCCACACAUAGGCAAUACCUUAUUUCAUUUCUUUGUAUUUCACAUAAUCUCCCCAUAUGCCGGUACUACCAACGCUACGUAUGGGGCCUGUCAACACGUCAGAUAACCUACGCCACGUGCGACCAUACCAUACUAUCACAAUAUCUCCUCAUACGCCGAUACAACCAACGCCACGUAUGGGGCCUGUUAAUACGCCGGAUAACCUACGCCACGUGCGACCAUACCAUACUAUCACAGUAUCUCCCCAUAAGCCGGUACAACCAACUCCACGUAUGGGGCUUGUCUGCACGCCGGAUAACCUACACCACGUGCGACCAUACCAUACUAUCACAAUAUCUCCCCAUACGCCGGUACAACCAACGCCACGUAUGGGGCCUGUCCGCACGCCGGAUAACCUACGCCACAUGAGACCUAAACAUCAUUCACAAUAUCUCCUCAUACGCCGGUACAACCAACGCCACUUAUGGGGUCUGUCGACACGCUGGAUAACCUACGCCACGUGCGACCUCAACAUAUUAUCACAUAUCUCCCCAUACGCCGGUACAACCAACGCCAUGUAUGGGGCCUGUCUCAACGCCGGAUAACCUACGCCACGCGAGACCUGAACAUCAUAUCACAAUAUCUCUCCAUACGCCGGUACAACCAACGUCACGUAUGGGGUCUGUCGACACGCCAGAUAACCUACGCCACGCGCGACCUCAACAUAAUAUCACAUAAUCUCCCCGUAUGCCGGUACAACCAAUGCCACGUAUGGGGUCUAUCUCAACGCCGAAUAACCUACGCCACGCGAGACCUCAACAUCAUAAUACAAUAUCUCCCCAUACGCCGGUACAACCAAUGCCACGUAUGGGGUCUGUCUGCACGCCGGAUAACCUACCCCACGUGGGACCUAACUUUCAUAGGGUGGUACGUGUAGUGUAACUAAAAUCCGGGGAUGUGCCUAAGGUAGUGCGUAUAGCACUUCAAACUGACAUUCUAAACUCUUUUUGUACCUUUACAAACAUAUAUAAAUAUAUAAUUUAAUUCUAAUAUUGUGUAAACCUCAACAAUAGUCUAGCACCCGAUAAUCCCCUGGAAAGGUGAGACUACUACGAAAGACUCACGGUCAACCAAGGGUCAAACUACCCUAACCUUGGUCAAACGGGCCCACGGGGCCCACGACCUCCAAAUUCCGAUCCGAAAGUUUCUAUGGGUUCUACAAGGUACAAGACAGUCGUCCUGCAAGUUUGGUUCAGAUCGGACAGGCAGAUCGCUCACGAUCGCACGAUCUGACGGUUAAUAUAAAACAUAAACUUUAAAUUAUUUAAUCGGAACAUUCGGGGCUCUGAUUUACGAUCCGUGAAUUCCUACACGAUCUUAGAAAUACCUAGAUUAACAUAUAUUAUAUUCGAGACCAUCCAACGGUCCCAACCUAUCGAACCCGGAUAACGCGCAAUAUGCGAAAAUCCGUUCGAUAGUCAAACGACGUCCGAAUUGAGAUCCGCGAAAUCCUACGCACUCGUGACAACCAGAAGAUCACAUUGGGACAAUAAUGCCCCUCUGCUACAGUGCCCACGCGCCGGCAGCGCGUGGGUGUCCAAAGCGACACAGCUUCGCCGAAAAAUCUCAAAAUCAUGGCUCCAAACUCCUAUUCUAGGUAAAACACCCUAUUUGGAGCCACUUUUGUUCUUGGACCUACGCCCAAAAACUGACCGGAAGUGGCCGGAAUCGAGAUCCCAAAAUCUACCGAAUUUCAAUUCGUAAAUCGAAUUACCUACGCUCAAAAUCGAUGCAAUCAUACCCUACUAUCAGCUAGAGCAUGGAAAAUAGGUAGAAAUACAUACCUUACUCGUCUGAAUCGAUGGCCGGAGGAGAGAGAUCGGGCUCCUUGAACUUUGAGUUAAAAUCGGUCGGAUUUUUGCAUUUUUCAGCGAGCACAGGUGGUUCCAGUGGCUGAGAUUGGUCGAGAUGGGAAGAGGAAGAUAGCACGGUUCUUUUGGGACCGGUGGCCGGAUGCGACGGUGGUGGCCCAAAAACCACCGCGGUGAACAGUAACAAGGGGACUGUUUCUGCGCGGGGAGGAGGGAGACAGAGAGAGAGAGAGAGAAUCUGAUUUUUAUAAAUAAAAAAAAUCCCAUUUUGAAAUAUUUACGAUUUUGUCACUGAACUUGUUUUGUUCGUAACUUCUUUGUUUCAACUCCGAAUUGAGCCCACUACGUGUCUACGGACUCAUCUCAGUACGACCUUCCCAAAAAUACUAGUCACUGUCCCAAACUCCUUUCGGAUAAGAAAAUGACCAAAUUACCCCUAUCUCAAGGGUAAAUUUGUAAUUUCCCUUAAAUAAUUUAAAUUAUUUAAAUAAGGGGUCUAAUUUGGAGUCGGGGUGUUACACCAACGUUUUUAAAUAUUACCAAAUCACGCACUCCUUCAACUUACCGUUUUGAUGGUGAAUUUUGGCGAAAAAAGAUCUUACCUGUUUUGUAGGGGGUGGUAUUUAAUUGAGAUUUUAAUAGAUUGUAAUCACAAGAUUUUAAUAUAAUGGAUUUCAGCCGGAUUUGUAAUUAUAAAAUUUUACUUAUGAUUUUAAUAGAUUGUAAUAACCGGAUUUUACUUAUGAUUUUAAUUCACUUAGGACCAUAGUCUAAAAUAUCGAUAAUAUUCACGAAUCAAGGAUAUUAUUAUUUUUUCGGGUCAAUGAUAUUUUGGAAUGUAUUCAUACACAUAUCGUAUAAAUAUCGAUAAUAUCGGAAAAUAUCGACGUCAAUAAUUUCUCUCACACUUCAGCAAUAUUUGGCAAAAAUAUCGCUAUAAUAUCAAUAAUAUCGAGAUGAUGAAGACAAUGAAGGAGGAGGAUUCUAACUUUAAACCUUUUCCAAGACCCACUAGUACUGCACUGCAUUUGUUGGUGUUAGGCUCCAACCCGUAAAAGCAUUUUGAGGACGUUUUUAGGAAACAUAUCUAUCAAGACUAUUAUGUAAACGAAGAGGCUUUAUUUUAAUAUUAGAAAAUGUUUACAAUAAGAGAUAUUAUUUUAUUAUUAGAAAUGUUGUGAUUCUCAUAGCUAAAUAGAGUAACAUUUUUCAAGUGGCUAGAAAAAAUAAUCUUCCAGUAACUUUGCAGAUUACUUAGUCCCAAUUAGUUACUUGCCAUUGGAAACCUCAUGAGGGGAUUUGCUAAAAUUAAUUGUUGACGGGGCAUGUUGUGUGGCUGAUAAGAUGGGGAUAGUAGCAGUAGUCCGAAAUGUCAAUGAAGAAUUAAUGAAUGCGAUGGCUAAAUUUGUAAUUGGUUGUCUUUCCCCUAAAGCUUUUGAAGCCUAGGUUGUCAUAUGGCAUUAGAUGUAGGAUUCAUAAGGUUCAUUAUUAAAAGUGAUUGUUUGGAGGUGAUUUGUGAAACUCUGUAUUUUUUAUUUAUUAUAUAUAUGUUUUAUUUUGGAAUCUAUGAUAUUAGUAAUAACUAAGUGUUUUAUUAUUAUUCAUUUGAUAUGUAAUUGUUUAAUAAAGUUUUUGAAAGAUAUUUCAGCUUUGGCUUGAACAAAAAGGUUGUUAUAUUGUUAUCCCUUUAGUAAACCGCCAAUUUCUUCAUCCAAUAGAAGUAAAGGUGUAGCCGACAUUCCUCUAGUAUAAAUAGGAAUGCAAUUCUUUCAUUUUGAAACGCACGGCAUGCAUGGUUUGCAUGGAAAAACCAUAAGAGUUAAGAAAGGGAAAUACUAGAGAGAGAGAGAAUUUGGGUGUGGAUGCGGUGGAAAUUAGGGAGUCGUCAUACAAUUAUAGCGAUGCUUUGGAAAUGAGAUAAGGGUUUUUUGGUGACCAUUUACAAAGAUUGAUCUAAUUAAAUGUCGUGAGCAAUAUAAUAUGCAUGAUAUUAUUAUUUGAUUAUUAUUAAUAUUGAGUGUUUAAGUGUUGUUAAUUAUUAUUAUAUCAUUUUAUUAAUAUUGACAUGAUCAUAUGUUAUCAGUGAUGACUGGAAUUCUUGGGUUGAUAAAGAAAGUAUGGAAAAGAGGGUAAUGGAAAUAGUCUUUUGUAUAGUUGAGUCUAACUCUUGGCAGGUACCAGAUCUCAGGGAUCCCACAGUGCACAUGAUUUUUAUUGGGUGAUUCGGGACUGGCGAAAGGGAGUUAGACAAGAUGACUAACAAACGGGGAAUUACCGGAUGAUUGAGAUGGGUGUUAGUUCAUAUAAAUGGACAUUCGGGACCAAGUGAUAUAAGCAUGGUAUGGGACGUGCAGGUCUGCUCGUCCAGUUAUAUGAAUUAACGGGAGUAGAUGAAGAGCAUUCAUGCAUUAUUAUUAUUAAUGUGAUAUUUGGCUGUGUGAUUGCAUAUCGCUUAAUUUAGUUAUAUCAAUCUACUGUGGUAACCUACUGAGCGGUGGUUGCUCACUCCUCACUCUAUUUAAUCUUUUUCAGAUGAAUUAGUGGGCUAGACAAGGACUAAACCAGUUGAGGCUGAAUUAGAUGAGAGUGAUAUAGCUUUAUUUAUUAAUUAUAAAGUUAUAAGAUUUCGGAUCUACUUUUAUAAGAGAAGUUUAUUUUAAACCAUAUUUCGGUUUCUUUUUAUUUUAUUUUAAUUUCUAUUUUCUCAAGUACCGGGCGUGGAGUUUCCACCGACUCCCAAAUCCGUGGCGUGACAUGAUUAAGGCCGUGAACCGAACUGAAUUUGAAAUGAGCACUCGUUCAUGUAAUUUUGUGGCUCACCAAUGAGCCAAAUUUGCUUUAUCUUGUAAUGAGGCAUGUUACUGGAUUGAAGGGGGCCUAGCUGGCUUCACUCUUACCUUCAGAUGAUUUGUGUUCUCUGCAUUCUAUUGAUGAAUAAAGUCUUUAGUCUUUGGCCUUUAAUAAAGAAAUAAAUAAAAGAUUGCUUAAUCCCAACAUAUUUUUCGAGUAUUUGCUAUUUGAAAAUAACUGUUCUCAAAUGAAAUAUAAUUUCAUAAGAUUGAAUACAUCCACCAUAACUGCGAUUGAAUAGCUAGAUAUAAUCGUUACACAAUUUUUUUCUUCUUUCAAAGCAAGAAUGACUAGAUAAAAUUUACAGAAUAUUGUUGAAUUUGAUCUUUAAGUACCAUGUAAGUUGCCUAUAUAUUUUGACUACUGCAUUAUUUACUGUUGCCAUCAUAUAUGUAGUAAUUAUGACCACACAAUAAAAUUUCUUUCGUCUUCAGUACGAAAGUCAGUUUCUUCUUCAGUCGAGUCUUCUUCUUCUUCGUCUCUCUUCUUGCCGCCUCUACUAUACUUGUUACCAAAGUCGAAAACUCCAACCUUGUCGCCUUUGCUUUCAUUAAUAGUAUUCCCAUGAACCUUGAAUGAAUCGCCGCUUGAUCUGGAACUCUUUUUUUUCCCAUUCUUUUUCUUGCCUUUCUUUUCUCCAAUAUUCUAGUGCUUGUCAACUUUUCCAUUAUUCUUGGGCAGCUGGGGAUUAGCACAAGUACUAAUUCUACUUUUCGAAUUUGCCGGUUGGUCAGGUCCAGCAAUUGAGGAACUAUUGCCAUAUGCAUUGGGUGGCUUUAAGACCUCACUAAUGUCAUGUCCAUGAGGAACAAACGCCGUCACAUUAUCAUGGCUUAUUUCUGAAGGAUUAGUUGGGGCUGGUUGUGUGGGAUAAGAUUGCUUUGCCUUUUCACUUUCAAAACAUGGUAUAUUUCUCCCCUUUAUAUAUAUAUAAAAGCGGAGGAAUAUUGUCAAGUGGGCAUUAGCUUGCUUUCCAAGCUAUAUUCUCACACUUCUGUCAACAUAUAUAUAUUUUUCUCUCACAUCCUUGCACAGGUUCAUAAAGUGAUGAGGGAUACCCUUGUAAAGCCCACUCUACAUUAUAUUUCACUAACUCAAAUCGUUUAUUGUGUGGAUAUUCAUUCUAAUAUUAUCUCUACCAAAAAAAAAAAAACUUGAAUCUGAUAUCAUUUGACCAUUCAAUUAAAUUAUUGAAAUUUGUGUACUUUCUUGAAGUACCGUGUUCAUUGAUUUUGUUGGUCUCAAUUAGAUGCCUUAAUGAUUUUCAAUUUGUCUGAUUUUUUGCAAGGAACAUCUAUGAAUGAAGACUUUAAAAUUAGACAGUUUGGAUUGUAGAAAAAAAAAAACUCGUAUAGUAUCCUAAAGGGUGUCCCUCAAAAGAAAGGGACUAUAUAUAUACAUACAUAUAUGAAUAUUAUUCCUUGGGAUCGAACCUCAACAACAUACAUGAGGUUCUAGUUGUUGGAUAUGAAUCAUGGCUAUAUAUGUUAGAAUAGUGUAUUUAAUCCCACAUCGACAUGCAUGGUUAACUAUGAGUCAUCCCUUGAUAUAAAAAGGAACAAUCAACUCAGCAAUCGAGACAUCUAUCCGAGAGUUCGCCGUUUUCGGGUUUGAGGAUAAUAAAGUCAAAGGGAACCAGGGCAAGGUGAAAGGAUAUAAUGACUUUGGCAACCAGUGCUACUGAGAAGGAAGAAAGUGCGCCUGCCUGUGAACCAAACCAAUGGCAAUCUCUCGUUGCAUGCAUGCAUGCAAUUGAAUAUGUACGUACUAAAAUAUCUACACUAAAAUAAGAGCUGAUGCAAUAUAUGUAUACUAUCUGAGGCUCAUUCUUCGGGUAGGCUUCGUUUUUAUGUGUUAUUAAUAUUAUUCUAAUAAAUUAAUGGGUGCUUGACAUUAAUAUCAACUUCUUUUAGAUUAUCAAUGAAAAAUGUCCGCAAAUAAUUUGCCUCUCUCCUGUAUCGUGCUGCCAUCAUAAAUAAACAAAAUUCAAGUCAUAAUAUUCAUAAGUUUGGCUUUUUGACGCACUAAAAAUUUGUUACUAGUUUGGCAACCAAAAACACACACAAUUAAAUUGUCAAAGACAUCGUUAGUAUAAGUAUAUAAAUUGGUCGCUAAUAAAGAUAGUCUCCUUAGCAUUUUCCUUUUCAUGGACAAUCAGAACUAGUUUAUUAAACUUAUGAGUUGUUAACACAGAUGGAGCAAAGCUUCAUGAUGUACAGUAAACGGAUGAAGUGGUUGUUAGGUCCCAUUUGCAUUUUAUUUACCAUACAUGAUAUGAUAAGAGUUGUAUAAAAUCAACAUCCAAUAAGAUUAAUUGGAAUCUGGUCAAACACAUGCAAAAAAAUGCUCUAUCCUCUCAAAUGGGAACCUGUGAAUUCCAUUGGCUGUGAAAUUAUCAACCUUUGGUCCAAAGGCUUUGGAAAGAAAGGUUCUUAUCUCAAGGAAAAUUCCGUAAAGCACUACGUAUUUGUUGGUAGUGAAAUAAGGUUCUUAUCCUAUUUGAACUGUGAUAUAGAGACUUUUUUUUUCCGUUUACAAUAUUUUAUGGUAAGUUUAAUGAUGAGAGAUGCUAUAUAGAAAAUAUGCUUGUUCACUCGUUAUUAAUAAAUUUUCGCAAUUUAAAAAUCAUCACUGCAAAAAAAUCAAUGAAAAAUAUAUUAGAUAUGGAUCUUUCUUUUCUGAAAGCUAUAUAUGUCACCUUCAUUAUCCUUAUCAAAUUCGAACUUGCCAUGCAUGAAUUUGCUUGAACUCAACUAACUCCUCAAAACUAUAGGAAUUUCUCGAAAUUACUAAUUGAACUUCCCACCAUCCAUCUUUCAAGGACCCAACUUACACAAGUAGUCACAAACUAGCUCUCAACCAAGCCUGUUAGAAUUAAGCGUUCCCUUCCCUCCUCCAUUGAUUGAAAAAAGAAAAAAGAAAAAAAAAACACUUACGAAACAAGCCAUGAAUACUUAUAAGAACAAUAUUCUUAUGGUAAUGUCUUAUUUAUAUUUGUUGGUUGCUCCGUUAUUGUAAUGGUCUUUUAUGGCUAGUUUGUAUGGGUCUUUUAUGACUAGUGACUUUUUUGAUUAAAUUAUGAAUGCAAUUCUAUAAUUUAUCAACAACAAAAAAUCAACUAACGCACAUGGAUAAUGGAUCUCUCUCUUUUGAAAACAGCUAAAAGCAACUCCAUUGUCCUUAGUGAAUUUAUUCUUGAUUAGUUUUGUUGAAUUCAUCAUCUUCGAAUUAUUCCAACUUAAUUACGUAGCACAGCUUACGGAUGCAACUGAGCAUCGCACAUAGCUGAGCAAUUAAUGGGUCGUACUCGUAUGUAGCAGAGAAAUUAAAAAGAUAUUUACCCCAAAAAAAAAAAAGUUAAGAUAAGACAUUAGGCCCGUACUGUAGUAUAUUAUUCCAAGAAGAUAAAUGUGAAGAAUCUUAUGAUCAAUAAUAUAGAAUUUGUAUUAUCCUCUGUGCGCAUGCCAACAUCUAUAAAAGGAGACUGUGAGGCAAUAAGUCGAUCAUCCAAGCAAACUCACAGAUUCCAACUAAAAACUAAUCAGCAAGACAAUGACGAGUCACCAAGUGAAAAAUCAGGUGAGAGACACAGUUGAGGAAGGCUUCGACAACCUCCACAGGGUUGCCGACGUCGUGACUUUUCCUUUGGCCCCUCUGGACGGUGCCAUUCACGGCACGGCCCGAGGGGUCGUCAACUGGCUCACAGAUACCCAUCCUGAUAGAUCCAAGUCCAAGCAAAUUCCUAAUGGCGCUGGCUACGGUGGCGGACAUGGGGGCGGCUAUGGCGAUGGCGGAAACGGCAGUGGAUAUGGUGGAAAUCCCAACCGCAGAACUUUCAACUUUAAAGGGAAUGAGGUUAGCAACAACGAGGGCCCAACUUAUGGAUUUAACAACUUUGGCAACAGGCGUGGUGGCGGCCCCUACAGUGGCGGUUCUGAAUUCGGCUUUGAGAACAAUAAACUGAACGGGAACAAGGGCCACACUGAGGGAUUUAACGACUUUGCCAACGAAUACUGAAUAGGAACAAGCUCUAAGCAUGCAUGUAAUGGAAUAAGAGCUGAUCAAAUAUCUGAGGCUUGUAACUAUGCCUCUUUAGUUAUAUAAUAAAUAAAUAAAGGAAGCUGUUAUUUUUACCUUCUUGUCUUAUUUUCUUAUCAACUUUAUCUUUAAAAUUUUAAAGACAAAUUUAUCCCUUUAUAAAAUUACCUCUAAGAACUUAGUAGGACACACAUUUUCAAGCACAAUAAAACACACUUUUAACACCCCUAAAAUCAUUUACUAUCAACUGUUCGACUUCAAAAUAAUAAUUAAUGUUAUUUUUAUCUCUUUUUUUUUUGUCUCAAAAUUAUUCGACUUUUUCUUGGAAGAUAAAUUGCUCUCCCCCAAAAUCGUACUUUCUCUCUCCACUCUCUCGUCAUCUCCUCUAACUCAAAAGUCGAAAGAGAAGAACUUUCUAACCCACCAAAUCAUUCCUAAACUAAAAUUGCCCCGAGAUGGUUACAUCAUAUAGGUAUGGUACAAAAUGUGGUAUUCCUAAGGGAUCCGGAUCCUCUACUUGGAUUUUCUUUACCAUGAACUGCUUAACUUCUUUCCUCCACACACCACCUUAUUAAAAUUUAAUCCAAAGAAUUUAAAGUUGAUCACGUCAACAGACACAAAAUUCUUAAAACAAAAACUUAAUUUCUUCAUAAUUAAAAAAGAAAAAACAAAACCAUAAUUGACCUAACGGGAAAUUAACCUUCUGCAACUGCUUGUUUUUUUUUCUUUUUCCGUUCUAUGCAACGUCUGCCCCAAAAUUCUCACCCUUGCCCCCUCAAUCCAAAAUUCAAUCUUUCUUGUCGAAAACUAAUUAGUUGGUGACUAUAAUGUUGUUUUGAGUAAUAUUUAUGAGUAGUACUUCCUUUAUCUUUUAUUCUUUUGAUCUAGUGUAACUUGAAAAUAAUAAUAAUAAUAAUAAUAAUAAUAAUAAUAAUAAUAAUAAUAAUAAUAAUCUGUGUAUUUAUGGCUUUACACUGAAUUCAAGAAAUUUUCAGAUAACAAAAAAAUAAAAAAAGGAAUAUCAUAAUAGGUUUAGAUAGAGCGCAAAACAAUCUGUCAUUUCCAGAAGAAAAAACAUAGCUACAGUAUUCUUUGCAUUGAUUUUAGGUUUUGGGCUUUGCAAUUGAUACUAUAGUUGCAAGAUUGCACGUACGGGAGAUCGGAAAGAACUAAUUUUCAAAGGAGAAGAGAGAUUGUUGAUUGGGAAGAGACUGAAAGGCUGCCACAAUACAAGUUAGGUUAAUUAUUUUUCAGAGUGUUUAAUUUUUAGUUUUUAGAUCAAAUUUAAAUGAGAUGGCAUGUGGAGAAGAUAAGACAAGCAGAUAAUAGCAGAGAAAAACCAAACAAAUGAUCCAAAUCCAUUUCUAAGCAACAUUUAAAAAGGAUAAUUAGGAAUCCGGUCAAACACACCCAAAAGCUGAAAUGCUCUAUCCUCCUCGCAAAUAAGAAUCAAUGCAACAAUAUGUGAAUUUGUCAGCAUUUGGAAAGAACAAGGUUCUUAUCUUUAGGAAAAUUCCUUACAGCACUAAAUAUUAUUGGUAGUGAAACAUUAACUGGUCAUCAUCUUAUUUCAUGAUGAGGACCUAUAUAUAGCAACUUUUUCUUUAUUCGGUUACAAUUAUAUGUACUAUUUUUAAUGAGGAAAACUAUAUGGACAACACUUGGGUGUACUUCCUUGUUAACCCUCUAUGUGAUUCACGAACCAUUCAUCUUUAUAUCACCAUUUAAAAAAUAUCUCCGUAGCCAUUGGGGUAUAGUUCAGUUAGUUGAGCUCUUCCACCUCCACUCAUGUGAGCAGAGGUUCGAAACCCCAAGCACCGAAUAAAUAUUUGUGUAAAGCCCCUCCCCUAUAAUUGCUUGUACUAAAAAAAAAAAAAAAAAAAACUCAUCUCUACCAAAAAAAAAUUCAAUCAAGUUGUUUAUGGAUGAGGGAUCUCUCUCUUUUGAAAAAGCAAAAAUCAACAAAUCAACUUGAUUAUCCUUACUGAUUUUUUUUCUGGAUUAGUUUUGUUGAAUUCAUCAUCUUAGAAUUAUUCCAACUUACGUAUCACAGCUUACGUAUGCAUGCAAUUGUAAAUGUGAAAUAUUCAAAAUUUCCCGCGACAAGAAAGGGCAUGCCCUGUAGUGUUGGCGUGACUUGUGGAUAUUGACUUACUUUCCUUACACACUAAGAAUUCCUAUUAUAAUUGUAAUUGAUUUACUUUAAUUCCUGAUUUCCUACUGCAAAUAGAUUUAGGAAUUUAUUAUUUACUUGCCCAUUCAGGUUUCGUUGUAUUAUAAAUAUGACCUCCUACAAGGAGAAGAAUACACAGAAAAUUCCCACAAACAAAUAUUCUCUUAUAGUUUUCAUAUUUUAGCAUGGUAUCAGAGCCUGGUUCGAUCUAGGGACCUGUUCUUGUGUUCUUCUUGAAAUUUAAGUGCUCUUCUCCCCCCUUGAGGGGGGGGGUGGGGGAGUGAAAGGGAUAUGUUUAUUGACCUAUCCCAAUUACCUUGACAUAUUUCCAUGAAGAUGUUGCUUAUUUCUUGACUCCGACGACCCCUUCUCUUCAAGGGGAGAGGAGGAUUGAAGAGAAGUUGUGUAUGAGUGAAUUAGCUAAAGUUUAUAUGGAAGAAUUUAUUGUUGCCAUUGUCUCUACUGCCGUGCUCAUGGGGUUUCGGUGUUCUGCCUUACCUAUUGCCGUGCUCACAGGGUUUCUGUGUUCUGCCUUACCAAUUGCUGUGCUCACACAGUUUCUGUGUUCUGCCUUACCUACUGUCGUGCUCACAGGGUUUCUGUGUUCUGCCUUAUCUACAGCCGUGCUCACAGGAUUUCUGUGUUUUGCUAUGUGCCCUAUUUUUUAGGGUUUGCUCUUGUGUUUCCGCUGUGAACUUUGUUUUAGUUUGUCACUUGUUUCACUCGUGGUUGACUAAAAGAUCUUCUCUACAAUUGGUGUUUCUCAAGUAUGGUGUCCUGUGACUCGCUUGUCAAGUUGGGCCUGCGAAAUAUCUUUGCCCAACUUGAGGGGAAGUGUUGGCGAGUCCUUAUUUAGUUAGAAUUUUGGUUCCUUAUUUCAUUAGAAUUUUGGUUACUUACCAAUUAUAUUUUGUCCUAUUGUAAUAGAGAUUAUUUUAUUUAGUGUUAUGGGGGUUGAUGAUUUUUUCAACCCUCAUGGAGGUAGCACCACCGACUCAUUCUCUCAUUCUCCACCAACCAUCGUUGAGUUGAGUGCCCAGAUGGCUCCGCUCCUAUAGAUGCAGACUUUGACCCCGAACCCGAUCCAAAAUCAGGAUCCUCUUUUGACGACCCCGACCCCGACCCCGACUAUGAUGACGACCACCCAGACCCCGACCCCGACUAUGACGACGACGACCCCGACCCCGACCCCGACCCCGACUCCGAAGACGACCCCGACCCCCACUCCGAUGAUGACCCCAACCCCGAAUUUGUCUCUGAUUCAGACCCUGAUCCCGAUUUCAACUCUGACUCCGGCCUCGACUCAGGCUCAUAUUCCGAUCCCAAUUCCUACUCAACUGUAUCCUAUGCAUCUUCCGCUGCACAGAUUAUGACUUCUCGACUAACGACCCCGACGCAUGGACCAGAUUGCGCAUUUUUUGAAAUCCGAGGAUCAAUUGGCGGAUAUUUUGACAAAGGCGAUUUCCAGUAAAGCAUUCCACAAUUCACUGGAUCAGUUGGGCAUUGGCGACAUCUAUGCACCAACGUGAGGGGGAGUGUUGGCGUGACUUGUGGAUAUUGACUUACUUUCCUUACACACUAAGAAUUCCUAUUAUAAUUGUAAUUGAUUUACUUUAAUUCCUGAUUUCCUACUGCAAAUAGAUUUAGGAAUUUAUUAUUUACUUGCCCAUUCAGGUUUCGUUGUAUUAUAAAUAUGACCUCCUACAAGGAGAAGAAUACACAGAAAAUUCCCACAAACAAAUAUUCUCUUAUAGUUUUCAUAUUUUAGCAUGUAGUAGCAAGAAGAUAAGGUAAAUUAUUUAUGUGUGAGGAAUCUUAUGAUCAAUAUGGUAAUAUGAUAAGGGUAUCGGCCUUCAUAAAAUAUUCUCCGCAUGCGCAUGCCAACUACUAUAAAAGGAGACCGUGAGGCAAUAAGUUGAUCAUCAAAGCAAACAAGACAGGGAUCCCAACUAAAUACUAAUCAGCCAGACAAUGACGAGUCAUCAAGUGAAAAAUCAGGUCAGAGACAGUUUUGAGCAAGGCUUCGACAGCCUGCACAGUGUUGCUGAUGUCGUGACUUUCCCUCUGGCCCCUCUGGACGGUGCCAUCCAUGGCACUUCCCGAGGGGUCCUCAACUGGCUCACAGAUACCCAUCCUGAAGAUAGAUCCAACUCCAAGCAAAAGGGUCUUCCCAACGGUGGCGGCUACGGCGGUGGACAGGGCAGCGGUUACGGCGGCGGAAACGGCAGAAAUGGGGGAGGAUAUCCUCUGGGUAUUAAUCCCAACCGCAAACUUGUCACUGUCAAAGGGAAUCAAAUUAGUGACAACAACGCCGACGCUCAGGCAUUUAACAACUUCGCCAACAAGUAUAACGGGGGCUACAACGGUCAUAACUACCACGACAACGGGCAGGGAUUUAACAACUCCGGCAACCGGAAUAACGGGGGCUACAAUGGUCAGAACCACGACGAUGAUGACGAUGAAGACGACGCUAUUUUCGGAUUUGAGGAUAAUAAAAUCAGUGGGAACAAGGGUAAGGUGAAAGGCUUUAACGACUUUGGUAACCAGUACUUCUGAGCAGGAAGUCGACCAAUGUCAAUCUCACCUUCCACAUGCAGUUGAAUAUGUACACUAAAAUAAGAGCUGAUGCAAUAUCUGAGGCUCCUUGGCCUCUUCACCGUGUGUCCUUAAUAUUAUUCAAAUAUAUUAAUGGGAACCUAAUAUAAUAUUAAAUAUCUAAAUUCUUUGCGUUUAACUUUUAGAUUAUCAACGUUAAACUAUAAUUCCGUUUGGGUGAUGUUCUCUAAUUAUAUAUGGCUUCUUUAUUUAUUUAUAUAAGCGGUAUUGAAAAAAGAGAAUUCGAAUGAUUGCAAAGUAAGUAGGAAGAUGAUCAACAUCGGCUUGCUCUUGUUUUUGUUAUUCCAAUGGAUGAUCACCCUAACCCUCAAUCAGAAGAUGUUAAACAGUAAUUAAAAUAGAAAAGUUGAUAGAGGUCCAAAAAUCCAACCAAUAAUUGUGUCUAGUCCUCGAAUUAUUGUUUAUUGAUACAAGUCCUUUGACUAAUUUGCUACGUAGAUUACAUUUCAUCUUUGACAUGUUGAUUCAAACUUUUGUAUUUAACUGAUUUGUAUUUAAAAUUUUUUGUUCCUAUUAUAUCCCUAUUGUCUAAAAUGAUAAGAUGAGAAUUUAUAUGCCAUUAUUUUUAUUUUUGUUCACCCUAUGGUAGAGGUAUAGUAUAGACUCUUAUAGAUAAAUUAUCCUAUGGUAUAGGUAUAUUGUCAUAUUGCCUAUUGCAUACGUAUAUAUUUGUUUUUUCAUAUUUUAGACAAUGAAUAAUAGUAUUUUAUGUACAUUUUUUUAUAGAUAACAUACAAUUUUAUUUGUCUAUUUUUAUAUCUGACUUAUAGGUAGUCUUCUAAUUUAUGUUCCUAACUUAUAGGUAGUAUUCUAAUUUAUGUUCAUGACUUAUAGGUAACACGAUUUAUCACUAAGUUUUUUUCAUUGCUAAUAAGAACACUAUUUACCUAUGUUAGGUACAUAAUUUAAUGUGGGUGCUUGCCUGAUUGAUUAGUAUAAUAUGUGGGCCUUUACUUCAAUUGAUUAAUUUGUAUUUUACCCAUAUAUUAGGUAAGUAUUAUCAAUGAAAGGAUUCCAAAUUUAAAUUUUGAAAUUUAAUUACAAGUAAAUAAUUCAGUAAAUUUAGUUUUUCAAUGUUUUCCUUAUGUACCUCAAAGGGUAAAAUCGACAUAUAUAAUAAAAAGAGUAAUAAAAGUCAAAGGACCUACAUCUAAAACCAAAAAUGCGUGGACUAAGUCCAAUAACAGCUAAUCAUUUUGGACCUAUAUCUAAGAACCCCUAAUUAAAACAUAGUAGUGAGACUUAGUAAGCAAUCAUAGCCAAUGUCUUUUGCUGUUAAUUCUUAAUUAUUAUUUUUCAUAAGUGCAAUUUCUAAUCAAUAUUUUUUAGUUCGUUUGAGCUUGUCUCGUAAAAGAAAGAAAAAAAAACUGUGCUUGAAUUGGCUUUCUUUGCUAAAUGUAUACUUUCAUGUAAUUCCUCUUAAAACCAUUUGGACACCAAUAUUUUAGGGUAACUUUUCAUUCUGGUGUUGUGGCUCAUUUUGGGAAAAGUUCAUAUUUUCAAUGGAAAACUGAUUUUUACAUUAGAAAAAUUGUUUUAUUUUCGAAAAUUCUUGCAUGAUGAUCUAAAUCAAAUCUCUCAUCUAUCCUUGACCAUCUUACGCUUAGUUAUACAUUUUAUCUCCAUUGAUUUCAUCAAGCUCAAGUAUAUAGCUUGAUGAGAUGUGAGCUUAGCAUCCAACUGAAAAAUCUGCAUUCCUAUGGAUUUCGUGGUUGAAGAUGAAGAGCUUCAAGAGCAAGCUGCCACAAGAAGUCCGAAGAACAUGAAGUAAUCAAUGGUUUGGAAAGUUGCACAAGUGGUAUAGCUGCCACUUAGUUAGGAUUAAGUGAUUCGUGCUAAGAAGAUACUUUUGUAUUGAGAUUUCCUUUUGAUUAAUGAAGUUCUUGCCUAGACGGUCCCCCGAUUUUCUAAGUGGUGGUUUCCGAGUCACGAAAAUCUGAUGUUUAUUAGGAAUGUGAUUUUGUGUGGUUGUUUGUUCAUUGAUUGCAUGCCAACUGUAUCACAAAUUGCUUAAAAGGAUUUACAGGUUCUGUGUUUCUCGUUUGCAGAAAGUUAUAUAGUCCUCUUCUAUAUGGAGGGAUACCGUUUGGGACCCAUUACAAAUUUCUUUUUAAUGAUCUAAACUGUUUAUUAUUCAAGUCUAUAUUUAUAGACCAUUCUUUGAAAAAAAUAGUCUAAUCAGAACACGUUUUGACAUCUAGUUGUGCCCAACAAAAUCAACAAUAAAAGCACUAAAAUUUCAAUAAUUUAAUUGAGUGGUCAAAUGAUAUCAGAUUCAAAUAAUUUUUUACAGAGAUGAUCUUUGAAUGAAUUUCUAUAAAAUAGACUGUGUAGAUUAGUGAUAUACAAUGCAGAGUAGGUCUACAAGGGUGUCCCUAAAAUAACUUAUUUGAGGGAUCCCUCAACACUCUCUCUCUCUCUCUCUCUCUCUCUCUCUCUCUCUCUCUCUCUCUCUCUCUCUCUCUCUCUCUCUCUCUCUCUCUCUCUCUCUCUCUCUCUCUCUCUCUCUCUAUAGAUAUAUAUAUAUAUAUAUAUAUCCCCUCCAAUAUAUUGACUGAUCUCUCAAAUAAUAUAUAUAUCUAUAUCCCCUCCAAUAUAUUGACUGAUCUCUCAAAUAAUUUUAUUUGAAGGACACCUUCUAGGCUCUACUAUGAAGUAUUAUUAUUUUAAACGAUCCAAACCAUAUAUUUUUCUCAUCUCCAUUCAUAGAUCCACCUUAUAGAAAAUUAGACAAAUUGAACAUCAUUAAGGUACUUAAUUGUAACCAACAAAAUAAACGAACACGAUAUUUCAAGAAAGCACUAAAAUGACAAUCAUUAAUUGGGUGGUCAAAAAGUUUCAAAUUCAAGUAAUUUUUUGCAUAGAUAAUCAUGAUAUAUUUGAAUGAAUACCUAAAAUAUAGACGGUUUGGUUUAUUGAAAUACAAUGUGAAUGGGCCUUAUAGGGAUACCAUUGAAAUAAGCAUGAUGCAAGGCAUAUGAAUCUAAUGUAAGUGUCGGUCUUGACUUUUUGAUGGCCCUAGGCAAUAAAUUAAAUGAGGCCCCUUUCUUAGUAUACAAUAAAGCUUAUACAAAAGGAAAUUAAAAAAAUUGCUCAUUCAUUCUUUUUGGUUUAAAUAUAAUAAUUUAAUUUUAACAAAGCAAAAGUACAUGAAUCAUAAAAAAUAAAAAAUAUAUUUAGGUCCAUAAAUAGUAAAAUAACUUCUAACAUUCAACAAAACAACCUAUUCUUUCACAAUAAUGUCACACCUCAAAUUUUUUUUUUUUUGGAAGUGUGAGGUAAAAGAACAAAAAACUAAAACUAAAAAUGUAAAUAUCAAGAAACAUGAAGAUUGAACAUAACUUUUUAUUUAAGUCAAAGUAAUUUACAUUGUAAUUUUACAAGCAAAAUAACAAGAAAGUAACAAACUUUCAACAAAACAUUCAAAACUAUCUACAACCCGUUCUUCUUGUUUCCUCGGUAAAAACUAAACUUCAUAUUCAAAGCCUGCAAUAGAUUCAAUAAGGGGUGAGCAUUACAUGCUCAGUAGGAGUCCUAUGUCUUAUGUGAUUAAUGAGAUUUAUAAUGUACAAUUUAUGCAAUGUAUGAAUGAACUUCAUUUCUACCCAACCUGUUAAUCUAUAUAAUAGAACAAGCAAAUCUGCAUGUCCCAUACCAUGCAUUUUACCACUGUGAUUUCGAAUGCCCCAUUAUAUAAACUAACACCCAUUUCAAUCAUCCCAUAAUUCCCCUUUUGCUAGUCAUCUUGUCUACACCAUUGAUCUCCAAGCCCAAAUCACCCAAUCGACAAUUAUACCGCCGAAUUCCUAAUCUAACACGGGCUCGCCUGAACUUGGUCCCUACAAUGGUUAGACUCAAUUACACAAAAGAUUAUUCCCAUUAUCCUCUUUUCCAUAAUUUCAUUAUCAACCCAAAAAUUCCAACCACCACCGACAACAUAUGAAUAUAUAAAAUUAAUCAAAUUAUAAUGAUAAUUGACAACACAUAUAUAUCCAAUAUCAAGGACAACAAUCAAACAAUAUAGCCAAGCAUAAUAUAAGAUUUACAAUAAUUAUCAAAAUAAUAUUACCAAACAUAAUAUAGUAUUUACAAUAUUUAAUUAAAUCAAUAUAUGCAAAACUUCCCCAAAAAAAAACCCCUACCUCAAAUUCAAAGCUAUUGUAUAACUCCCACUUAUAAGUUCAAAUACUUUAAACUUCUUCAAAACCUCACCACACUUAGUUCUCUUAUUUUCUUUUGUCUACGAUUUUUUUUAGGAAACUACUAUACUUGAAGAACUAUUAGUUAGAACUAUAUAUAGUAGGUUAGAGUCGGUUAAGGAAAUAUGGAUGAAGCUUAACAUUAUGCCACCUAACUAACCUAGGGAUCUCUAGACUACAUCCUAGGAUUUAUAGACUAUAUGGGUGUUGGCUUCCGGAGAGUGCUUAGUGAGCACUUGCCAAUUACAUUUAUAUAUAUAUAUAUAUAUAUAUGAAUAUCUAUUGUUCUUACACAUCAUACCAAAACAUACCACCUCAUGCUUCAAUUGGUUUUUGAAGACUCCCUAAUGCAACACGUCACUUAAGAGAAAGCUUAGUAAGCAUCAAUACCUUUCUAAAAGCUUUUGUGUGUAUAGAAUAAAUAUUAAAUGAAUUGCUAUUGUUAAAGUCUUACAAUGAGGUUUGAUAGGCUAUAGCUAGAUUCACGUAGCUUACCAUAUAACUAACUAAUAUACAUAUAAUUUUGAAAACUAAUAAUUAUAAAUAAUUAAUUUUAUGAAAUAUUAAUAUACAUAUUUAAAAAUAUGGAGUUUUACAAAUAAGUUCUCAAGUAACUUUUUUUUCGGCCAAAAGGUGUUCAUUAAACCAAUAAAGAGAAUCAACAAACCACCUAAUAAAAGAUAGAGGCCAAGCCCCAACAACAAUUUGUGGAAGGAAAAGCAAGAAUAAAACUCAACAAAGACCAACAUAUCGGGUAUAGGGUGAGAAAAAAUAGUUGGUUAGAUAGGAAAAAAUAUAAAGAAAAGUUCAUAAAUCUUAUUACCUUUUCAAAUUUUCAUGCUCAUCUCCUCUUGGUCACUACCAUCAAUCUUAAAGACAAAGAUCAAGAAAGAAAAAUUGUGAACUUUUUAGUGAGAGAUCGAUUCUUUUAGGGUUUCAAUAUGAAAAAAGAGGGAUGAGAGAAACUUAAAAUAAUAGAUUGAAGAGAGAUUAAGAUAACAUAUAAUAAUAUGGUGGAUUAAAUUGAGAGCAUGUUCCAUAGAGAAACUAGGAGUACGAGAACCAAAGUCUUCUUGAAAGAGGAAGCAUGUUUCUUCGGGGAAAAGGAAUCAUGUUUUUCUCAUUUAGUUUCAGUGUAUUUUUCUGUUUUUAUUUUAUUUUAUAGAUUAGACGCUUGAUAUAUAUAUAAUAUAAAUAAAUAAAAAUUGGGGCCCAUUAAUUGGAGUCCCAUGGCCAUCGCCCUUCCAGCUCACCCCCAAGGCCGGCCCUUCCAUAGUGAAAAGAUUAAAGGUCCUUCUUAACGAAUUUGCACUUGGCACAUGGGGUGCCACUAUAAUGGAAAAGUGGGUCAACCUCUUCCCUCCCCUUUCUCCCCUCAAAACCACCACCCCACACCCCCCACGUCUCCCCCCUCCCACUCGGGUCUCCGCACGGGGUGUCCCAUUCAACUGCACCGGGGUUUGAUUCACGUAUGCGACAAUCUUAAUGCAACCCAAUAUAUUAUAUAAUAAUCCCCCUCCCUAACGAAUUACCAGAAAAAGAAUAAUAAUAAUAAUAAAAAAAUUGAACUUGACUUGCACGUUUACGUGUCCAAAUUUGACCCAAAAAAAAAAAUGCGUUCAAAUACUCGUGUCAGCCCAAAUUUAGUCAUUUAUUCAAAGGCUUUAAGUUUAGGGCCAAAUAAUGACCAUCUAAAGAUAUCUAUGCGGAAAAAAAAAAAAAGAAUAAUGCUACUCUUACCACAUUUGUAUACCACAUCUUUAUACCAUCUUAUGUGGCAGCUGAGGUGAACAGCCACAUCAAUUUAAAUUAUUUAAUAUUUUAUUUUCUUUUAUGAUUUAUUUCAAUAUUUGUUUUUCUAAUUGUCUUAAUUAAAAUACAUUUCAUUGAUUUCAUUGAUGUGGCAUAUAAUAUGGACAUGCCACAUCAUGUGGUAUAGAAAUGUGGGAUAAAAAUGUGGUAAGUGUAGCAUUAUUCAAUCAAAAUGAAAAAAAAAAAAAAAAAAAGUAAAGAUUGAAGAUCAUUUAGUCAUCAUUAUAUAUCAAAUAUUCCAAUAAUUUUGGAUUUCUUCAUUCCAAAAUAACUAAAAUCAACUUCAUUUCCAUAUUAAAUUUAGGGUUUUCUGCGAGUUUGCCCCCGGAACUAUUCGCAUAUUGUCAAUUUAGCCCUUAAUAAUUUUUUCGGUAAAUUAAGGACUCGAAUUUUUUUUUUUAAAACCCCAAUUGAAGACCUACCACUUUGCCGUCAUAUUCUUAAGACUCCCAUCCACUUUGCCAUCAAUUUUUGCACGUGACCCAGUUUGAAGGAUAUAAAUUCGUCAUUUCAUGACCCAACUCUUACUUUCCUUACAUUGGGUUAGGAGAGAUCGUGUUUUACAUUUCAAAUUGGGAAGUUAUCUGUGAUUCAAACUGGGUUGGACAGAGUAAAGGGUGCUAGCAAAUUUAGGGGCAUCGAGAACGAAUCUUUUCGAGAUUGAGGUGUGACUGAUCGACGAAGUGGGUUUUGUGCUAAGAGAUAGUGGAGAGCAUCCCAUCUAUUGUAAGUGUCCACUUUCUCUAACUUUCUCUCACUUGUUCCCUCACUUUCUCUGACUUUGUUUCACUUUCUCUCAAUGAAUCUGGUUUUGACGAAUAUUGUACUAUUAAUCCAUGAAAAAUAUAUCUUCAGUGGUCCCUAAACUGUUGAUUUUGGUCUAACUUAGAUUCCUUCACUACACUUGUCUUAUGUGGUCUCCUAUGCAAUUUUUUAGUGCAAUUGUUUAUCUAUAUAUAUAAAGCAAAAGGCAGAGAAUGGUGAAACAUUCAAAAUACCAGAAAAUGCCCUUUGUUAAUUCAAACAUUAAGAAUUGAAAUUAUUAAUUAAAUGAGGAUAAUAUGGUAAAUUCAUAUUUUUUAAUAUUAAAAAAAUUAAAAUUAAAAACAAAAUAAGAUAAUAGGUCCUACUUUUAUGGAACAUAACUACCCUGUUAUCUUUUAUUAAUUCUAAAAAUAAAAUAAAAAAGAAAAAGAAAACCAAUUGGCACAUGCGUGAGCAUGUGUCAAGUGGCUAGUGUUUAGUUAUGUUUUAUAUUGUAUUGAUAGAGAUUGGUUGUGUUUGUACUUUAGUUAACUAAUAUAUGUUAUAAAUGCGGUAGAUAGGAAGUAACUCUCAUUAUUUAAUGAUAUGCAGCAGAUCCUGACCUAUUUACACCGAAAAUUCAACAUGGAUGUUAUUUUACGGAUGUGUUAUACAUGGGGGUAUUGUGCAGUGGAUUGACAACUUUGUCAGGGAUUAUGUGUCAAUGUUGGCCAUUUAUGACUUGGCAGUGGAACUUGGCUACCAAAAAGAGACCACUAAGUUCUUUUUUAUAAGAGGAAAAGAAAGGUUGGGUUCCAAGUGUAGUUGAUAACUGAUACAGCACAACAACCAAAGGGUUUAGGCAGUAAAACAUCUGUAAAUGAGCAUUUGCAGGCUGAGACUACUGAGGAACAAGAAGAUGAGAGAAAAGCUAAUAUUUUUAUCGAUUUUGGGCAUAUAGAUGCUGAUUUGUUUGGGGAUUUUGGAGAAGUACAUAUAGAUUUGACUGGUGCUAGUAAUUUUGACAUAUUUUGUUGAUGUAGUUGAUGAGGGUUACGAGGCGAUAAUGGUGAGGACUUUGACGUUGAAGUGCAAAACACUACAUAUGUUUCUAGUGGUGAUGAAUGUUAGAGUUUUGUAUAGGUUUUGGAGAAGAAGAGAAAACAAUAUGCAAGAGAAAACCGAGAGCUUAGCUUAAAACAAAACUUCUGUAUUUUUUGUAUUGUAUGCUCUGAAACUUUUGGGCAAGGACAGUGCGUGCUAUAUGACCGUUAGAGAAAUAGCUGGAUUCUCUUACAUCACUUGAGAAAUACAGCCUUACAUCCAAAACUGUCUUCUAAGAUCUUUACACGUGGCUAUAGCCACUUAACACUAACUGACGCCUCACACUUGCCUAUUUUAGAGACUAAGUGAAUACACCAUUUCAGCUUAGGGACUUUAAUCACACUCUCAUCAGCUCACCACUUAUAUUUCAACACUCCCCUUUAAGUUGUGAGCUGAUUUCACACCAAGUUUCUCUCUGAGAUAGCAGAAACGAUCCUUAGCCAAUGCCUUAGUAAAAAUGUCUGCUAGUUGCUCAUUUGUGGGACAAUAAAUCAGAUCCACAGUUCCUUCUUGCAAAGCAUCUUUAAUAAAAUGAUACCUCCGAUCGAUAUGUUUUGUUUUCUGAUGAAACACAGGAUUCCUUGUAAUGGCAAUGGCUGAAAUGUUGUCACAGUGUAGAGGUGUUGCUUCUGCUUGAAGCUCUCCAAAAUCUUCUAGGACAAACCUCAACCAAAUAGCUUGUGUUGUUGCUUCAGAUGCACUGAUGUACUCCGCUUCUGCAGUGGAGAGUGCAACACAAUUUUGCUUGACUGAGGCCCAAGCAAACACUCCACUACCAAAAGAAAAAGCAUAUCCAGAAGUGCUCUUGCUAUCAUCCACUGAACCACUCCAAUCACUGUCACAAUAGCCAAUUAGAACUGCCCCUUUUCCUUUCACAUACUCCAGACCAUAAUCUAGAGUCCCUUUCACAUAUCUAAGAACACGUUUUGCUGUUCCAAAAUGUUUGCUAGUGGAACAAUGCAUGAACCUUGCUAGCAAACUAGCUGCAAACAUAAUGUCGGGUCUGGUAGCUGUGAGGUACAGCAGACUUCCAACAAUCCUUCUGUAGUGUUCUUCACUUGCCAAGCCACUCCCAUCAUCUUUACUUAGCUUCUCUGAGGUGACUAGAGGAAUAGAAACCGGCUUACACUCAUUCAAGCCAAAUCUGCUCAACAGAGUUGUUGCAUACUUCUUCUGAUGAAUGAAUAUGGUUGUUGGUGUUUGAAUCACUCCCAUUCCCAAGAAGUGAUGCAAGAGUCCCAGAUCAUUCAUUUCAUACUUCUCCUUCAUGUCCUUCUUGAAAUCUUCUAGCAUUUCAUGAUCAUUUCCAGUGUAGACUAUAUCAUCUACAUAAAUGGAAACUAUCAAGAUAUUUUCUGCACCUCUUGCUUUGACAUAAAGUGUAGCUUCACUUUGACUCUUUGUAAAUCCACACUCAGCAAAAUAACCAUCAAUUUCACUAUACCAAGCUCUUGGCGCCUGUUUCAAGCCAUAUAGAGCUUUGUGUAGUUUGUAAACCUUGCUUUCACUUCCUUUUACCACAAAUCCUUCCGGCUGGUCUACAUACACUUCUUCCUCUAAAAUACCAUUUAGAAAAGCUGACUUGACAUCCAAUUGGUACAGCUGCCAACCCUUCUCAGCUGCAAGGGCAAUCAAGGUUCAAAUAGUGUCUAAUCUAGCCACUGGUGCAAACGUUUCAUUGUAGUCCACCCCUGGUUUUUGUGAGUAUCCCUUGGCCACCAGUCUUGCUUUAUUCUUCUGCACUGAGCCAUCCAAAUUUAGCUUAGUUUUAAACACCCAUUUAACUCCAAUAACUGGUUUUUCCAUAGGUCUGUCAACAAGUUCCCAUGUCUUAUUCUUUUCUAUCAUAUUCAACUCAUCUUUCAUUGCCUUCAACCAUGAUUCCUCCUUCACAGCUUCUUCAAACUUCUCAGGCUCCAUUGUGCACAGGUUGCAUUGUGCCAAAAUGUCAUCCAACUUCCUCCAUUUCAAUGGUGUAUGAUCGAAGGUCUGAGUAUCUUCCAACCUACUGCUUUCCUUGCUUGAUUCUCCAUAGGAAGCUGCUCCAGCAGUGAAACCAGAAUUUUGAGGCCCUAUAGGUGUCUCAAACGAAUCCACUUGAGAAUUUCUAGGCUGCUCCUCAAAGUUCAUCAUAACCACAGAAUUGUCAGACACUUCUUUCCAAUUCCAGCUUGUUCCUUCAUCAAAUACAACAUCCCUUGAUAAGAGUAGUUUUCUAGUGAUAGGAUCAAACACUCUAUAGCCCUUCUCACAUGUUGCAUAUCCAACAAAAACUCCCCUUGUAAUUUUGGCAUCCAAUUUAUGUCUAUUCUCCUCUGGUUUAUGCACAAAACACACACUGCCAAACACUUUUAAAUGAGCAACACCUGGGUUUCUGGUGCUAUAGGCCUCAAAAGGAGUCUUGUCCCUAAGAGCCUUAGUAGGACAUCUAUUCAAGAUGUACACUGUUGUGUGGACAGCUUCUGCCCAUAGAUAAUAGGGCAGCUCCUUCUCAUGCAACAUAGCCUUAGCCAUCUCUACCACAGUCCUAUUUUUCCUCUCUACCACUCCAUUUUGCUGGGGUGUGUAAGCCAUGGAGAAUUGUCUUUGAAUCCCUGCAUCUUCACAUAGUUUAUUGAAUUCACUAGAAGUGAACUCACCCCCUCUAUCACUUCGAACACAUUUCACUUUGUAACCACUUUGCAACUCCACCAUAGACUUGAAUUUUCGAAAACAAUUUAGUGCAUCCGACUUGUAUCUCAAGAAGUAGACCCAAAUCAUCCUUGUAAAAUCAUCUAUGAGUAACAUGAAAUAUUUGUUACCUCCUAGAGAUUCAUUUUGCAUUGGUCCACACAAGUCCAUGUGUAUAAGUUCAAGAGGUAUACUAGCUCUCCAUGCUUGAUCUUUAGGAAACCACUCUCUGUGUUGUUUUCCUAAUUGGCAGCCUUCACACACUCCAAUUACAGUUUCCAAAUGUGGCAGCCCAUGUACCAUCUCUUUUUCCUUGAGUUGGUUUAGGCCUUUCAAGUGUAAAUGCCCCAUUCUUUUAUGCCAAACCCAAGUAGAGUUGACUACACCAGCUCUUAGUGCAACAAAAUCAUUUGAGGGUAAUGAUAGUGGAUAACAUCUAUUCUUUCUCAUUUCCACCUUCAUAACAAGGUUCUCAAGAGAAGAACUAUCAUAGAUGCUGCACAUGCUGCUCCCAAAUACCAAAUGAUAACCAUGUUCAUCAAUUUGGCCCAUACUCAAAAGAUUUUCUCUCAAACCAGGCAGAUACAUGACCUCUCUGAUAUACUUUGCACCAGAGUUUGUGUCAAGCACCAAAGUGCCCAUGCCGGCUAUACUUACAAGCUCCCCUGUUGGCAUUUGCACCUUGCCUAUGACUUUUGAGUUUAUGUCAAUUAACAGCUCCUUCUUCCCAGUCAUGUGGUUACUGCAGCCACUGUCUACAUACCAUUCUCCAUUUUCACCCUUUUCUGAAAUUGCACAGUUUGCAAAAAACAGAUUCCCUCUUACUUCUACUUGGCUUGCAUUAUUUGCUUUCUGUCCUCCUUUGUUUGCAGUGCAGUCUCUGGCCCAAUGUCCAAAUCUAUCACACUUAUAGCACUUGGAUUGACCCUUAUAUCUGCAUUCUCCAUAGUGAAAUUUAGAGCAGACCUUACAUUGUGGCUUCACCCCAUCUUGCUGCACAAGAUGUGAUCCAUUUGAAGUCUGUCCAGCGCCAGCUUGCUGUGGCUUCUGUCUAGACUCCCAUGGUUUGUUGUUAGGCUUCCAACUCUUCUAAGACUUGGCAGAACCAAACUGAGCAUUAUUCUUGUUCUGCCCCUUUUGAUCGAUUGAGAAAGAACCAAAUGCUUUCUCAGCUAUGUCCACAUUAUGCAUGUCAAAACGUUGCUCUUGACUCUUCAAUAUUGCAAUAACCUCCUGCAAUUCAAUGGUCUCCAAACUCUUUGUAUUUUCAAUCACCAAACAGAUGGGAUCAUAAACUCUACUAAGACUGAUUAACACCUUUUGAACCAGCCUCUCGUUUGAUAACACCUCUCCAAAUGUUUUCAUUUGAUUUAUCAAUUCAUUUAAUCGAGUAAGAUAUGCAGUAAGUUGUUCACCUUCACGCAUCCUCAAAUACUCAAAUUCUCGUCUAAGAUUCUGAAGCUUUACAGAUCUAACCUGAUCACCUCCAUGAUAUUCACUGUAGAGCAGAGUCCAAGCCAUUUUUGCUGAAUCGGCAUUUGCAAUCCGAGGGAAGAUCUGGUCAGAGACAGCAUUUUGUAUGAUGCCCAGUGCCUUUGCAUCCUUCAUGAGCACAGCACACAUCUCUGCUUCAGCUUCUUCCUCCGAUGAUUCUUCAACUUUCUUGGUCUUCAUCUUCGAAUCAGAGACUGGAAUCCCCUUUUCUACCAGACCCCACAGCCCAAGAGAUUUGAAGAUUGUCACCAUCUUGAUCCUCCAGAACUCGUAGUUCUCACCGGAAAAGAUCGGAGUUCGUACCUCUGAACUUCCAGAUCCAGCCAUCGUUUGGUCUGAAUCUCAGCAGCUUGCUUCUCUUCUCCGAUGCUCAGCUGAGCUUCGAUUUUAGCUCAGUGACCUUCACAGUUUUACGCCCAGAUCAAGACACCGAACCUGGCUCUGAAACCAUGUUAGAGUUUUGUAUAGGUUUUGGAGAAGAAGAGAAAACAAUAUGCAAGAGAAAACCGAGAGCUUAGCUUAAAACAAAACUUCUGUAUUUUUUGUAUUGUAUGCUCUGAAACUUUUGGGCAAGCACAGUGCGUGCUAUAUAACCGUUAGAGAAAUAGCUGGAUUCUCUUACAUCACUUGAGAAUCACAGCCUUACAUCCAAAACUGCCUUCUAAGAUCUUUACACGUGGCUAUAGCCACUUAACACUAACUGACGCCUCACACUUGCCUAUUUUAGAGACUAAGUGAAUACACCAUUUCAGCUUAGGGACUUUAAUCACACUCUCAUCAACUCACCACUUAUAUUUCAACAAUGAAUCUGAAGAUGAAUUAGAGGAUGAUGAAGAUGUGGUUGAGGAAGUUAAUGGUGAUGAUAUGGAACAUGAAGAGUCCAUAGAAACUGACUUUAAGCAAAGUGAAGAAGAUGACAACUAGUUUCAUAGAUUUGUUGUAACUGAAGAUCUUGAUGAAGAUCAGCAUAAAGAACUAGGGGAAGAGCUAACUGAUGAGUAUGAUACAGAUGACCUUAGAAGUGUACAUGAAGAAGACUGUGUUGAAGUUAUUGAAGUAAGAGGCAAGACUAGAAGAAGAGCUCCAAAAUUCACCACUGAUGAGCUGCUUAAAGUUUCCUUUACUUCUGUUGGAGUAGAGCACUUCCUCCUCACCUUUUGACGAGACCCCUCCCAUUUGCUUAGCCAUAGAUUCUUGAUUGGCAAGAAAAUUUUCAAACUCAACAAGUGAUGGUUGAGUCGGCCAUCCUUGUAUAGCAGCAACAAAGCCUCGGUAUUCGGGUCUCAGACCAUGGAUAAUUAUUCUUUUUAUCCUAGAUUCCACAAUAACAGCAGAAAGAUCUAAUUCAGAAAUUGGACGGCAUAUGGACUUUACCUUGUGGAAGUACUGAGCAAUUGUCAUGUCACAUUGUGCAAUUGAUAACAACUUGUUCUCAAGAAGCUUCAAUUUUGUAUUAUUCUUCCUUGAAAAGAGUGUUGUAAAGGUGUCUUAUGCUUCUUUUGGUGUUUUGGCUUUUCUUAUGUGCUUCAACAUUUCUUCUACAAUUGUUUUUUUUACGGCAAACAUGGCUUUACCUGCAUUGAUCUUCCACUUAUGAAAAGUUUCACUGUUGUCUUCUCGUGGCUGUGUAGCUUUGUUACCCCCAACGACAUCCCAAAGAUCUUGACCUUGUAGAUAAGACUUCAUACAUGUCACCCACGUGUUGUAAUUUUUGUUGCUGAGCUUCUUGAUUCCUCCAACGACGUGAAGAUCACCCAUCGUGUCAGUAGAAUUUAGGCAACGAACAAGUUUGAUCUAAAGAUGCAAACUUGUAGAGAUAAACUCCUCACGACUCAAGGAAGCUCUAGCAGAAUCAGUCCCUAGCCGUCACGCUCUGAUACCUAUUGUUGAGAAAAUUAAAGUAUAUAACUCUAAUAUAGAAUGGUUGGAGACAAAACAAGUAAACAAAUUACUUGUAUUAGACUCACAAAAUAUUACAACAAGACAACUCUCAAAAGAGAGACCAACUCUUACAAGCACUCUUUCUAACUUUCUAGAGACAAACUCUAGAACACUCACACUCGUCACAAGAACUACUUAGAUCUAUAGCUUAUUGGUCACUCUUCUUCUUGACUUCUCACUUCUACUUCUCUUCUUUCUUAUUUUUACUACAAUAACGUAGGAUAUCUAACUUUGCUAGACUAUACUAACCAACACGCAACUUUAGAAUUGUGUAGAUAUUUUCUCUUUAACAUUGGGCCGGGCAUGGGGUGUUUAUCUUCCUUGGGCUGUUCAAUUAUUGGGUUGGUGUUGAUACUUUAACAUCUUCCUCCAUUGAUGGAAAGAAAUAAAACAAAAACAACUUACGAAACAAGCCCCUGAUUUCUUUGUUAAACAUGACCCGACCCAUUAUUGAUUAGGAUUGAGAAUCUAUGCGCACUAAUAAGUUGAGUGAGGAAUAUUGCACAUGGAUGAUGGAUGUCUCUCUCUUCUUUUGAAACAAGCAAAAAUAUGCUUCAUUAUCCUUAGUUGAAUUAUUCCAGCUAAAGUAUGCAACUGAGCAUCAAACCUCGCUAGCUAAAAAGAUAAAAGAAAGGCCACUACGAGAAUAGUGUAGUAUAAUAUUCCAAGAAGAUAUAUGUGAAGAAUCUUAUGAUCAAUAAUAUAGAAUAUUCUGUAUUAUGAUCAGGGUGGCCUGGCCUUCAUAAAAUAUCCUCUGCAUUUGCGCGUGCCAACAACUAUUAAAGGAGAGCAUGAUACAAUUAGUUGAUCAUCAAAGCAAACGCAGAUCAAACCUAAAAACUAGUCAGUGAGACAAUGACGAGUCACGAUGAAACCAACUCAAGGCAAGGGUAUGCUGGAAAUGCCCCCAACCGCAAAGUUAUUAAAAUUAAAGGGGUUGAUAUCAGCGACAACAGCGGCGACACGAUGGGAUUUAGCAACUUCGCCAACACUCGUAAUGGGGCCGACUCGGGCAGCUGUGAAAUUGAAGCUGAGAAUAUUAACAUGAAGGGAAACAAAGGCAACCUCAAAGGAUUUACCGACUUCGCCAACACCGGUGAUGUGGGCAAAACGGGUAGGCAAGUACUCACGACAUCCGGGAGAAGAAGAAGAAGGCUGCUAAAUUAGAGAAUGUACGCCAGGGAAGUAAUGGCAAUCUCUCGUCUCGCAUGCAUGCGUGCAAUUGAAGAAGGCCAUAAUCAUAUGUGUGUAAAAUAUCUACACUAAAAUAAGAACUGAUGCAGGCUCCUCCUUUGGCCUGGCCUUCUUUUUAUGUGUUAUUAAUAUUAUUCUAAUAAAUUAAUGGGAGCUUGACAUUAAUGAAGAGUCUAUGGCUAUGAAUGAAGAGUCUAUGGCUCUACAACAGCAACAGACUUACGUAAUUUAUUCUGGAAAUAUCUCUUUUUUGAAAAAGCUAAAAGCAACCCCAUUAUCCUUAAGUGAAUUUAUUCUCGAUUAGUUUUGUUCAAUACAUCAUCUAAAUUAGAAUGAUUCCAACUUACGUAACACAGCUUAGACUAUCUCCAAUAAUGUUAGGGUUAAACUUAAAUUUUAACUCUUUAAAAUACAACUAUUCAUGUAUUAUCUAAAUUUGAACACUUUUUCCUCCAACUUUACGGACUCAAAGAAUCUAGCGUUUUAUGAAAUUGUUUAAUAAUGGUUAACCUCUUUUUUUCUUUUUGUUGUUAAUUUUUCUUCACAAUGAUUUUUGUUUUCAUGAUUUGAUUUCUAAAUAUUUUAACCUAAAAAAUUCAAAAUGUAAAGCAUAAUAUAAUUUCACUUAAAACGAAAAGCAAUUAACACAGUGAGAAAUGAAAAAUAUUUGUUUUAGCGGUUGGAUAAACAAAUUUCCCGUUGAAAUUGCCUAUUUCUAAUAUCAACCGUUGAUCUAUUAGUUGUUGGGUUUUAAUGAAAAAACUUGGCUCCUUAAGAUUGAGGAGGAGCUCCUCCUUAUAACUAAUGUGAUUUUGACACAUGUCAAAUUAUUUUAAUCUUCUUUUUUAUUUUUUUUGUUGAAACUUUGUCAAUAGUUAUGGAAUUUUACAAGUAUCAAAACCCUAUUGAUUUUAAGGAGCAGCUCCUCAAUUUUAAUGAGCCAAGGCAUGCUAAAAAAAAUCCAAAACAAAGGCAACUAGAAUCUGUACCAGUAUUGCAAUGGUCAUUUCCCAAGACGCAAAACAGGUCCUUUCUUUGAGUCCAAUUUUCAUGUUACCCUUUUCCAUGUGCCUUCCUGUUACCCUUCUAAUUUAUUGACACAUGUCCCUACACUUAAUUUCUAACAUUGUUAAAUUUUUUAAUUAAAAAAACAAAAAACAAAGCUAAUUAUUAAAUUAAAAACAAAAACCAACAGCCUACAGCCCCAUCCACCCACACAACCUCAGCCAACUCCCCCACCCAUCCUGGUCAGCCACCCCAUCCCGCCAGCAACAACCUCUUUCCUCCUAGCUGUCAGAAACACCUCAUUAUCUCAAUAUCCCUCUCUCUCUUUUUUCCAACUUUACCAUUUUCUUCCCCAAAUUCAGAACCCUAACAACAUCGUCAAUCUCAUAUCUUAAAGCCUCAAACAAGAAUGACAUUAAAGGGCUUCAAAAUUGUAGGAUGUUUUGUGCAAUGAACCAUAUUGUGUUGUGGCCUCAACAACCCCUUCAUCUUCACUGCAUCUCAAGUCAAGAAAACAAGGAACACACAUAUUCUCAGUAUUCUUCACCUUCAAACCUUUGAUGCAAUCAAGCCUAUGUAAUUAUGAGAGAGAUCUUGGGAUCCAUAUUUGUUGGAGCAGUAUUUCUUUCAAGAAGAAAUACCUCCACAGGCUCUUGACUGAAGUCCGCAUGCUUCCAUGGUUGAAAAAGAACUUCGGAUUACGUUCCCGAGGUCGAACGGUGGAAAUGGGGUGAGUUCCUGCAAAAGUCACUCUGACGCUCAAGUCAGUGUUUGUGCAGUGUACUCUAAAUGUUCAAUUGAAUUUCUUGUCCCUUUGCUAGAGGUCUAGCCAGGUUUUUAUAGGGCUUCGAGUUCUUAGGUUUAGCCCCACUUCCCUAGCUUUGCGCAUCCCGUCCUCCACUUCAUGGUAAUAGGAUCAGAUGAGCGUGUCUCCCUCGCUCCGCACUUUUCUAGUGGGAGGGAAGUUCGAUCAUCCCACGUCUUCUAGUUGUGGCAUAUGGGUUAAGCCAUAAUACGUGAGAUUUGGUCCCCACCGUGCCCCACUUUUUUUCUCUCUACAUACUUCGCGGGUGGAGAGGAAAAAAUGAUCUAAGUGGGACUUUGGAACAGGAUUUCUUCGAAUUGAGCCUAUGUCAUCAUGGUAGGCUCAUGGCUGAGCCCAAACAAACCAUACGUUUUCCUUCUUGGGCUUGCUGGUCAAACCCAGAAAUAUGAUUCCUAUUGGCCUAUGACCAACCCUUGAACAUUGCUUUCACACCUUGCAUGUGAAAUAUCUAAACAUGAAUUUUCCUGCACAUUGCUAACUUUUCAAAUUCCAACUGUGGACUGUUAUCCCCAUGUGAAGUUCCAAGUGCGGACAACCAAUCCCGUGUGCAAGUGGACCUUUUUCUUUAUUUUGGAUUUCUGCACAUCCGCCAAUCCGAUGGGCCCAUGCGCAUUUUCCUCUUUGCUAAUCGACCCCAGUUGGGGUGCGCUUGGCUUUAAGCUUUUGCCGAUCCAGUGGGCUCCAUGAUCCUUGCUUUCUCUUUCCUAGCCGAUCCCAACCCUAGUUGGGGUGCGCUUGGGUUUGAGCUUUUGCCAAUCCAAUGAGUCCUAUGCCUCUUGGUUUCUCUUUGCUAGCCGAUCUCAAGCGUUGAGAUUUUACCAAUCCGAUGGGUCCCAUGCCUUUUGGCUUGUCUUUGAUAGUUGAUCCCAACCCCAGUUGGGGUGCGCUUGGGUUUGAGCUUUUGCCAAACCGAUGGGUCCCAUGCCUCUUGGAUUCUUUUUGCUCCAAGGUGUUCAAGACCUUUUUUUUUUUCUUUUUUUUUUCCUUUGCGCUUGAGCUAUCCAUGCUGGCCCCAGUACCCUUUAGUUGUCCAUCCAGAGCCGUGCGCUUUUGGUCUCUCAACCGAUCCAAGGUGUUCACGACCUUUUCUUCUUUUUUUUCUUUUUUUCUUUUUGCGCUUGAGCUGUCCAUGUGAGCCCUAAUACCACUUAGCUGUGCAUCCGAAGCCGUGCGCCUUUAGUCUCUCAACCGAUCAAAGGUGUUCACGACCUUCUUUUUUUUUUUUUUGUACUUGAGCUGUCCAUAUGGGCCCCAAUACCCCUUAGUUGUCCAUCCGGAGCCGUGCGCCUUUGGUCUCUCAACCGAUCCAAGGUGUUCACGACCUUUUCUUUUUCUUUUCUUUUUUUCUUUUUGCGCUUGAGCUGUUCAUGUGAGCCCUAAUACCACUUAGUUGUGCAUCCGGAGCCGUGCGCCUUUAUUCUCUCAACCGAUCCAAGGUGUUCACGGCCUUUUUUUUUUUUUUUUUCGCUUGAGGUGUCCAUGUGGGCCUCAAUACCUCUUAGUUGUCCACCCGGAGCCAUACCCCUUUGGUCUCUUAACCGAUCCAAGGUGUUAUGACCUUUUUUUUUCUUUUUUUCUUUUUUUUUUGUUUUGACCUUUUGGACUUCAUAUGCCUUCAGUUUCUCCUUUUCGUUUUCACCGACUCCCAACCAAUCCAGGAUCUAGUCUUUGCGUGAUGAGGUGAACAAGCCUAGCUCCGUAGGUGUACUUACUACCUUGCACCACUUAUUACUUACAUCCAUUGCUCUUCUUUGUCUUUUGUCGAGGUGCGUGCAGCUUUUUGUCAGAAAAGCGUAUGUGUUGGGUAGAAAUAAUUUCGACUAGUCAUAUCAGACCAAGCUUUGUUGCCAGAGCCUAAGGCAAAUAUAUGAGCCGUCCACAUCGAACCUUAUCUUUGCUUUUGAAAAACUUCUUCCCAUGACUUCUGUGAAUUAUUUUCCCAAUCCUUACCCCUGCUAUAAAAGGUUGGUCGAUAAGGAUACAUCCAUUCAUAAAACCGUUUAUACUUUGCUUUUGUUCUUCAUAUAUAACCUGAAGGGAGAGGAAAGUGUCCUAUGCGUUUGAGAACUCCGCCGAAGGGCUUUUGUUCUUGCCACCACCUAGUAAGUACUAGUUUCAUCUUUACUAUUUUCAUGUUGAGCCACGAGAUUUGGCCUAAGUCCGGUGAUGUCCCACCGAGCAACGAGAUACUUAAGGCUCGCACUAGAGGAUGCGUUCCCGACAACGUGAGGAUCGAUCCUCUUCUUUUAGGGUCGAAUAUGUACACUGGUACCGGUAUCCCUCGAGGUUCUUUAAUUCUCUCGCCGGCCCACUUAGAGCAUGUUAGGUUUCCACUCCAUCCCCUCUUUCAUAUGCUCUUGUUCUUCUUGGGUCUUCACCCCAUGCAACUUCACUCGACUUCUUAACUUCUCAUAUCUGGGUUUCUAAUGGGGUGUGUCUCUUAGUUUUAAGGAUUUCAUGUACCUCUACGACUUGGCUUGUGUUAGGGGGAAAGUCACUAUUUCUUUUUUACGUCUGGGCCUGGUAAGAAGGUAUUUACUUGUAAGCCCACUUCCACCAAGUACUGAAAAAACCAACCUCUCUUAAUCACUGGGGAGUGGGCGGCGUCUGAGAUGUCUAACAUGGCCAUCCAGUCGGCAUUUGGCCCAAAACCUUGUAUACAUAUUUAUGUAUUUGAAAUAUAGCUUAUUGUAUUUUUUUGGGGUCUAACUAACCUCUUCUUUUGGCAGUACUUCCUUCGGACAAAAGGUAUCUUAUCCUUAAGGACCGAAUCGCUUGGUUGGAGGAGAACUUGACUGGUCAGGCGUAGGAUAUCACAUGCUUCCUUGACCCCACGACUCUCAUUUGUCUCUCCUCUGCUCGUCGUACUGUGACUUACCUCCCGUUCACUUUGGCCGAUUCAAACCUGAGCGAGAUAGACUUGUUCAAGGACAUUUGUUUCGUCGACGUUGAGCUUUGUUGUACCUAGGAUUCAACGUCUCUUAUCCAAGCCAGCUUUCAAGAAAGGAAGGUUGAGUUAGCUCAAAACAGCAGCUUAGAGGACUGCGCAUCCGGAUCUGAGUCUGAUCAGUCAUAUAUGUCAGCGCCACGCUCAUUGUCGGUCCCAGGCCGCAAUGAAAGGAGACCGGGAAAAGAGCCCGAGAUCUCCGGGUCUGCGAAGAAGUCCUGUCAUGUUUCAUAGGUCGUUUUGGGUUUGGGUUCACCCAAUGUAUCUGGUUUGAGUACUCCGUCUCGACCUCAACAAGUUUCUUGUGCCCCCACUCCUGCUAGCUCACUGGGUGAGAAUGACUUCACGACCAUGACUGACGAAAAAAUGUGAGGCUACCAAUCACAGUGCUUGAAUUCUGUACGUUUAGGAUUUGUGCUGGUGUCAUCCAAUUGCCAUGUCCUAUCAUAGUUGCAUGUGUAAAGCCCACUUUUUAUUUCUUGCAGAUGGCGAGGUUUCAGGCUAUGAGUCUAGAGAUAUGUGAAAAGAUGGCGACCCUCGAACUUAGUGAGAAGCACAUUAAGGAAUUUGAGACUGAGCUCGAACAGCAGCGAGGCGAACUGCGAAACCUAAGAAGCAACCAAAGCACUGUACUGAUGGAGGUUAACCGCCACAAGCAGGAGCUGGUGGAUGCCGCAUGCAAUAAGGAUGAGGAGUAUCAAGCCAACACCAAGUAGAUCAGGGUCGAGGUGGCCAGGCAAUUCAGAUACGAUUGGGUUCAAGGUCAACAGCUCCCUGAGCACCGAUUUGUGGCGGGCCCAGAUGACUAUGACAAUGAGUUAGAAUUUGACCCCGUCGGCUACGAACUUUUUCAGGGUAUACACCCUGAUGAUAGUCUUCCGACGGGCUACAUCCCCCAUCACAGGACCUCACCAGCAGCCUUCCAUAGGCCAGCCCCUUCUGGGUCGGUUGGGACCGUUGUCCCUAGCGCUAAUGUUACAUCGUCUAUUGCCAGUACUUCGCCCGUCCUUGUAUUUACGGGCUUCAACUCACCUGCUGGAUUCUCCACUUGUGCUGGGCCUACCUCGAAGACCAUUCCUGACCCACUUGAUGACGCGCCCUAGGUUGCUUUCUUUCGUUCACUGCUUGUUGUAUUUUCUUUUUGGCUUUGUUUUGGUUUUGAUGUCCUCAACUAUCUUGGGCCCGUUCCCAGAAUUCUUAACUCACAUUAUCAGACUUUAUGAGUUAUCCACUUGAUUUGAAUUUUAACCCUAACGUAAGUACCUGAGGCUUAACGUAAUGAUUUUUCAAACCUGGCUACAUCUCUGGGUAAGCCUCUAUGUAAUGGGUAAUUGGUUUUUAGAUAAACAUACCUAUUCCACUCAUGGCGCAGAUGUUCCAAAGAAAGGAGAUUCUCCGAGAAUGAGGACUUCAUCUCUGUCAAGGAGGGAGUCCCCGCAGCGAGAUUCCAAGAGCCCUAACGGAAUCAUUGAGAUAUGCUCACAGGAUUCUUCUGCCGACUCUCCGGCGAAUGCUUCAGAUUACUCGGCGGUCCCCGACUCGCUCUGUGGGUCCAGGUCCUAGUCUGGUGUUGCCAGAGGUGGAGGAAAACCUACUAUGAGAAGGCACACCCUGAGCGCACGUCAUCCUUGAUUUGUUAGAAGGGCGCGAGAUGAAUCUGGUUCGUCUCACGUUCCUCGCUGCUCUUGUCACUUCGAUCACAGCAUGCUGUUGGCGGAACCCGACUUACUCAAGGAGGAUCUGGCAUGUGUCAGUGCCCAAGUGACUCGCCUCCGGAAUGAUCUUGCUGAUGUGGAUCGCACCGUGUCAGUCGCUCAUUCUGAUGGCAUACGUGACGGAUUUAAACAGGGUAUCCACCACUUCCGUGUCAAUGCCAAAAUGGUUUACCCUUACGUGGAUUGGGACCUUCUCCCAUUACCAUCAGACUAGCAUAUUUUACUUAUAGGUUUACACCUGUUGAGUCAGUAGUUUUUAUGUACUUUCCAACUUUGAAUAAUUCGAAGGCCUUCCUCCUGUGAACAUUUCAUGUUUUUUCCUUUUAUGGCUAUAAGAGCCUAAUGUUAUUAUUAUGUUUGAUCAUGCGGUCUUUGACCUUGUCACAUGCAUAUCAUGUUGCUUGAUCUCUAACCAUGUCAUGGUCUCCGAUCAGGUUGUAAUCUUCGAUCACAUCUUUAUGCGCGAUCCGACCAUGUCUUUAUUGCGAUCUUCAAUCGUACUUUUUGCCAUUUGAUCAAGCACAUUCUGUGCCCAUGGAUUAGUAUCUGCAUUUCCUUAUUUACAAGGUCUUCGACCACAUGGAUUCAGGCGAUGCUAAUUUAAACAAUCAUGGCCUUGAACCAAACAUUUCGAAUAUGAAGAAAACAUGUGUUCCAUUAAGCGUUCAUUGAAUGAAAUACUUCCUCAGCAUAUAGGCCCAUUUUCCAUAAGUUUCUGAUACCUCGUACGGUCCUUCCCAUGUUCGUCCCAAUUUUCCUGUAUUUAGGUCCCUGGUAUUCUCCAUGACCUUCCUGAGUACCCACUCGCCUACUUUGAAUUUUCUCAAUCGUACUCGUUUAUUGAAGUAAUUGGCUGCUUGGUUCUGGUAGUUUGCAAGUUGUAAUGCUGCAGCUUCUCGAUGUUCUUCAAGCAGGUCAAGGCUAUGAGCUAGUUGCUGCUCAUUAUUAUUGCUCUCUACCACCAAUGUCCUGACUGUGGGUAGUCCCAUUUCUGUGGGGAUGACGGCUUCAGUUCCAUAAGCUAAGGAAAAAGGGCUUUCACCGGUUGGUUUUCGUUUGGUAGUACGGUAUGCCCAUAACACGUUUGGUAGUUCUUUUGACCAUUUGCCAUUGCGUUGUUCCAGCUUUCACUUCAAGCAAUCAAAGAUGGUACGAUUAGUUUUCUCGACUUGCUCGUUUCCUUGAAGGUAACUUCGAGACGAGAACUGCUGAAUGAUCCCUUUUUCCUCAUAGUAACUUCUGAAUUUAAGGUUAUUAAACUGGGUUCCAUUGUCGGUCACGAUGGCCCUCGGUAUCCCAAAGCGACUUACUAUAUUGCACCAUAUGAAUCUCACCACAUCUGUUUGGGUCACCGUCUUGUAAGCCUCGGAUUCCACCCACUUGGUAAAGUAGUUAGUGGCCAAAAGGACGAACUUUUUGCCCCCACAGAAGUGGAUAAUGGUCCUACAGUAUCUAUCCCCCAGCGGGCGAAUGACCAGGGUUCUACAACAGGGUUAAAUUCCUUGGCUGUUUGUCUGAUAAAAGGUGCAUGCCUCUGACAUUUAUCACAUUUUCGUGAAAAUUGUUCUAUAUCGCGGGCCAUGUAAGGCCAAAAAUAUCCUUGGGUCAGCGCUUUAUGGGCUAAGCUUCUCCCACCCGUGUGGUUCCCACAUGUCCCUUGGUGUAUUUCUUUUAGCACCCAUUUGGCUUCACAUGGAUCGAGGCAUCUGACAUAUGGCCCUGAAAAGACUUACAAAAAAGCGUAUCAUCUAUAAUUGCAUACUUGGCGGCCUUUAUUCGUAAUUUUCUUGCCUUAAUCGGGUCAUCGGGUUGGAUUCCCUUCAUGAGAUAGUUCAUGAUUGGAGUCAUCCAUGUUUCUUCUUUAGAAUCAAUCUGCAUAACUCUAGGGUCGAUUGGUAUACUGUGAUUUGAUAAGAGUUUCACUGGUGACCCUCAUGUCUUCGACUGACAUUGAUGCUGCGUGGGCCAAGCGAUCUGCCUGACCCUUCAUUUCUCUCGGUAUCCGCUUAAACUUUAUUUUUUUGCUGGCUAAAUCUUUUACCAGCCUUUGAUAUGCCCCCAUUCGUUCAUCCUUAGUUGCUUAUUCCUUAGUUGUCUGGCCGACUAUGAGGCGAGAGUCGUUGUGGACAACUAAGUGUCCUACCUUCAACGUCUUGACUAAUUAGAAUCCUAAUACUAGGGCUUCGUAUCCGCCACGAUAUUUGAGGCAGGGAAGUCUAAUCGGACUGAAUACUCCAUGUCCACUCUUUCGGGCGACGAUAUGACGAUUCCGACUUCGGCUCCCUCCUGAUUGGAUGAUCCAUCCACAUACAGUUCCCAUUGGGCCUUGUCCAGAUCUGGUGUCUCCUCGAUUUCGUCAUGGUUUUCCUGUUGUUUGUCAGGUGGAUAGCAUUCUACCAAGAAAUCGGCAAUUACCUGGUCCUUAUGGGCUGUCCGAGGUUGAUAUCUAAUGUCUAAUACUCCGAGCUCGAUGGCCCACUUUGUAACUCUUCCUGAAAGGUUUGGCUUGAACAUGACCUCUCUGAUUUGUUGGGUUGUCAAUACGAUAAUCGUGUGUGCCUCGAAGUAUUGUCGAAGUUUCCGUUUGGCCGUCACUAAAGCUAACACGAGUUUCUCAACUAGUGGAUAUCUUUUCUCAGCCUCAAUUAAGCUAUUGUUCACAUAAUAUAUGAGCUGCUGGAUUGAAUUUUCCUCCUUUAGUAGUACAGCACUGACAGCAAUGUCAGUGACAGCUAUGUAUAGGCAUAAGGGUUCACCCUGCUUUGGAAUGGUCAAGGCCAAAGGACUGGCGAGAUACUUCUUUAGCUGUUCAAGGGCUUCUCAUUGUUCUGGCCCCCAUAUGUUUCUGUCCUUGUUUCGAAUUGCCUGGAAGAAUGGCUUACAACGAUUUGACGAUCUUGAAAUGAAUCGGCAAAGAGCCACUAUUCGCCCAGUCAGAACUUGCACAUCUCUAGGCGUUCUUGGAUCAUGCAUAUUCUGCAGCACCUCCACCUUCAAUGGGUUGGGCUCAAUGCCUCGCUUGUUCACUAUUUAUCCCAAGAACUGCCCUGACGAAACACCGAAUGUGCACUUCUUUGGGUUAAGCCGCAUGCGGUAUCUUCUCAGUAUGUUGAAGACUUCUUCCAUGUGCCUGACAUGUUGGGAUUUUUCCUAGCUCUUGAUGACCAUGUCGUCGAUGUAAACCUCCAUCAUUUUCCCGAUCUGGCUUUUGAACAUCUUGUUCACUAAUCUUUGAUAUAUCGACCCUGCAUUCUUCAGCCUGAAUAGCAUCACUGUGUAACAAUACAAGCCUCGCUGGGUGAUGAAGGUCGUCUUUUCCUGGUCUUCAAUGGGUCUAAGAAUGAGAGAAGUUUAUACCCGGCGGUAUCAUCUGCCAUUUGAUCGAUCUUUGGUAUCGGAUAACAAUCUUUUGGACACGCCUUAUUCAGGUUAAUGUAGUCUACACACACACGCCAUCUCCUAUCCCUUUUACUUACUACCACCACAUUCAAGACCCAGGUUAGACACCAUACUUCUCGAAUAAAUCCUGCCUCGAGCAAUUGAUUCACUUCAUUACUAAUAAUUUGGUUCCACUGAGGUGCGAACCUCCUCUGCUUCUGCUGGUACGGGGGAUGGUUUGGGUCAACGUUCAGCCAAUGACACGCAAUCUCUGGGUCAAUCACCGGCAUGUUUGUAUAUGAACACGCGAACACGUCCUUAUUCUCUCAUAAUAACUUCAUUAGUUGUUCUACCUUCUCUUCAAGCAGGAAGGAGCCCACCAACACUUUUCUAUCAGGAUAAGAAGGAUCUAGAACUUCCUCAUUGAGUGGCUCAAUCGUUGGAAGCUGUGAGUUAUCCUCCUCCUCUUGCUCUGGUGGGUCCUCCGUUAAUUGCUAUAAAUCCUCGCCAUGCUGUGAAGUCGCAGCCUUAAGGCUAGUUGCUGCGCUGUAGCAUCUUCUGGCCUCCACCUUAUCCCCUUUGAUAUCCACUGUGGUUCUCCCAUCUUUGAAUAGGCACCUCAUCACUUGGAAACGUGUCGAUGCUUCACCAUCCAUUCGAUGAAUCCAAUUCCUUCCCAUUAUAGCAUUAUACGAGCUCGGCGCAUCCACAAUUACUAAAGUAACGAAUAGGGUCUUACAUGCGGCAAUAACUGGCAGAGUCACGUCUCCGAUUGGUUGUGAUUUUAUCCCUUCGAAAGCGUAGAUCAAUGUUGGGUUUGGUUGAGUCUCCUUGUCAUCCAACUUCAUUCUUUUGAAGGUGCUCCAGAAUAACACAUCUGCACUAAUUCCCCUGUCAAUCAUUACUUUUUUCACUAUCGAAUUGGCAAUGCGGAGGGUCACCACUAAUGCGUCGUUGUGAGGGAACUCAAUUCCUUCCAUGUCUUUCUGCGUGAACGAGAUGACUCUAACCAUUUUUAGGGCUUUGGCAGACUCAGAAGCAAAUGCGAUCCCGUUUAUGCGUCUCACCUUUUCAGCUCAUCUUUUUUCGAAACAGGAUCGGGCCUAUUUUUCCUUCCACGGGAUUCGGUCGACCAUGGAUGGUGUUGAUCUCCAGCAAUUCUUCAUUUGCGAUAUUUCCGGUCAUUAUUUUCAACCCACCUUCUUCACUUGUCCUGUUCUCAGGUUCAUCGCGGUAUUGGGAUAACAUUCCCUUUCUCAGCAUUGCCUCCACCUGAUACCUAAGACUUCGGCACUCAUCGGUAGUGUGCCUAAAGUCGUUAUGAUGGGCUCACAUCUUGUUUUUGUCUCGCUUCUCUAGGGAUUCAAGGAUCGUAGGUGGUGUUCGAAAUAUACCUUUGCCCUUAUUCUAGUGAAAAAGUUUAGCCAAACUCACCACGAGUCUAGUGAAAGGUCGACUUUGCUUAGAUCAAUUGCUAAAGUCUUGUCUUGAGGAGUAUCGCUUCGUCUCCACCUUUUGCUCUGGUGGAGGCUUUGGGAUUGCAAUGGCGGAAGUGGCGCGUUUUGACUGGGUGAGUUCCUCUUCUUCCAGUCUGAUGAUUCCAUCCGCCCGGGCCAUCACUUCCCUCAUAUCCACUAGUGAAGUCUUCACUAAAGAUAUGUGAGUUUUUGUCUCGGGUAUGACCCCCUUAUGAAACGCCAAUGAAGUAGUAUAAGAAUCACAUUCCUCAAGAGUAGACAUUUCCUCCGUAAAACGCCUCAAAUAGUUUUUAAGGCUUUCUCCGACACUUUGCUUCAUGCUGAAUAGGAUCAUGACGUCCUUUCUCCUCUUUUGAUUGCAAAUGUAUUAAGAUAUGAACAUUUCACAGAGUUGGGUGAAACCGCCAAUAGACCUCGGUUUCAGCUGUCUGAACCAAAUCAGGGCCAAUCCUGACAAACUUGAGGGGAACAACUUACACAGCAGGGCCUCGUCAUCUCCUUCGAGCACCAUUUGUUGUUGGGAGUGAUAGAUAUGUUCAAUGGGAUCAGUCGUGCCCUCGAACAGCUUAAAUUUAGGUUGGGUGAACUUAACUGGCUUUUUGGCUUUCACGAUGUCAUCUGUGAAUGGCAACUUGCAAAUUCCUUUCGCCACCUCCAAAGCUAAUUUCGCGGACGUUUGUGGCUUGUGCCCUCUGACAAUCUUCUAGAUCUGAUUGCGCAAAUCAGUGUCCUUCUCCUUUUUCGCCAUUUUCUGUAGGCCGAGAUCUUUGUCUUGAUCUCCUGUAGUGGCCUUGUCACAGACUCUCGAGUGCGUGCUGCUAGAGGAGUCUCUCUCAAAGACCUCAUGUCUCUGCUUCCUCUUGCUCUCUUUCGAACCCUCAUAGCAAGCAGUGUUCUGCGCCUUCUCCAGAGCUUUCUCUGCUACCUUUCUUGUUUUACGCAAUUCUUUCAUGAUUUCCCUCAACUGGAUAACAGCAAGGCUUGGUUCCCCAUCUUGGGUGUUAGACCUUGUGCUUCCAGGUCGAGGAGUGGACAUACCAUUCCCUGGGAUGGAGGUGUUUGGAGUUCCCUGUGCAGGUUCAGUCAUAUUUAUGAUUAAUUUUGCGAGAUUCCCAGAGACGGCGCCAACUGUUGGAGCAGGAUUUCUUUUAAGAAGAAAUACCUCCACAUGUUCUUGACUGAUGUCCGCACGCUUCCUUGGUUGAAAGAGAACUCCGGAUUACGUUCCCAAGGUCGAACGGUGGAAAUGGGGUGAGUACCUGCAAAAGUCACUCUGACGCUCAAGUCAGUGUUUAUGCAGCGUACUCUUAGUGUUCAAUUGAAUUUCUUGUCCCUUUGCUGGAGGUCUAGCUGGGUUUUUAUAGCGCUUUGAGUUCUUGGGUUUAGCCCCACUUCCCUAGCUUUGCGCAUUUCGUCCUCCACUUCAUGGUAAUGGGAUCAGAUGAGCGUGUCUCCCUCACUCCGCACUUUUCUAGUGGGAGGGAAGUUCGAUCAUCCCAUGUCUUCUAGUUGUGGCAUAUGGGUUAAGCCAUGAUACGUGAGAUUUGGUCCCCACAAUAUUUGGAUCUACUAGAUCUCACAUUUGGUGCUGCCAUGUUGUUUCUCUCCCCGCCCAUCCCUCCCUUUUUUUCUAAUGUUGUUAGGUUAAGGACAGAGAAAAAGAUAUAAAAUUUAUGAGUUUGGUGUUGCUUGAUAAAGAGGGAGGACAGAGAAGAGGAGGGUCGGCGACGGCUAAGAGAGAGGGGUUGCUGCUCGCGAGGUGAGAUGGCUAACUAGGUUGGAUGGGUAGGUUGGUUGUCCAAGUUAGGUGGUGCAUCAUGUGUGGGUUUGAGCUUCACUACAUUUCUGCGUGGACUGCUCUCUGCUCAAGGGCAGAUGCACAGAGGGACCAAAAGGGUCGGAUGGCUCCAUGAUGGCCGUUAGGUUGGCUGUAGAGGUGCUCAAGUGACCCCAAGGCGCACACCACCCUUUGUUAGACAAAAAGCUUGAAGAAGUCAAUUGGUCGUUUGAAGAUUAAUCAGAGCCACACCUCCUACAGCACUAAUGAAGUUAUGAGAGUGAUAGAGAGAGCUGUGAAAAAGAAUAGCACUAGAGAGAGAGCCAUGAACUUUGGAGUGAUAGAGGGAGAGUAGUUGGGGAGAUAUUGGGGUUCGAAGUAGCGGUUGGAAAUACAUUCGGUCUUUCAAAUAAGGAACAGGCAUUUGAAAGUAAUUAUAAUCUUAAACUAAUAUAAAAAAAUUAAAUUACAUUAACUUUUUAAAAAAAUAACUGGUUUCAAGUUGAAUCCAGUUUGGCAUUGCUGUGCUGUAAAAAUAAUCACUGUUAGAUUUGCUGUGAGAGAAAGCAGUUUGGCGUUUGGUAAAAUUUUUGUUAAAAAUGUUGUUGUAUUGAUUUUACACAUUAUCAGAAAAUGAUUGCCGCAUAAUCAUUAAACUCAGCACCUCUUCAAAACUGAUUCAUGCAUAAUCAGAAAAUGAAAGCACCUCAUUAGCUGUUUUCCCUUAUAGCCUUCUCUCACAGCAAUUUUUAACAAUAAGUGAUUUUCUCACAGUUUACCAAACGGUUGGGCUUCUCAAAAUUUUUUAAAAAUCACUUAUCACCCCCAAAUAAGCAAUGUCAAACGAGCACUUAAUGUCGUGUAUUUUUUUUUUUAGUACAAAUGUUGUGUGUUUUUAAAACCUCAUAUGCCUUUUCAGUCUACGUUUAUAUAUUUAUACAUUUUCUCUUUUCUAUACUAUAUAUACUAUACAAAUAUAAGCAUACAUAAACUAAAUAUAGUAUUGGAUUAAAAUAGACUUAAAUGCCAAAAUGGUCCCUAUGUUUUACUCAUUCGGUCAAUUUAGUCCUUGUAUUUUUAAUUUGGCUAAUUUAGUCCCUGUGUUUACAUCUGUUAGCCAAUGUAAGACAAUCUGUCACCCAAUGUAAGACAAUCUGUCACAUAGACGUUAAAAUAGACAUGUGCUGUGGGCAUAAAGGUAUUUUAACACAAACCAAAACCCUUGUGACUCUAUUCCUUGGCGCCAAUGACAACUGCCAUAGUCUGCAUUCAUGAGAAUUGGGGUUUUAAAUUCAAUCAGUUCUCUUGAAUAUCAAUCACUUCACUUGAGUCCGAAUAAAGAUGGCAAGGGGACAAAUCGAAUAUGUUAAAGACUCAAUCAACCUACGUGAGUAUUCUCGAGUUUGGACCCUAUGCUUGAUUUCCUUCAAUGUAAAGUUCGUUUCAGUGACUUGUUAUUGGUACACAGGUCUUGCUUUUUCGCUUUCUUGGUUUCUUGUUUUGAUGCUUAUUUGUUUUGCUGCUUUGCUUUAAUGGAAAUCUCUUCAACCAAAGAAAAAAGGACAAGGCAUGUACCUUCUAGUGAUAAAAUAAUGAACACUCUCCCAUUUCACAUGCAAUACAGGGCCAAACACCCAAAACCAAACGAACUACAUAGGAAUCAACCUUGAAUUAGUGGUACUGCUAGCAUCAGCAGCAAGAACAUCAUUAAGGAAGACAGGUUUCAUAUCCAAAAAAUGAAGGCCCAAAAGGAAAUCAUAGCUCUUGGCAACUAAGGCAUCAGCAGCCUUAUUUUGUUCAUAGACGGUAAACAUGAGAAAGGGAGCAAACCCAAAUACCAUGGAAAUGCAAUUUACAGCAAUCACCAUGAGAGAGAGAUCUCUAGAUUCAAUUUGUCUCCUUGCUCUCUUUAUGUGGACUCACGUGAACUGGUUGAUAUUUAAGGGAACUAACUGAAUUUGAAAACCCCAAUUCUCAUAAACUCCAAGGAAAAGAGUCACGAGCGUUUCAGCAAUUAAGUUUGUGUUAAAAUACCUUUAUGCCCACUCACGUGCUAUGCACAUGUCUAUUUUAACAUCUAUUUGACAUCUUGUCCUACAUUGGCUAACAGAUGUAAACACAUUGACUAAAUUAGCCAAAUUAAAAAUACAGGGACUAAAUUGGCCGAAUGGAUAAAACACAGGGACCAUUUUGACAUUUAAGCCAUUAAAAUAAUACAAGAAUUAUGAUCCCAAAUAUCGUACUGACUAUGCCUACCUUUUUAAUUUCGUACUAUAGAAGCUAGCAUACCUCGAUCUCAUUCCGGUUCCAAAUAUCAGGUAACUAUGUGAAGGACCUUGCACUGCUAGCUACAAGGGUUUCCUUUUUUUGUUUUUUAAGCACAUGGCCAAAACGACUUCGCGAAUCAAUACGAAUGUUAGACUCUUACUCAUGUUAGUCCAACCAAUUUACAUCAAUAUCAUUUCUACUUUUUUCAUUCUAAAGAACUUUUACACUAUGAUCCCAUGAUGUAACAAUUCUGAAUCCGGCAUAGUCUCUUCUCCUACAGAAAGGCUAUAACGAGGGGGUUGUGAGGUAAGGGGGUCAAUCCCACUAUCCAACAAGAGUGAGAAAAUAUUAGAGUAACUUUUUAAACGAAUGAAUGGUGGGAUUGAACCUCUCAUUCAACUCCCUCACCAAAAUCCCCCUCAUUAGAGCAACUCCACCCAUAAGGCCUAAGUCUAAGGCAAGGGCUCUUGCCAUUUGUGGUUCCACCCAUGAAGGCUAAGUCUAGGGCAAGUCUAAUGCAAAUACUAUUCAUUGUACUUUAUUUCCUAUUUUUUUAUACUUUAAACCAUUAAUUUUGAUAAUCUUUUGUAAUUAAAUUUUUGGAUAAUAUUUUUGGUUGUCACGUGUCCAUUAUUUUUCAGAAAAGAUUUUCAGAUGAGAAUCUCGAUUGCCACGUGUCUUAUUCCAGAUAAAUUUUUUGGAUAUUCAUUAAAAAAAAUUAUAAUCUCAUAUUUCAGAUAACAUUUUCACCCUCUAAAAUUGUGCCACGUGUCCCAUGUCAGAUAAGAUUUUCAUAUAUUUAAAAAAAAUUAUGCCCUCAUAUUUCAGAUAAGAUUUUCACCCUCUAAAAUUAUGCCACGUGUCAUCUCUGUCAGAUAAGAUUUUCAGAUAUUUUUUUAAAAUUAUAAUCUCAGAUUUCAGAUAAGAUUUUCAUCCUCUAAAAUUGUGCCACGUGUCAUAUUUAUCUUCUGAAUCCCUCUAUAAAACUACAUCAUCAACUCAUACCUCUCACACCAUCUCUUAUCUAUUCCUUCAUUUCUCAAAUUUUACAAAACAUAUUCUACUCUCAAUGUCAAAUUUGAGGAGGGUGUUAGGGAGGCAACAGAAAGAAAGGGAAGAAAUCCGGCGUAGACGUGCUGAAGAAGAUCGGGACGCCGAUGAAGAAGAGGAACAAAUGCUUACAGCAGCGGUGUGUAUGCUUAAUCAAUCAAGGCAACACCGUCGUCCUCGUGCCCCAAAUGUGGACAGACAUAGAGAGUCUCUGGGUAAGAAUCUCUUGGAGGAUUACUUUAUCCCAAAUUUGUUAUAUCCUGCUCAUAAGUUUCGAAAGAGAUAUAGAAUGCAGCCACAUUUGUUUCAAAAAAUCAUGCAUGAUAUUUGUAAUUACGACACAUACUUCAUUCAAAAGCAUGAUGCUGUUGGAGUUUUGGGUCUUAUCCCGGAGUAAAAACUUACAGCUGCUUUGCGGAUGCUUGCUUAUGGGGCAUCUGCAGAGUAGGUGGAUGAGAUUGCAAGGAUGGAAAAAUCAACUAUCCUAGAGUGCUUGGUGAGAUUCUGUGAUGCAGUGAAAAAUUUGUACACGAGGGAGUACCUUCGCAAACCCACGCCGAGGGACCUGUAAAGGCUGCUACAAAAAGCAGAGGCUCGAGGUUUCCCAGGCAUGAUUGGAAGCAUUGAUUGCAUGCACUAGCAGUGGAAGAAUUGUCCUACUGCUUGGCAAGGAGAGUACGGGAAUCGAAAGGGCCAAAAAAGUAUAAUUUUGGAGGCCGUAGCUUCAUUCGACUGUUGGGUUUGGCAUGCCUUCUUCGGGGUUGCCGGAUCUCAGAAUGACCUCAAUGUCCUUGGUCAAUCCCCGGUGUUCGACGAGGUAUUGCGAGGUCAUUCCCCCCAGGUCACGUACCAAAUCAACAAUACCGUAUACUCUGGUGCGUACUACCUUGCCGACGGAAUUUAUCCUAGGUGGACGACAUUCGUGAAAACAAUUCCGAAUCCCCAAUCCGAGAAGGAAAGAAGCUUUGCUUCCUUUCAAGAAGGUUACAGGAAAGACGUGGAAAGGUGUUUCGAUAUCUUGCAAGCUCGUUGGGCAAUUAUCAGGGGUGCUGCUCGGAUGUUAGACGAGGAGGUGCUGCGGAGUAUUAUGAUGACUUGCAUCAUCCUCCACAACAUGAUUGUGGAGGAUGAGUAUGACUACGAUGCUCCAGAGGUGUUUGAACCCGAUCCCAUGAACACGGCGUUGACAAGAAUAUAUGAAAGGCCGAUGGGACCAAAUGGACUACCAAUGGAGCCCGAACCGUUAGUUCGGGAUGGUCGAUUCAACAACCCCAUGACGAGAGACGUCAAGUUGACUUGAUCGAGGACUUGUGGGAGAUGAAAGGCAAUCACAAUGGAUGAAGUCAAGAUUAGUGCUUUGUUUGGAAUUAUGCUUUGUUUUUAAUUAUGCUUUAUUUUGUGUGUGGUGUUUUUUGGAAUUAUAUGCUUUAUUUUGUGUGUGGUGUUUUUUGGAAUUAUGCUUUUAUUUAUUAUUAUUAUGCUUUUACGUAUGGGUUGUUUUGUGUGUUGUUUGCAAUAAAUUAUGGUUUAGUUUUAAUUAAUCUUUGUUUUGAUGCUCAAAUAUUUUUAAUAAAUAGUCAUAUUAUUUAAUGCUUUUUUUAUUUAAUGAAAAGGAAACAAUACAACAAAUUAAAGGAUAAUACAACAAUACAACAAUACAACAUAUGGCAAAGGUGUUUCAAUACAACCUAAUGGUUUUCAUCAUUUAACCAAUCCGUAUUGCUAGGUCCGUCGUCAUGGAAAAGUUUUCUUCUCAUCACAUCCCUUCGUCUAUGCUUCCAAUAGGCCUUUGUUUCAAGAGACAUGUGGCUCAUAUCUAUGGCCAUAAUUUUCAUCUCUCUAUCAUCCAUGUCUUUUUCUUGUGCAUGAUGCUGUUGAAUUGCAAAUGUUUCCUCUCGUGCCUUUUCUACUUCAUCUCUUUUCAAGUCUCUCUCAAUUCUUAGUGAGGUGUUCUUAGCUAUUUGCUCUAAUAAUUGUACACAUUCAUUGCUCGAAGUGCCCCCUCUCUUGGCCUUUGCCACCUUUCUCCUAAUAGGUCUCGGCGGACGUGGGAGUGGUGACUCCGUUUCCAUUGGGGAGUCCAAUGGAGAAUCGGUUGAUGGUGAAUCAUGGAGCGGCGUCUCAUUCAACACAACCGGCGGACCGGUGGGAAUAAUUUUGAAUCUCGAACAAUCCUUCACAACUUCCCAACAUUGGAAAUGCACGAAACUUUUUUUGCCUUGCCCCAUGGCACCGAACCACAUUUGUGCUUGUAUGAUCUAUUAAAAAUAAAUAAUUGGAAGUGCAAGAAAAAAAAAAUUAUUAUGCAAGAAAAUAUAAACUAUUUUGAAAUGCAAAAAUAAAAUUGAUUAUGCAAGAAAAUAUAGACAAAUUGGAAAUGCAAAAAGAAAAAAAAAGAUUAUGCAAGAAAAAGAAAUAUAAUAUGCACACAAAAAAAAAGUUACAUUAAAUUGAUGAAAAUGGCAAUUAUAAAUAUUUUACCUCAUCGGAUAUAUUUUGACCGCUUCGAAUGUUCUCCCUUGCUUUUGUCAAGGCAUUUCUCCAUUUUCCUAACUCUUUAUUCAGAAGUUUCCAUCUACUAGACAACGCCAUUUCGGUCCGAAUGGAACCCGAUCUUUGACAAAAUUCUCCAUGAAUUUUGCUCCACAUAUGAUAGAACUUCAUCUGAUUGCCCGUGAUAGGGUCAUGACUAACAUUCACCCAAGACUGACACAACGCAAUAUCUUCCUGAGUUGACCACGAGCCUCCGGUUUCGACAGAAGAUGCCAUUUAUUUAUUUUAUUUUUUUAUACAAAUGGAAAGUAGUAGAAAAAUGUGAGUUGAGAGUAAAAGAUAUUGGAAGGAGAAGAGUUUGUACGGAGAAUUGGUGUGGGAAGUGAAAAAUGGGAGUGGAGAGUAAAAAAUAUUGGAAUGAGAAGAGUUUGUAUGGAGAAUUGGUGAGGAAAGUGAAUAAUGUGAAUGGAGAGUAAAAAAUAUUGGGGAUGGAGAAGAAUUGUAUGAAGAUUUUGUGUGGAAAGUAAAUAAAAUGGUUAGGUAUUUAUAGGGAAAAAAUACAGAAUUUUUUCGAAUUUUUUUGUAAUUUUUUAAGCCAAAAAUACGAGGACCGUCGGAUUUCUGGAAAAAAACAUCGGAGCGUCCAUGUCGCCACUUGCCCAUUGGAUGUUGUCAGGGCUGACGUCACGAAACUCGGGCUGAAGCCCAGGCCGAACUUGCCCUUGGGCCUGCCCGAGCUCGUGGGACCCAGCAGCUGCCCGGGCUGAUUGUCUCGCGCUGGAGCGGGCUUGGGCUCGCCUAGGGGGCCUUUCCCCCGAGUUGGAUCUUGCGCUGGAGUGGCUCUUAUAGAAGCUCCCCCAAUACUACAUUCCGCCCAGAAAAGCAGUGCCAAAUUACCCAUUCCUAUGCAUGGUUGGAGAAGUUUUUAGGCCCAAAUAUUCCAAAAUUUGGGUUUGGUCCCCUUACGUAUGCAAUUGAAGCAGCUGCUACUGAUGGAACUUUAUAUAUAUUGUGUCAGUUAGGUCUUUCAACCGUCAAGGAAAGACCUAAUUCCGACACAAGUAGGAAUAGUAAUCCAAGCCCAAUAAUAAGAACCCACCACAUCAUCUCUCCCAUUAAUAUAUCAUGGACCAAUUAAUGGGUAGCACAUAACAUAUGCCCAUAUACUGAUGAUGGAGUUGGAAAUCUUCUCCCAUUGGGGCUAACCAUGAACAUAUUAAUUGUGCACCAAGAAAGAUAAUUAAGUCAAAAGUUCUUAAAACAAGUUAAUGAAAGGUCUUUAAAAUAAUAGUUUCAAAGUAAUUAUGUCCAAAAACAAAAACUCGAAGCACUUUGUUGGUUUUGGCUAUGUACUGUUCUUAAGUGUCAUGCUUGUCUUUAUGUUUGAAGUUAUAUAUUGAAGUACUUUUUAAAUGUUAAAGAUCUAUCUUUUUAAUUCUUAAUUAUUAUUUUUCAUACUUAUAAUUUGUAAUCUCUAUUUAUGAUUACCUCAAAGAUUGGUUGUAAAAAUGGACGAUCUUAUACUGUAAAUUGACCAUUGAUACAAAGCUCGACUAUUUUUAGGUCGUUUGGGAUUGGUUUGUAAAAGAAACAAACAAAACCAAGCUUGAACUUGAUAAAUUUCGAAUCCUAUACACCAUGUAUAUAUAUGCAUGAUGCAAGGCAUUCAUUGUGAUAAUGCAAUCAUGUAUGUUGAAAAUGGAAUCAUUUAAAAAAAGUUGGGAGUGUGAUGUUACCUGAAUUAAUAGAGCGAAUACUUUGAAUAAAUUUAGUGGAAUAGGCACUCAUUUUCUAUCACUCUAGCAUCCUUAAGAGAACACUUGCCUUGUCAAUUUCAGGUUGUUGUGAACGCAGGCAUUGAGAGUAUCUCUCUUUUGAAAAAUCUAAAAGCAACCCCAUUAUCCUUAGUGAAUUAUUCUGGAUUAGCUUUGUCAAAUUCAUUAUGUUAAUUAUAAUUAUUAAAGGAGAAUACUAGCAAUCUUCUCUCUAACUUGUUUCUUCGGACGUUCUCUUUUUUUUCUGAUGAUAUGUGUCUUUUUUUUUUUACACUUAAAAUAAUGUCAUUAAUAUAUCAUACAAGUUAUCUUUUACUUUUUAAGUUUACCCUUAUUAUAAAAUAUUUAUAAAUAAAAAAAAUUACACAGACUCUCUCUCUCCCCUCCCCAAGUCUCUUUUCACGAUCAAACUCUCAUCCCCCUAUCUCCUUUCACGAUCAGACUCUCUCCUCUCUCUCUUCUAGAUAUGAUAUAUGCUCCCUCUCCCUCAUAUCUAUCUCAUCCUCUUAGAUGCUUAUUCUCCUCAUCUACACAUCUAUCUUCACCUCUAUAUGUGCUCGCUGCUCUCACCACCAUGUUCUCGGCGACUAGUGAACUGGUCGGAUUUUGUCGCUAAGGAUUUGCCCAGUGACAGUGCGUCGGUGGUUGUUUGUAAUUUGUGAUUGGGUGUGGCUGGAACCUCAAUCUAGGGUUUUAAAAUGUAUGAAAUUGGACUAUUUGGGGGAAAUAAAAUUGGGGAAGUGGUGAGCCAAAGAGGAACGAAUUGCUGAUAUAAUAUCAGAUCUGUUUCUUUGGAAUAGUUUGUAUUCUUUCUGAUUUUCUCACAAUUUUCAUUUAACUAGAUUUUUGUUUCAUAUUCUAGCAAACAUGGGAGUUUUAUCUUGAAAAGAGAGAGGAGAGGAGAGGAGAGAGAGAGAGUGUGAUCGUGAAACGAGAGAGAGGGAGGAUGUGCAAAUUUUUAAUUUUUAAAUUUUUUUAUAAAAGGGUAAAUUUGGAAAGUAAAAGACAACUUGCAUGAUGUAUUAAUGAUAUGAUUUCAAGUGUGAAAAAAUGACAAAUGUCAUGAGUAGAAGAGAGAAGGGUAUAGAAAAUAUUGCUACAAUUCCUCAUUAUUAAAAUCUGUAUUAAUAUCCUCUACUCCCAUAUGCGCAUGUCUGUGAAUUGUUUACAUAUUCAUAGAUCUAUGACUAGUUGUUGACUAGUCAUAUUUUCUCCAGAAUUAUUUGAUCAUUGUUGUUAUAGAUCUGCUUCAUUAGGAUUUUAAUUUACCCCAUUCACCUAAAUUUCAAUUUCAAAACCAAAUUGGUACCGUAGCUUGACUCAACUCAAGGCUUCUUCAAGUAUCAAUCCAAACCAAGUCGCUAAAAUUCAAUUUGGGAGCAUCGUGAUACGUGCAAGGAUUCUUCAAACUGUGAGGGAUGGCAACUUGGAAAUCUGUUUCAUCGAUGGCUUCAUGUUGCUUACAGGGCUACAAACAAAGAAGAAUAUGGUUGUGCCAUUUACUCAUAUAGUUGGUGAGCAGCAGAGUAGAGGGGCAAAUCCAGCGCCUCCAAGGCCUUUUUCGGCGAGGAAAGGUAGCUGCACCUUCUUCCACUUUAAGGGUCUGCAAUAGCUUGUUUAGAAGAGAUUUGCUUGGCAUGAAAGAUCUUUUAAAUAAUAGUAUCAAAGCAUUAUGUCCAAAAGUAAAAACUCAAAGCAUUAUGUUGAUUUCCGCUCUGUAUUCUUCUUAAAGUAUCAUGCUUGUGUCUUUCUGUUUGAAGCUAUAUGUUGAAAAAUUAUUUUUUAAAUGCUAAAUAUUAAUGUCGUUUGCUGUUAAUUUAUUAUGUUUCAAUUUCUAGUCACUAUUUAUGAUUAACUCAAACAAAACCAAGCUCGACUAUUAUUUAUGAUUAAAUUAUUCUAAAUUGACUUGAUACAACUCACGCUCGACCAGUUUUAGCUCGUUUGAGCUUGGCUUGUAAAAGAAACAAAAACAGAACUAAACUCAAGGUCUAUAUGUGUGUGUGUAUAUAUAUGCAUGCAUGAUGCAAGGCAUUGCUUGUGAUAAUGUAAUCAUGUAUAUAUGUUGUAAAAUUCAAUGUGAUAAUGCAUUGUUAUUUGGUUCAAGACGUUGAGAAAAUUUAAGACAGUCGUUUGUCUGGAUUAAUAGAGCGAAUAUUUUAUGCUUUGAAUAAAGUUAGUGGAAUAUUAUUCUCUCUUAUAUAGGCAUUCGUUUUCAAUCAAUAUAACAUCCUCCAAUCCUAUCGCCAGUUUCAGGCACAGAGAGUAGCUUGGCAAGCAAGCUAAGGGUAGUUCAAAAAAUUCCUCCUCAUCAUUAUAUAAGCGACGUGACAUAUGCAUAUAUGCUUAUUCUCAUAAUAUAAAUAUAAUGCUAGCUAGCGGACAAGGCAAAUUAACCUAAGUAUCAUGACAAUGGAAUUCCUCAAAGGUAAACUCGAGACAUACUAAUUAAACUUAUCACCUGACCUCAGUAUCUUUGAAGGACCCAACUUACUAAUUAAACUUGUCACCUCAGCUCUCAUUAAAUCACAUUAGCAUUAUAUUGACUGGCAAUAUCAAGAAGAAUUAAUUGAACUUAAGACUUACAAGCAGAACAUCCACAAUCAUGCUUCUUAUUUUUUAAUUAAAAUUUAGCUAAAAACACUAAAAAGUUAUUUUAGGAGCUCUUAAUAAAAUUUCGACUCCAACCAUACUCUUUAAUUUAAGGAGUCAUAAAUGAUUUAUUUCUCUUUUUUUUUAGCUUACCAUAAAUACUCCCUCUUCAUAUAAAAUAAUAAUAAUAAAUAGUUAUCAUUAAAUAAAUGGGAUUUAGAAUUGUGUAUGCUCCACCCAGUAUUCUACUACAACACUAGAGGGCUGAUGGGAAAAGCUAAAGCUCCACCAGGUCAAAUGUUGACCAAAAAGAAGUAGGAAAAAAGGGUUAGCCACAAAAUUGGUAUUUUGGUUUGUUAUUUUAAUAUGUAUAAUUCAAUUGGGUUUGUAUUUGUUUAGAGAGAGAGAGAGAGAGAGAGAGAGAGAGAGAGAGAGCUUUUUUUGUUGGUGAGGUGGGGGGGCCAAGCCCCAGAAAUCAACUACUCAGGAAGGUUCAAAGAAACCAACCGAUUGUGAGCAAUUCCUAGCAAAUCAUCAACAAGCUUUGAACUAAUCCAAGGAGGAGCAGAUUCAAGGAUGCAAAUACCUCCAGUCAGCUAGACUUUUCCCUGUAUGUAUGGAUGAUAGAGUGAGCUUUUUAUUUCUUUUUUUAGUAUUUAUUUAUUUUUAACAUACGAAAUGAUCAAUUUGUCCUCAUAUUUAACGAAAAUAUUGACAGAAUAUAACGGUAGGACCAAUGGACUGAAUAAUAUAGAGUUGAUGGACCAUUGAAACGAAUAAUUUAAUUGAGGAACCAAAAUGUAAAUCGAGUAUAAGUUUGAGGACCAUUUAAGUAAAUAACCCUAUAUAGCCAAGUCAAAGAAGGUAAAAAGAUAUUUACCAAAAAGGAAAGGAAAAAAAAAAAGUUAAAAAGAUCCUCUAAUAAGAAAGACCUCUACGCCCGUAGCUAUUUAUGAAGAAUAUUAUUAUCAACAUAGAAUCUGUAUUAUUAUCGUUUGCAAAUUGCAUAUGAUAUGCGCAUGCCGAAAUCUAUAAACGGAGACCAUGAGGCAUUAAGUCGAUCAUCCAAGCAAACACACAAAUUCCAACUUAAAACUAAUCAGCAAGACAAUGACGAGUAAACAAGUGAAAAAUCAGGUGAGAGACACUGUUGAGGGAGGCUUCGACACCCUCCACAGGGUUGCCGAUGUAGUGACUUUUCCUUUGGCCCCUCUGGACGGUGCCGUCC
rnacentral:lncRNA from 1 species